CGACCACCAUGGAAAGCUCCGACUUUGCGUAAGAGCUCAUUGGACUGCUUCAAAGCGGUCUGGCCAACGAAAGCAGAUUGUUGGAUAGCAGAGGUUGCCAUGGUGCCUAAGGCUUUAGGUUGACUUGGUUUGUUUGCCGAUGGUUAUUGUAGUCUAUUUUGGUUUGGAGGAGAGAAGGGGUUAUAAUGGAAAUGAGAAGAUGUUGUGGAUCAGGAAAUGUACAUGUCAGCAGCAGUCUAUUGGUUGCUGCAUUGGUGUGGAUUUGCAAUUGGAUUUUUUGGAGAGUUGUAUAGGUUGAUUUUAUGCCGCGUGGAUUUGGAAAAAUCUUCUUGAUGUUUUUGGUGGUGAAGCUAAAGCCAUAUAUAUAGCCACUUAACUCUGCUAAUAUUUCUCAUGUUCUAGUAUCUCUUGUAUCAUCCGUAUAGAUAUAAGCAGCUAUUAGUGAAUAAUAAAAAUAUCUUUUAAAAGGUUAAAAUAAAUAAAAUUAUUCAAUUUAAAUAUAUAUAAACAUAUAUAUUUAUUUAGAUUUAAAUUAAUAAAUAUGUAAGAAUAGAGUUUGGCAUAAUAAUUUUAUUAAUUUAUUUAAAUAUAAAUGGACUAAAUAUACAAAAAAAAAAUAAAGUUGGUUAAUAUUAAAUUUUGAACCUUUUAAUUGAUUUUUUUAAUAAAAUUUACUAAUUUAUAGAUAAAACUAUAAUAAAUUAAUAUAUAAUAGAAAAUUUAUAUAUAACUUUUAAAAGUUGUACACUUAAAAACAUAAUCAUCUUUCUUUAGGAUACCACUAUUAAUACAUAUUUGAGUUUGAAAUUAUGAUAACUUAAUAGGGUGACUCACAAUCAUGUCUACAUUAUAUUUUUUAAAAUAAAAAGAUGUUUAUCAAAAUAGAAUUAUAACUAACAUUUGUAUAAAAUUAAAUUAAAUUAUUGACAACGUAAUAAUAAAUUUCAUAGUUAGAAUUAUAUAAAUUAUAUAAUCUAUUAGUAAAAAAAUAAGUAACUUCUAUAUUUGCAAAUAUCAUUUUUUUUGUAAUAUGAUAUUUUAAUUAUACUUUUAAGUUUUGAAAUUAUUUUAAUUUACAUGUUAAAGCACAAUUCACUUAACGUCCUAAAUAAUUAAUAUUACAAAUAAUAUAUAAAAUAGUCAAUAACAAUUCAUGAUAAAUUAGCAAAUUAUGAUAGACAAGACAAUGAUCACAAGUUUCUUCUUCAAAAUUUCACUAUUUUCAUACAUAUAAGCAGCUAUUAGUGAACGAUAAAAAAAUAUCUUUUAAAAUUUUAAAAUAAAUUAAAUUAUUCUAUUUAAAUAUAUAUUUUUUAAAUUUAAAGAAAUAUUUAAUAAUAGACUUGACAUAAUAAUUCACUUUAAAGAUAAAAUAAUAUAAAUAUGAAAUCUUAUUAAUUUAUUUAAAUAUAAAGGAAUUAAAUAUAUGAAAAAUAAAAUUCCUUAAUUUAAUUAAUAUCUAGUAGGUUAACUUACAAUUAACUAAUUAAAUUUUAAAAUUUUUAGAUUAAAUUCUUAAUAAAAUUCAUUACAAGAAAGUUUUAACAUUUAAUAAUUUAUAGAUAUUGGUGGAGCAUAUGGAGCCUGUGACGGUUGCUAGAUAUGGGAACGGGGUGGAGGAUAGGUACUGGCGAAGCAGUCUCAAUUUGGCAAGAUAAGUGAUAAUGUGCUUGAUCAAUAUAUUUUUAUUAUUUAUUGUAACAUCUCAUGCUCGGUUCGGUAACCGGAGUCGAACAAAAUAAUGUUAUUACCAAAUAUUUAAAUGAUUUUGAAACAUUCAGCUAAUUGGAAUAUGCAACAACAUGAGUUGAUAGCUUAUUUUGUUUUUGGCACUUACUUAAAAGUUUACAAAAUAUAUAUUUAAUCCAACCGUACAUACUGCCUUGUGUUUAAAAGAGUUUCGACUAAAUAUAGUAAAAUCAGAUUCUUAGUUUACUAGCGUGUGGACUACCACGAUAUGUACAUGUUACAAAAAUACAAUUAAAAGGCUCACAACUAAAACUUCAGCUUUUGGCUUAGUCCUUUUCCUAUCGUUCAAAACGGCUAUUGAUACCUGAAGAGAUAAAUCAAGAAGCAUGGUAAGUUCAAAAUGAUCUUAGUGAGUUCCCAUGAUGUUUACUUGCCCCCACAUACAACUUGCGUGGAAUAUAAGAAACGCAUAAGGACAACUAAUACGUUAAACAUUUCACGAAAGAAUAUAAGCAACAAGCAUACAAUACACUUCGCUCAAAUAAACAGUUCACUUUCACUCUCUGCAAACAUAUGUGUUACGGUAAGUAUAGUUGAAUUUACCCAAUGCAACCUAUACAGGUGAAAGAUCUUAGUGGAGUCAUACUCUGCUAAUACACACCAGACACAUGCCUGUGGAUUCAUGUCCACGGAUACAUACCUGCAGACUCAGGUUUGUGGAUUCAUACCUGCCCUCGUAUAUACAAAUCUAUUCUUAAAGAUAAUUCUUGCGGGCUUACGUCCGAUGAAUAUUUCUCAUGCAAUUGUGCUUGGAGAACUUAGACUCCCAGACUCACACUAUGCGAAUUGUUCGUGCAGACUUAUUUUCAUUAAUUUUCAUAUAACGGAGUCCCAGAAGACCGACUUAGCCUAGGAGCUUGAGGACAAGUCCUACAGACUAUCUUAGAUUGUAUUAUAGUCCUUAUGGACUCAUACUUGCAGUUGAUCCGGUGAACUCAUACUUGGAUGGUAAUCCAGGCGGACUCUUGUUUGAAUGAUGGUCUUGGUGGACUCACAACCAAGGAUUCUCUUUUAGAGAAACCAUUUGCGAAUACAUACUUAGUGAAUUUGUACACGUAGAUUCAUUCUGGUGCAGACACAUGCUUGUACACUUAAAGACAAGUCCUGGGGACUAUCAUAAACCUGUAUAUGUAAGGACAACUCCCAACGGAUUGUCAUAACUUGUGACUUGGAGACAAAUCCCACCACAACGCCACUCAUCUUUCAAUUAACAUCCUUCCACAACACCGAAACUUCUCUUUCAAUUAAAAUCUUGCCACAACGCUGAUACUUCUUUCAAUUAACGUCCCGCCACAACACCGAUACUUCAUGUAACACCCCUCACCCAAUCUGAUCGCUGGAUCCAAGUUUCAGGAUGCUACUACAAUUAUCUGAACAUUCACACGCAAAUCAUAACAUUGAAUUCAAUUUAAGUCAACAAGUUGUCACUACAACAAAACAGGUUUUUAGCGGCAUUUUUUUGGCCCUUUAAGCGUUGCUAUAAUUUUGUGGCGUUUAUGUGGACAAAAGCCGCUAUAGAAUAUGAUAUUUAGCGGCUCUUUUUUUACAAACGCCGCUAAAAAGCAUGACCUUUAGCGACGAUUUUCCCAAAAACGCAGCUAAAAAAUAUGACCUUCAGUGGCACUUCUCUCGAAAACGCAGCUAAAGAACAUAUGCUAAAAAAUAUAACCUUCAGCGGCGUUUUUGGGUGAAAAAUAAAAAAAAUCAAAAUAUCAUAAAAACGCCACAAAUCCAUUCCUAUCCCUUUACCUGCUUUAAGCAAAUCCUUUAGAAAUGUUGUUAUUAUUACAUACAUCACUCCAUUCUUUGGUUAGAGAAUGUAGCAGAAGUGGAAUUCCACCAAUUUAGAAAUGCAUAAUUUAAUUUGAAGACGUAUUAAAAUGGAAAUUCAUGAACAAGAAGAUCAAUGUUUUUCACUAUAUCUCAUGUAACGAGUCAAACUGCCUUUGAUUACAUAAGAUUCCUUUAAAAUUAAAAAAAAUUCAAACUAGUUCAUAUCAACUUGCUCAAGUUGUAUGUAUGACUUGCAGAUCAACACCUUAUUUGAACUUACAAUUCUAGGAAAGCAUAAAAUGUAGUUCCAUGAGCAUGCAUUUAAAGUGGCAAAAAAAAAUUUACUGAUUACAGUGACAGUCUAAGCUCCAAAUCUAGCUCUUGUGUGUCACUUGAUUCUGAAUUCUGACUGCCCGAUCCCAAUGAGUUGCUGCAAUGUUUCUUGCUCCUUGAAUGUGAAUCCUAUAAGAAUGUAAGGAACUAAAACAAGUCAAAUUUUAAAACACAAUCAUCACAUGGCACAUAAACUAAAAAAAGGAAGGAUAAUAAUUUAGAAGAUAAAUUAAAUAAUUUAGGAGAUAUUAAAAAUUUAGACUUAAACCAUGAGUCUAAAGAAAUAUUAACUAGUGUUAAUAAUAAAUUAGAUCAGGUUAUUAAUAAUAAUAAUAUGGAGUCUGAUAUAGAUUUAGGUCAUUUAUAUUAUGGUAAUGGUAAGGAUAAUAUUUUAAUUUUAUCUGAAGAAGAAAACACUUCUUUUGAUGAGUCGUCAUCUCUGUUAAAAAAUUAUAAAAAAACAUAAAAUAAAAAAAAGAUGAUAAACAAAAAGAAUAUGAUUUCCAGCCCUAUAAAACCCUUAUAGAACAUUGGAAAGAAAAAUUUACUACUACUAAUGAUCAACUAGAAAGAGUUGAAUAUUUAAAAUUAAUUAAAGAACUUUAUGAAAAACAUAAAGAUUUUUUUAGUAUGUUUAAUUAUCAUUAUAUGUUAAAAUAUGAUGAUAGUAGCAGUUCAAGUAAUUCUGAAAAAACAGAAUUAUUUAAGAAACAAUCUGAUGAAGAAAAAACUUCAACCGAUCAGGACGAAGACAUAAAAGUCUCAACUUAUAAUUCUGAUGAAGAAACCACUUCAUUUGAAGAUGUAGACGAAGUAAUAAAUAUUCCUGAACCAAUGGAUACUGAACCAACAGAUCCUUAUGGAAAAAGAAAAAUUGAGUCAGAUAUUCAAACAAAUGAUUAUCUGAUUAAAGAUUUAAGUAAAGUUCAAUAUACAACCAGUAUGUUGACUAGUAAUAUAAAAAAAAUUAAUUGAUGAGAAAGAUCCUAAAAAUAUAAGAGAAUUUAUUAAUAGAACUUUACUAGGACGGUUAGGUGUAAAACGUAAUACUCAUCAUAGGCAUAAAAAGAAAAAAUAUAAUAAACAAGUCAAAGGGAAACUAGAAAAUAAAAAAUUUUCUGGUCAUAUUAAGAGUCAGUUUUCUAGAAGAAAAACUUCUAAAGAACUUAAAGAUAUUUUAGAUAUUAAGAUAGGUCAUAUAGUCAAAAACUUUUCUAACAAAAGAAAAGAAGUUAGAAAAAGAAUUAAUAGUCUUGAAAAACAAGAUUUAGAAGUAUGUUUUCAAAAGAAAAUAAAUCCUGAAGAAAUGUUAUAUGAGUUAAUAUCAGAAACAGAUUCUGAUAAUAAUGAUGAAUAUAUAUUAAUGUUUAAUAUAGGAAGAAGUUCUAAUAAUUAAUUAGAAGAAAUUCCGAAUUCUGAAAAACAGGAUAUUAAAUUAGGUAAUUUAAUCGCAGAAGAAAAAGACUUUUCUGAUGAAAUUAUAGAAAAAAUUAAUAAAAAUCAUAUUUCUAAAGAGGAAAUAUAUAAGAUCUCUAAGUUUAAAUAUGGACUCAGAGACAUAUAGAAAAAAUUAGCGGUAACACUGACGCUAAGGAUACAAGAGAAGGAUUAACAGAAAUCCCUCUCUUUACUAAAGAGAAAAUUAAGAGGAUUAGAAAGAAAUAUCCUCAGGUUAGAUAUAUACAUUUAGGUAUAAUCAUGAUUACUAUUAGAGCCUUAUUUAGAAGAGGUCAUGAUAUUCCUAUAAUAGCUGUCCUUUUAGGUAAAAGAUUUGAAAAUCCAAUAAAAGCACUUAUUGGAGGUAUUCAGUCUAAUUUACAUACAGGUGUAAUAGGAUUUAAAGUUAAACCAAAUUAUUUUAUUUCCAUUUCAGACCCUCUAAUAGAAGAGUGUCUUUGCCUUAGGAUUCAGACAAAAAAUUCUGAUAUCAAUGAUUUAGUAGAAGAUCUAGCAAUUAGUUGGAUUUCUAUUAAUGAAUAUACAAAUACAGCAGAAGUAGAAAUAAAAGAGAUUAAUAACAAAAUUAUUGAAAUCUUUGAACCAAACAAGUUCACUACUGAAAUUCAGCCGAAAUUAUUAGAUCUAAGAGAUCUGUCAAUUCCAAGAGAUCGGAUGAUGGAAAGAAUCAAUAGUUCUAGUACUUCUAAACCAGUUAGUACUAUAGAAUAUAUGUCAUCAGGCAAUAAAUUGUAUUUUAAAAAUAAUUGUAUAACAAAUACAAAUGAAAAUUUAGUUUUACCCUCUAGUUCUCAACCAGAAGAAGAAGAAGAUAAUAUUAGUUCAAAUAGUACACCAAUAGGAAUUAAAACUGUUCAAAUUCCUAAAUUUCCUACUGAACCUAGUAAUAAUUCUAGAAAAACUAGACUGGAAGAAAUUCAAACUUCAACAAUUGAUAAAAAGUCAAAAGUUGGAAUAAAUAUCAAAGUUACAUUUCAGUUUAGAAAAUAUAAAAAAACAUUCUCUAAAUGUUUUGAUUGAUACUGGAGCUACAAUCUGUAGUUGUAGAGAAAAUGCGAUUCUUGUAGAAAAAUGAGAAAUAAUGAAAAAACCCAUAAAAAUAAUGGGACUAGAUGGUAGUAAAACUAUUAUAAAACAUAAAGCUAAAAAUAUACCAAUCUACAUAAACAAUGUUAGAUUUGUGAUUCCUAAAAUAGUAUGUUUUCCUAACAUGAAGGGAGAUAUAUUAUUAGGUAAUAAUUUUAUAUGUAAGUAUUUACCUUUUACUAUUGAAAAACAUUCUAUUUGGUUAUCAGUAAAAAAAGAUUUUUUAGAAAUACCUCUUGAUAAUAAUAAUAAGAUUGUGUGUAAUAAAAAUUUUACACCAAUUAAACUACUAGAUAAUUAAUAAUUAUUACUAAUGAUUGUUGAUUAUCUUAAUAAGUUCUAUGGAUAGAGGUAAACAGCCUCUAAAAGAAAUACUCGAUGAAUGGACUACUGCUCACAAAAAACCCAACAAAGGGAAAGCAGUAUCGAACUCCAAAAAAGAAUUUGUACCUGCACAACUACCAUUUUAUCCUAAUCAAGGAUAUUAUGUGUCAUAUCCAAUGGUAAACCAACCACUUGGACCAAAUGUUUUAAAAUAUUCAAUGGUAAACCAACCAGUUGGAACCUCUUUUUCAAACAUGGUGUAUCAAUCACCAAUGUUUCAUGAUAUGAAUUUAGCAUCACCAACCAAUUAUACUGAAAUCAUCAAAAGUUCGGAAAAUUUGUUGAAAAAACAACAAAUUGAAGAAGAAAAAAAUCUUUCAAAAAUAAAAGAUUUUUAUAAUCCUGGUUUAUCACCAGAAAAUUAUGACUUUAUAAACGAGAUAUGGAAAACUCAUAUUUCUAAUCAAAGAGUCAAUUUCAGAAGAGCUCUUACCAGAUAUUCAUUAUUUUUAGUUGAAAAAACAACUAAAGAAAAUGAAGCUGAAGAUUUAUUAUUAAAAUCUAUUUUAUACAGAGAUUGGGAUGAAUUCCAACUCUUUGUUAUGGAUAUUAAGGAGAUAAACAAUCUUCUUGAUAUUAUUCAAUAUUUUAUUCAUAAAAAGAAAAACAAUUCUAUUAUGAAUAAAGUAUUUAGAAUAUGUAUGUUUAAUAAAGCUAGGAAAUUUUUACCGGUAGAAAUAUUCACAAAAAUAAAUGAAAUAAUUUGCAGACAGCAAAUUCAAUUUCAAAAAGCUUUUUCAGAAUAUUUUCUACAAGCAUAUGUUUUUAAUGAUUAUUUAGAUAAUGAAUUUCCUACUUUAAAAUACAGAUUAGAUCAUGAACCAUUUGAUAUAACCAAUAUUGAAUGGGGUUUUACUAAAGAAAUAGUUGUGCAAAAUCUCUCUUUUCAUCUUUUAAAAGAUUUUCCAGCUAUUGUAAAGUCAGUUUUACAAAACAUCAUAAACAAUGAUGAUUUUUAUUACUAUUUUUAUAUUGAAAUUAGUAGUCUAAUAGGUAUAGCUGAAUAAGAAAAAAAUUAUCAACCGUAUCAAAUUUGGGUUAUUAAAAAGAUGAUUGGAACCCCCCAAUUAUCUGCUGUUAAUGAAGAUAAAGAACAUUUGUCAAAAACUAUUGAUAAAUGUUAUAAUAAAUUUGAUCAUUAUCAAGUCCAAACAGGAAUUGAUUUAUUAUCACAAGCCCAUUAUCUUCUCCAUGAUGAUGUUUAUAAAUUAUGGACGGAUGGAAGGAGGAUAUUGGCAUUUCCCAAUGGAAACAUCCAGGAGGAAAGAGAUGAAGAAUCUGUGAAGCUGUUAAGAAAGAUUGUUGAAAUGGAGAUAGAAGAAUUUCCAUCUCAUAUUACAGAAAAAAUAAAAAAUAUAUGGGAGACUUGGAACUCACCACCAAGACUUUCAUCAGAUUUUUUACAUUUGGACGAGAUUGAAGAAAUGAAUCUCAAUAAUAUGCAAGAAGGUUGAAGUCAAAAAAGAUGGCAACCUGAAAGAAAGGCAAUCCACAUACCAACAAAAAAGUUUGGCAACGUGGAUAUCAUGAUGACAUAAGCCAUGAUGGAAGCAACCAUGAAGGCUAAUCAAUGACACCCAGAUGCAGACAAAAAGUCUUGCAACGUGGAAGAUUUCAUCAAACCAAUGAUGAUGCAAGCAAUGAUAAAAGCUACAUGACACAAGCAAGUGAUGGAAGCGGUCAUUAAUUCAAGCAUGCAACGUGGAAACAACCAUGACCAUGCAAUUAAAAUUACAAGAAGACAAAUGAGACGUGGAAGCAGCCACAUCCAUUUGAAGCCGAAUCCUUAUCAGAAACACUGUUCGGGAUUCAAAAUACAAUUGUAUAGAAUUUUUAAUCUCCUUUAUAAAUAGGGAGGAAAGUUCAAUUGUAUAGGCAUCAUUUGUUUAUAGUUUACUCUUUAGUUUUCUUCUAGUUUUCUUCUUUGUAAACAUUUUCUUUUUUGUUAAUAAAAGAGUCUAUAUUCCCUUCCGCUCAUACUCUUUAAGUCCCUUCUCCCCCUAGAAUUGGUAUCAGAGGUGCCGGUGUAACGACUUUCUGGAGAAAUAAUAUCGUAAUAUUCAUUGUAUGUUUUUGUCUUUGAUUUACAUUUCUGUUUGUUUCACUGUUGUUUGUUUCAAAACUCAUAUAUCUAUUAUUAUGUCUUCUUGUUGCCGUUGAGUCCAGGGAGGACGUUAAGCGUUGUGUGAAGACGAUAUAGAUAAUAGACGGUCUUAGGUACCCGAGACAAACAUUAUGGAGCAAAUUGAGUGUCAAUUUCAAGAUAAAACUUGUAAUCAUAUUACGCAUAUAGACUCUAGAAAUGAAAACAACAUUUCAUCUCUGAGUAAGGGUAUAAAUAGUCUUGUUGAUAUGACUUCUUUUUAUUUUUCUAAGUUAUGUAAAAAGGUCAGUAAAGUAGAAGAAAAGAUAAAUAAUUUAGGAGAUAUAAAAAAUUUAGACUUAAACCAUGAGUCUAAAGAAAUAUUAACUAAUAUUAAUAAUAAAUUAGAACAAGUUUUUAAUAAUAAUACUGAGUUUGAUGUAGAUCUAGGUCCUUUAUAUUAUGGCAAUGGUAAGGAUAACAUUUUAGUUUUAUCUAAAGAAGAAAAUACUUAUUCUGAUGAGUCAUCAUCUCUGUUAAAAAAUUAUAAAAAAACAUAAAAAAACGUAAAAAAAGAUGAUAAACAAAAAUAAUAUGAUUUCCAGUCCUAUAAAACCCUUAUAGAACAUUGGAAAGAAAAAUUUACUACUACUAAUGAUCAACUAGAAAGAGUUGAAUAUUUAAAAUUAAUUGAAGAGCUUUAUGAAAAAUAUAAAGAUUUUUUUAGUAUUUUUAGUUAUCAUUAUAUGUUAAAAUAUGAUGAUAGUAGCAAUUCAAGUAAUUCUGAAAAAACAGAAUUAUUUAAGAAACAAUCUGAUGAAGAAAAACUUCAAUAGAUCAGGAUGAAGACAUAAAAGUCUCAACUUAUAAUUCUGAUGAAGAAACCACUUUAUCUGAAGAUGUAGACGAAGAAAUAAAUAUUCCUGAACCAAUAGAUACUGAACCAACAGAUCCUUAUGGAAAAAGAAAAAUAGAGUCAGAUAGUCAAACAGAUGAUUAUCUUAGGUCUUUAAAUAAACAGAUGAAAUUUUGGUAAUAAAAUCGAUAAUAUAGCAACUAAUGAAGUAAAACCUGAAUAUCCAGGAGAAACUUCUAACCAACCUGUUCAACAAAGAAUAGAUGAUUUAAAUAAAAGAAAUGUGGCCCAAGGAGGAAUUUAUUUAGAUCUAACUAAUACUCCUAUUUCAAAUUAUGAAAAAACUAUUGAUGAUUGGGCACAAUCUAUGACUAUUGUUGUAAACAGCAACACGUGGUCAAAAGAAAAUUUUUUAAAUUACUUUGUUGGAACAUUUCAAGGAGAUGUUCUACAAUUUUUUAGACGUUGAGAAGAGUCUAAGAAAGGUAAAGAACAAAAGGGGCAAUUAAUCAACCAAAUAGGAACCCCUAAGGAUCUUUUAAAAGGAUUAACCUUAAUUCUAAAAAUAGAAUUUUGUGGAUAUUUUGAUAAAAAAGAUCAAGAUAGUACAUCUAGUUAUAUCCUUUCUAAGAUUAAAUUAUGUGAUAUUAGACAUUUAGAAGAUUUUUCUAAAAAAUUUCUUCAUGAAUAUCAAAAGUUAAAAAUGAAAAUAUAGAAUUUUGGAAAAACCAAUAUUUUCAUAAAUUACCCCCACCCUGGGAUGAGAUAUGUAUAAACAAAUAUGUCUUAUUUAGAGAAGCACAGUAAAACAUCUGGACUUCCAGCAGAAAAUUUGGAUACUAUAGGAAAUAGGAUAAACUUUGCACGUGAAAGAAUAACUUUACAUUGUUUGCAAAGUAAAGCUGCUAAACAAGUCAAACAUAAAUUAAGUGAUAAAUAUUGUAAUAAAAUACUAGAAAAUGAAUGUGAAUUUGGAUGUAAACAAAUAUAUCCUAAAAAGCAGAAAAAAUAUAAAUUAAGAAAAUGGAAACCAGGUAAUAAAAAGUUUUUUGGUAAUAAUAAAACAGUGGUUAGGAAAAAGACUUCUGAACAAAGAAACAAAUUUGUAAAUGUUUUAUUUGUGAUGAAGAAGGUCAUAUAGCUAGCAAUUAUCCUAACAAAGGAAAAAAUGCUAGAAAAAUGAUAAAAAGUCUUGAAAAACAAGAUUUAAAAAUAUGUUUUCAAAAGGAAAUAAAUCCUGAAGAAAUAUUAUAUGAGUUAGUUUCAGAAACAGAUUCUGAUAAUAACGAUGAAUAUAUAUUUAUGUUUAAUAUAGAAUAUAUGUCAUCAGGCAAUAAAUUGUAUUUUAAAAAUAAUUGUAUAACAAAUACAAAUAAAAAUUUAGUUUUACUCUCUAGUUCUCAACCAGAAGAAGAAGAUAAUAUUAGUUCAAAUAGUACACCAAUAGGAAUUAAAACAGUUCAAAUUCCUAUAUUUCCUACUGAACCUAGUAAUAAUUCUAGAAAAACUAGAAUGAAAGAAAUUCAAACUUCAACAAUUGAUAAAAAGUCAAAAGUUGGAAUAAAUAUCAAAGUUACAUUUCAAUUUAGAAAAUAUAAAAAAUAUUCUCUAAAUGCCUUGAUUGAUACUGGAGCUACAAUCUGUAGUUGCAGAGAAAAUGCGAUUCCUGUAGAAAAAUGGGAAUUAAUGAAAAAACCCAUAAAAAUAAUGAGACUAGAUGGUAGUAAAACUAUUAUAAAACAUAAAGCUAAAAAUAUACCAAUCUACAUAAGCAAUGUUAGAUUUGUGAUUCUUAAAAUAGUAUGUUUUCCUAACAUGAAGGGAGAUAUAUUAUUAGGUAAUAAUUUUAUAUGUAAGUAUUUACCUUUUACUAUUGAUAAACAUUCUAUUUGGUUAUCAGUAAAAAAAAGAUUUUUUAGAAAUACCUCUUGAUAAUAAUAAUAAGAUUGUGUGUAAUAAAAAUUUUACACCAAUUAAACUACUAGAUAAUUAAUAAUUAUUAUUAAUGAUUGUUGAUUAUCUUAGCAGGUUCUAUGGAUAGAAGUAAACAGCCUCUAAACGAAAUAGUCAGUGAAUGGACUACUGUUCACAAAAAACCCAACAAAGGGAAAGCAGUAUCAAACUCCAAAAAAGGAUUUGUACCUGCACAAAUAUCAUUUUAUCCUAAUUAAGGAUAUUAUGUGUCAUAUCCAAUGGUAAACCAACCACUUGGACCAAAUGUUUUAAAAUAUCCAACGGUAAACCAACCAGUUGGAACCUCUUUUUCAAACAUGGUGUAUCAAUCACAAAUGUUUCAAGAUAUGAAUUUAGCAUCACAAACAAGUUAUGCUGAAAUCAUCAAAAGUUCAGAAAAUUUGUUGAAAAAAUAAAAAAUUGAAGAAGAAAAAGAUCUUUCAAAAAUAAAAGAUUUUUAUAAUCCUGAUUUAUCACCAGAAAAUUAUGAUUUUAUAAACGAGAUAUGGAAAACCCAUAUUUCUAAUCAAAGAGCCAAUUUCAGAAGAGCUCUUACCAGAUAUUCAUUAUUUUUAGUUGAAAAAAUAACUAAAGAAAAUGAAGCUGAAGAUUUAUUAUUAAAAUCUAUUUUAUACAAAGAUUGAGAUGAAUUCCAACUCUUUGUUAUGGAUAUUAAUGAGAUAAACAAUCUUCUUGAUAUUAUUCAAUAUUUUAUUCAUAAAGAGAAAAACAACUCUAUUAUGAAUAAAGUAUUUAGAAUAUGUAUGUUUAAUAAAGCUAGGAAAUUUUUACCGGUAGAAAUAUUCACAAAAAUAAAUGAAAUAAUUUGCAGACAGCAAAUUCAAUUUCAAAAAGCUUUUUCAGAAUAUUUUCUACAAGUAUAUGUUUUAAUGAUUAUUUAGAUAAUGAAUUUCCUACUUUAAAAUACAGAUUAAAUCAUGAACCAUUUGAUAUAACCAAUAUUAAAUGGGGUUUUACUAAAGAAAUAGUUGUGCAAAAUCUCUCUUUUCAUCUUUUAAAAGAUUUUUCAGCUAUUGUAAAGACAGUUUUACAAAACAUCAUAAACAAUGAUGAUUUUUAUUACUAUUUUUAUAUUGAAAUUAGUAGUCUAAUUGGUAUAGCUGAACAAGAAAAAUUUUACCAGCCGUAUCAAAUUUGGAUUAUUAAAAAGAUGAUUGGAACCCCCCCAAUUAUCUGCUUGUUGAUAUGACUUCUUUUUAUUUUUCUAAGUUAUGUAAAAAGGUCAGUAAAGUAGAAGAAAAGAUAAAUAAUUUAGGAUUUAUAAAAAGUUUAGACUUAAACCAUGAGUCUAAAGAAAUAUUAACUAAUAUUAAUAAUAAUAUUGAGUCUGAUGUAGAUCUAGGUCCUUUAUAUUAUGGUAAUGGUAAAAAAAAUAUUUUAGUUUUAUCUGAAGAAGAAAACACUUCUGAUGAGUCAUCUCUGUUAAAAAAUUAUAAAAAACAUAAAAAACGUAAAAAAGAUGAUAAACAAAAAGAAUAUGAUUUCCAGUCCUAUAAAACCCUUAUAGAACAUUGGAAAGAAAAAUUUACUACUACUAAUGAUCAACUAGAAAGAGUUGAAUAGUUAAAAUUAAUUGAAGAACUUUAUGAAAAACAUAAAGAUCUUUUUAGUAUGUUUAAUUAUCAUUAUAUGUUAAAAUAUGAUGAUAGUAGCAGUUCAAGUAAUUCUGAAAAAACAAAAUUAUUUAAGAAACAAUCUGAUGAAGAAAAAACUUCAACCGAUCAGGACGAAGACAUAAAAGUCUCAACUUAUAAUUCUGAUGAAGAAACCACUUCAUCUGAAAAUGUAGACGAAGAAAUAAAUAUUCCUGAACCAAUGGAUACUGAACCAACAGAUCCUUAUGGAAAAAGAAAAAUUGAGUCAGAUAUUCAAACAAAUGAUUAUCUGAUUAAAGAUUUAGGUAAAGUUCAAUAUACAACCAGUAUGUUGACUAGUAAUAUAAAAAAAUUUAACUAUUGAUGAGAAAGAUCCUAAAAAUAUAAGAGAAUUUAUUAAUAGAACUUUACUAGGACAGUUAGGUGUAAAACCUAAUACUCAUAAUAGGCAUAAAAAGAAAAAAUAUAAUAAACAAGUCAAAGGAAAAUUAGAAAAUAAAAAAUUUUCUGGUCAUAUUAAGAGUCAGUUUUCUAGAAGAAAAACUUCUAAAGAACUUAAAGAUAUUUUAGAUAUUAAGAUAGGUCAUAUAGUCAAAAACUUUUCUAACAAAAGAAAAGAAUCUAGAAAAAGAAUUAAUAGUCUUGAAAAACUAGAUUUGGAAAUAAGUUAUAAAAAGGAAAUAAAUCCUUAUAAAAUUGAAUCUGAUAAAAAUGAAAAAAUAUUUUUAUUAGAAAAUUCUAGAAAUACUAGAAUUGAAAAAUUAAAAACAGUUCUUCAGCAAAUAAAAAUUGGGAAAAAUGAUAUAAUCACAUUUUCAAAUUUUCAAGCUAAGAAAUAUUAUACUCAUAUUGAAAUCACAUUUCAGUUUAGAGAAUAUAAAAAAAUAUUCUUUACACGCUUUGCUUGACACUGGAGCUACAACAAGUAGUUGCAAAAAAAAAUGCUAUUCUUAUAGAAAAAUAGGAAUUAAUGAAAAAUCCUAUUAAUGCAAUUGGAAUAGAUGGUAAUGAAACUAUAAUCCAAUAUAAUGCAAGAAAUAUACCAAUCUACAUAAACAAUGUUAGAUUUGUAAUUCCUAAGAUGUUAUGUUUCUCUGAAAUGCAUGGAGAUAUAUUACUAGAAAAUAAUUUUAUAUAUCAUCAUCUACCAUUUUCUAUAGAUAAAUAUUUGGUUACUUUGUCUGUAGAAAAAUUCUCUAUGGAAAUACCACUGGUAGAAAACCAUAAGUUUGUGUGUAAUAAAAACUUUACACCAACUAGAAAAGAACAAAUUAAACAAAUAGAAACUAAUCAUUGGUUGUUUAAAAUAUUAGAAAACAAUUUUAGUGAUGAACCACUAAAGUUAUGAAAAAAUAGUCCAAGAUAUUGUGAAAUAAAAUUAAAUAAUCCUAAUAAAAUAAUUAGGGUUAAGCCUAUGAUCUAUACUAAACAAGAUAUGGAUGAGUUUGAUGUUCAAAUAAAUGAACUAUUAGAAAAAAAGAUUAAUAGAAAAAACUAAUAGUCCUCAUUCAAGUCCUGCUUUUAUGGUAAAAAAUCAUGCUGAAAUUAAAAGAGGAAAAGCUAGGAUGGUUAUUAAUUAUAAGAGAUUAAAUCAAAACACUAUUUUUGAUGGAUAUUUUAUCCCAAAAAAAGAAGUAUUGAUCAAUCAGGCUAAACAAGCCAAAUAUUUUAGUAAAUUAGAUUGUAAAUCGGGAUUCUGACAAAUCAUGCUAAUCGAUGAGUCAAAACCUUUAACUGCUUUUAGUGCCCCUAAUGGUCAUUAUCAAUAGAGGAUAAUGCCAUUUGAAUUAUGCAAUACUCCACAAAUCUUUCAAAGAUGGAUGGAUUCCAUCUUUAAUAAGUAUAAAAAGUUUUGUGUAGUAUAUAUAGAUGAUAUUCUAGUCUUUUCAGAAACACUAGAAAAGCAUAGAAAACAUCUAAAUAUUUUUUCUCAAAAAUUCCUAAAACAUGGAAUUAUAUUAAGCCCUAAAAAGAUAGAGCUAGAAAAAAUGGGAAUAGAAUUUUUAGGUUUAAAGUUAUCUACAGAUGGUCUUAAACUCCAAGAUCAUAUUAUUGUAAAAAUAAAAGAAUUUCCUGAAAAAAUAGAAGAAUUUCCUGAAAAAAUAGAAGAUAAAAAACAUCUUCAACAAUUUUUAGGAAUUGUUAAUUAUGGGAGAAACUUUUUUCCAAAAUAAUCUGAAAAAAUAGGUAUAUUAUAUGGAAAAUUAAAAAAGAAUAUUUCUUUUUGCUGGUCUAAGAAAUUAUAAAAAAUAUAAAAGCAGAAAUAACUUACAAUCUAAAAGUUUAUUUACCUAAAAAAUGUGAUAAACUAAUUUUAGAAACUGAUGCAUCACAAUGUUAUUGGGGAUGUAUUCUAAAAGCUAAAACAACUAAUAAUAAUGAAGAACUAAUAUGUGGAUAUAAUUCAAGAAAAUUUAAGCCUAAUGAGGUUAAUUAUAUUAUUUAUGAAAAAGAACUUUUAGCUAUUAAAAAAGGAAUAAAAACUUUCUUAUUUAUUUAGCACCUGAAAGGUUCAUCAUAAGAACUGAUAAUCAGGCAGUUAAACAGUUUUUAACUAACAACAGUUUGGAAACUGUACCAAGAAGAAUUAGGUGGUAGAAUGAUUUAUGCACUUUUAAUUUUGAAGUUAUUUAUAUAAAAAGUGAUGAAAGUCUUCUUGCUGAUUAUCUUAGCAGGCCUCAUGGAUAGAGGUAAACAACCUCUAAAAGAAAUAGUCGGUGAAUGGACUACUAUUCACAAAAAACCCAACAAAGGGAAAGCAGAAGCAAACUCCAAAAAAAGAUUUGUAUCUGCACAAAUACCAUUUUAUCCUAAUUAAGGAUAUUAUGUAUCAUAUCCAAUGGUAAACCAACCACUUGGACCAAAUGUUUUAAAAUAUCCAAUGGUAAACCAACCAGUUGGAACCUCUUUUUCAAACAUGGUGUAUCAAUCACCAAUGUCUCAAGAUAUAAAUUUGGCAUCACAAACCAGUUAUACUGAAAUCAUUAAAAGUUCAGAAAAUUUGUUGAAAAAACAACAAAUUGAAGAAAAAAAGAUCUUUCAAAAAUAAAAGAUUUUUUAUAAUCCUGAUUUAUCACCAGAAAAUUAUGAUUUUAUAAACGAGAUAUGAAAAACCUAUAUUUCUAAUCAAAGAGCCAAUUUCAGAAGAGCUCUUACCAGAUUUUCAUUAUUUUUAGUUGAAAAAACAACUAAAGAAAAUGAAGCUGAAGAUUUAUUGUUAAAAUCUAUUUUAUAUAGAGAAUGGGAUGAAUUCCAAUUAGAAUUCAUGGAUAUUGAGGAGAUAAACAAUCUUUUUAAUAUUUUUCAAUAUUUUAUUCAUAAAGGAAAAACCAGUCCUAUCAUGAAUAAGGUAUUUAGAAUCUGUUUAUAUAACAAAUCUAGACAGAUUUUACCAAUGAAAAUAUUCAACAAAAUUAAUGGACUUAUUUGUAAUCAACAGAUUAAAUUCCAAAAAGCUUUUUCUGAAUAUUUUCUACAAUCUUAUGUUUUUACUAAUUUUAUUGGUAAAAUUUAUCCAACUAUAAAAUUUAGAUUGGAUCAUGAACCAUUCGAUAUAACAAGUAUUGAAUGGGGUUUUGUUAGAGAAAUAGUAAUACAAAAUUUCUCUUUUCACCUUUUAAUGGAUUUUCCAGCAAUAGUAAAAUCUUUUUUACAAUCCAUCAUAAACAAUGAUGAUUUUUUCUAUUACUUUUAUAUCCAAAUUAGUACUCUUAUUGGUAUUCCUGAAAAAGAAAAAAUUUUUCAGCCAUAUCAAAUUUGGUAUAUUCAUACUAUGAUCGACAGCCCUCGAUUAUCAGCCUUAAAUGAAGAUAAGGAACACUUGGCAACAACAAUUGACAAGUGUCAGAAAGAUUUUAGCUAUUAUCAAAUCCAAACUGGAAUUGAUUUAAUGGCUAAAGCAAGAUAUCUUCUUCAAGAAAAAAAUUAUCGACUUAGAACUGAUGGAAGAAGAAUAAUGGCGUACUAUUCAAGAAUUAGUGAUAAAGAUGAAGAAUCCAUUUGUCUACUAAAAAAGAUAGCAAAAAUAGAUAUAGAAGAUUUCCCAUCUCAUAUUUUGCAACAAAUCAAAAAUAUAUGGGAAAAUUGUCAUCAAGAUAUAUCUACAAUUCAUCACUAGGGAUGAUGCCAACAAAGAUGGCAACCUGAAAGAAAGGCAAUCCACAUACCAACAAAAACGUUUGGCAAUGUGGAUAUCAUGAUGAUAGUAGCAGUUCAAGUAAUUCUGAAAAAACAGAAUUAUUUAAGAAACAAUCUGAUGAAGAAAAAACUUCAACAAAUCAAGAUGAAGACAUAAAAGUCUCAACUUAUAAUUCUAAUGAAGAAACCACUUCAUCUGAAGAUAUAGACGAAGAAAUAAAUAUUCUUGAACCAAUGGAUACUGAACCAACAGAUCUUUAUGGAAAAAGAAAAAUUAAGUCAGAUAUUCAAACAAAUGAUUAUCUGAUUAAAGAUUUAAGUAAAGUUCAAUAUACAACCAAUAUGUUGACCAGUAAUAUAAAAAAUUUAACUAUUGAUGAGAAAGAUCCUAAAAAAUAUAAGAAAAUUUAUUAAUAGAACUUUACUAGGACGGUUAGGUGUAAAACCUAAUACUCAUCAUAGGCAUAAAAAGAAAAAAUAUAAUAAACAAGUCAAAGAGAAAUUAAAAAAUAAAAAAUUUUCUGGUCAUAUUAAGAAUCAGUUUUCUAGAAGAAAAACUUCUAAAGAAUUUAAAAAUAUUUUAGAUAUUAAAAUAGGACAUAUAGUCAAAAACUUUUCUAACAGAAGAAAAGAAGUUGAAAAGAAUUAAUAGUCUUGAAAAACAAGAUUUAGAAAUAAGUUAUAAAAAGGAAAUAAAUCCUUAUAAAAUUGAAUCUGAUAAAAAUGAAAAAAUAUUUUUAUUAGAAAAUUCUAGAAAUAUUAGAAUUGAAAAAUUAAAAACAGUUCUUCAGCAAAUAAAAAUUGGGAAAAAUGAUAUAAUUAUAUUUUCAAAUUUUCAAGUUAAAAAAUAUUAUACUUAUAUUAAAAUCACAUUUCAGUUUAGAGAAUAUAAAAAAUAUUUUUUAUACGCUUUACUUGACACUGGAGCUACAACAAGUAAAAUUUUAUCAGCCGUAUAUAGUAAUUUGUUACUUGAUUAGAUAAGCUAUGUCACUGCAGCUUGAGUUUUGUCCUUUCAAACUCACAUAUCAUAUACAGUCAAAAAGUUGAUGAACAAAAGGCUAUUACUUUUACAACUUAAGAUAUUGACUUUAUCUUUAUUGACAAAGCCCUCUUAGUUUCCAUUAGCAUUUGUUCCUGCAUUUAAAAGCCGGUUAGUAUUUUAGAACAUGUAAAAACUUUAGCAGUAUUUUUUUUUCUUUUUUGUUACCCAAAAUUCAGUUUAUUACCUUAUUCUGAAGUUCAGAAAGCUGGUCAAGCAUAUAUUGGGUCUGCAAAAGAAGAUUGAAAUAAAACAAAGUGCUAGAAUUUGUGAAAGUUGAAAAUAUUAGGAGCUAAAAGAGAAAUCAAGAAAGAGGUGGACUGGCAAGUUAAUUAUACCAUAAAAUUACUACAGGUAUGAUUAAUCUUUUCAUGGAAAAAAAAACCCACUAUAACUGCUCUAUGAUAUCUCUUAAAGCCUAACAAAAUGGAUUAUGAUUUUGCUUCCACUAGUAGAUAUAACUUGCUGUUAAGUUUCAUCUUCUCCUGGAAACCUCUAAUCCAUAAGGAUUUAAAUGGCAAAUUCAACCAAAAACUCAUCUACAACCACAAUCUAAAUCCUUAAUUCAUGUGUACUUAUCAUCUAAAAUGAAUGCUAUGACCAGUAAAAAGAUUGAGGCUGCAAGCUUUAGGGUUUUUCUUAAUAGUUGAAAUGGGAAGAGGAAACCCACCGACAAGAAAAGGUAUUAAACUGACCAAAACAGUAUAGCCUACUUUCACAUUUUUUUUAUCCUGGUUUAAUAUUGAAUUUUAUCCCUCUAUUUUAAUAAAAUUUAAAAGUUAAUCCCUAUAAUUUGUCAAAUUUUGAUCAUCAUACUUUAUAAAAAUUGAAAAAUUAGUCCAAUUGGAUAACAUUGUUAAAUAGCUAAUAUGAAAAUUAGUAAUUUUCAAUUUAUAUCAACUGUCUAAUAAUUUAUAGGCAAUAAAUUAGCAACGGUUAAUAAUUUAAAUUUAUAUGUUUACCAACUAAAUCAAAUUUAAAUAAAUUAGAAAAAAAAAGGACUAAUUUUUCAGUAUUAUUAAAGUAGAAAUGAAAUUAUUCUAAUAAAGAUGUUAUUAUAUAGUACUGUUUCCCUAAUUCCUCUAGCCACUUCUAAUAUUAUUUGUGGUUAAUGAGCUUCAAUAGACAGUUUUUAACCCCCUCCAUUAGAUUUUAAGCAAAGCUAAUAAUAAUAAAUUGUAAUUUAAAUAAAUUACUGAUGAAGAAAAACUCUUCUAAAAAGAACACAACUUUUGUAAAAGAUAGAUUUGCUGACAAGUUGGGUCUGGUUAAAUUGGAUGGGAUUAAAUCAGAAAAAAAAAGUUUAUUUACCAUAACAUUCUAGUUUCAUAUUUAUUCCUAGCUAUCUUAAAAAUUCAGAAUAUAACAGAUGUGCAACAAAUGAUAAAAAAUAAAUAUACUAUGCUGAACAAUUGUAUGAAAUUCUCACUUGUAUAAACUCAAACAUAUCAAAGAUAUAUGUAAGCAGUAAUCAAAACUUACCCUUGGUGGAGCGGACAUGUUUCAGGGAUGACUCUAGUUGAUGCUCAAGCUGCUCAAGCUCCUUUGAGUUCAAUGGACCCAAGUCUUCACCAAGGAGAUUCCUGUUGAAUCAAAGGACCAAACCAGAUAGCACAUAAAAUUGCUCUUAUUCAAAUACUUUUAGUAAUUACAAUCAAAUUAAUAUACACUUCUAAAUGGACUAAUAGCCUAUCAAAUUAAUAUGGAAGUCCAAAGCUAUGGUAUGGUUGUAAGACUAAACACCUCUGAGUUCGAUUUAGUUCCUCAUAUCUAGCUUUCAGUUUUAGGUACUGUAAUAACCCAAAUUCGCCCGGCCCAAAUUAAAUAAUAAAUACAAAAAACAAAUAAAAAUUAAAAGUCCAUUUUUAAGGUCCAUUUACAUCCAGCCUAAUAAUAACUAACACGUUUAGCCCAAGACCCAACUACAAUAUGACCCAAACUGUUUUAACCUAAACUAUCCAAAUUUAACAGACCCUAAACCCAACUUUCUAAACUCGGAUCUCCUAGGCCCAAAACUCGGCCCAAAUCAAUGGAGCACCCUAGAGGCUUCUAGGGUUUUCACCAGCGCGCAGCCACCGAAGCCACCCUCCGCGCGUGCCAAGCCACUCCCCACGCAUGCAGCGCCUCCACGCCACGUUGGCCUCCAUACCACCAGCUAGAAUCCUCCGUACCUGCACACAAGCAGACAAACAAAAAAACAAGCAGAAAACGACAGCAAAGAAAAAAGAAAAAAAGGAUAUUAGUUGUAUUUUGGAUUCAUUUUUUUUAUCUUUAUCUUCGGCUAUAAAGCCAUUUUCCAAAUUUUGUAAACGUUACACACGCAUUUGAUAUUCAUUACGAAUACAAAAAUCAGAGAAAAAGGUGAUUUCCCCAGUUUUCCUCCUGUUUUGAUUUCAGUUUUCCUUUUCUUUUCUGCAUUCAAUCGUUAGAUUUUUAGGCGAGAAAGUAAUAAAGAAAAGAGGAAAGCGUACCUGACGUUAGGAUUUCGGCCUCCUCCGUCGUCAUCGGAGAGCAGGUCAGAAUCGGAGACUAUUCGCCUGCCUUUAGUACGCAGAACGGCGCAGAGUCUCCCUUAGAUUAGGUUUUUUCUUUUUACUAAAAUGAUAGGUGUUAGGGUUAUCUUAGUUUAAAGAGUAAGAAUCAAAACGUCGCCGUUCAGAGCCAAUACAAUGGCAUUGAAACUGUGUUGUUUCGAAGACUCGAUCCGAGCGGUGACCCGAUCCGGGAAGGAUCCGUGCUCCAUGGAUCGUUUGGUUUAUUUAUUCACCAAGCCCCUCUUAGUUUUGAUUAGUCUCAAUUUGGUUACUUUAGUUUUUUUUUUAAAAUUUAUACUGCGUAUUUAACUUUGUUUGCAUGUCGAUCCAAGGUUAAGCGACACCGUUUUACACCUGAUUGCUAAUGAAAUUGCUGAUUGAGUCCCAUAAGAUUAAAAAAGAUUUCAUGUUGGUACAAAUUUAGUUUUUUUUUUAAAUUCAAUAAUAUUUGUAAAUGCAAAUUAACCAUACUUACAUGUAUUAUAAAACUUAAUACUGUAUUUAAUUUUAAUAGUAUCUAAUUUUAUUAUAGUUUAAAAUAUAACAAAUCAUUAUUUUAACUUGUAUUUUAUGUCUUAAAUUCGUUGCACUAAUACUUGGGGUUUAUUGUUUUCUUUUAUUUUAUUUUUAUCAUUCUAAGUUUUACUUAAACUUUGAUUUAAAAUCCAUUAAUUAUUGUUUUCAAUUAUAAAAAAGGUCUUUACAUAAUAAAUUUUGAUUUCAAAAGUUUUUUUAAUAAAUCGAUUUUAUAUUCAUUAUUUUUAAUAUUAUUUUAAUAUUUAGCUUAAUACUAUUUUCGAAUUUGCUUUUAAUAUAUUUUUUAGAAAUGAUACCUAAAUUCCUUCAAAUUAUUAUAUUUUAAAUACGUUUUAAAUUCACUAAAUAUUAUUUCAAUUUUUUUAUAAUUAUACUUUUUUUAAUUUGAUAUAUUAUUAUAAAUUUCAUCAUUUAUUAAUACACAUUGUGGUAGAUUAAACAUAAUUAUAUAUUUAGAUGUUGUAUACUGUGAGUAAAAUUAUUGUUGCUAUUGUAUUUGUAUUUAUUUAUUGCUUAUUUGGCUACAUCUUAGUUUAGGUUUGAAUUAUCAUUUAUCGUUUUACAUUACGUUUUUUAAAACUUUGCACCUUUAUCAUACUAUUUCAUAUUAAAAAAGCCUAGCAUUUAUAAUCUUCGAAAAAAUUGAGCCCUAAUGUAUUGGGUUCCAAUUUUCCUCGUUGAAUCCAAAUAAUCGAAAUUUUUCUUUAAUCAAGAUAUAUAAAACUCACUCUCGGGAAUUCGAUAAGUCGUGUCCUAAUGUAUUGGCUGUGAUGCAUCGAUUUCUCGAAAUAAGGUUUUUUUUAAAAAAAAUAAGAGCAAUAUUCAAUGCUCAGAACUUUGAGAAAUCGUGCCCUAACGUAUUGGGUUUCAAUUUUUUUAUCGGACUUAAAGCAAUUGAAUAUCCUUUUAAAUCUCACCACGCAAAUUUUGAAAAUCAAAAGAUAAACUUAUUCUCGAGGACUAAAAAUGUCGUGCCCUAAUGUAUUGGAUGUGUCAUUUUAUUACUCUAAGAUAAGGAGGUUUUUGGUAUUCGCAUCGAUUUAUCCAUGCAUCUUUUAUGAAAUUAAUAAGAAGAAUCGUAUUUUAAAGCUUUCUAAAGUUUUAACACUAAGACAUAAAAUGAUCAAUUCAGUACCAUUUUUUUGGGUGUUUCGAAAGUGCUAACCCUUCCUCGAGCAUAACCGACUCCCGAACCUGUUUUCUCAAAAUUCACAGACCUAAAAUUAUUUUCUAAGUGAUCCGAUCACACCUUAAUAAAAGAUCGGUGGCGACUCCCGUUUUUUAUUUCCAAAGUCAAUUCUUUUUUUUUUCAAAUUUAAAAAUGGUUUUCUUUUCAAAUUUAAAAAUAGUUUCGACAGGUACUCCCUGUAGCUGCUCCGUGGCAACAAAGAUUCUUGCAUAGAGCAUGUUCACAUAUUCAAUUCUCCACUAUGCCAUCUUCUCUUUUACUUGACAUUCCCCAACAUCAAACACGUUCAGUUUCUUCCCCCCACAUACACAUCUUUAUAAACAUUUUUGUUAUGGGAUUUAAUUUGUUAAUUAAGUGAGUUUGGGGGGGAGAUUCUUGUGUUUUUAUUUUAAUGAAGGUAUAUAUUAAAAGGUGUUUUUAACGUCCCAUCCAUGGCCAUGGGACCUUUUGGGGGGGGGGGGGGGGUUAGAACAAAGUCUGAAACACUGCAAUAAAACUGGCAAAAGAUUGUGUCCUUCUCUGCAAUAGUGCCAUGUUAAUAACCACUCCUAACUUGUUCUCUGCUCCCCCAUCUUCCAUUUUUUGCUUUUCAAUUUCUUUUUUUAUUUUUUCAAGUACCAAAUAUAAAAGAAAAUUAAUAAAGCAUGCGAUUAUGAGAGAUUGAGAUUAUGUACUAAGUAAAUAUAAAGAGAAUGAUAAAAGCUUGAAGAUGAAGAGGGAUUAAAACAGGUAAUUAUAAAAUACUGAAUAAAAUAAUAAUAAUAAUAUGUUGAGUUGGAAGAAGAGUUUGGCAAAAUGUAGGUUUGAAAGAAAUUAAUGCAAGUGGGAGAAAAUAUUGCAGCCUUUGCAUUUGCAUGCCACGUUUUAGUUGGACUUGGAAUGACUCUCCAAUAUGGAUCCUUUGAUGAUGAAUUUAUGAUCAUCAUCACAUGUUACUAUGACUAACUUACAAAACCCUUAAUUACUUCAUCAGCUUGAGUUUUUUUCCCCUUGAUCUCCUUGCAACAGUAAAAAGUGCAGUUUUUUUCGUUUGUCACAGAGAAUUGGAAGUAUAUAUAUGUAAGAGAUGAAGAGAUGGAUUAUAGCAUUAAUUAGUGAAAAAAAAUCAAAAAAAACCUGCAGUUAGCAACAAUGUACUCAUCAGAAACUUUCAGAUCAUAUCAUCAUCAUCAUCCUACACUGAUCGGCAUUGAUAAUAAUACCAUAAACUAAAUCAAAAUCAGAAUAUUGAAAAAAACAAUCCAUUGGAAGUUAAUAUGAGCUCUAUGCAUGAGGUGAGAGAUCAUAAACAGUGUUUGAGAGACGCAAGGCCUAGAAAUACCAAUCAAUCACGAUGUUUAGUUAUCACAUUCUUUUUUACUUCUAAAAUGAACAAUUAUUUUAUAGGUACUCAGAAAUUUGAAGGGAGUGUAAGUGCUGGCAGAGUAUUUAUUUCUUUUGCAGUUAGAAAAGUGAAUCAGAUAUAAGCAGAAAGUAGCCAACUCUUGUGUCAUAAGAAAGAAGAGUGGACUCCUAAUUAGCAUCCAACAACAAAAGCUCGUUAUACUACGUGUUGUGCUUUUUUGAACAUGAUAAGUAUAUAUUGUUACAGUCAGUACAAUCUAAUUCAAUUCCAUAACAUGUGACCAUUGACCAACACGCAUCUAUACCAGUGCAUGAUAAUGAAUAAACACAAGAAAACACAACAUGAAUGAAUAAACAUACAGCAUAGAAGGUAGAAACAUUGAACUCUGAAUCUGGAUGACUCAAAGGGAGAAGGUCAAUUGAGAUUCCAAGGACUCAUCUAUUUGAUGGAAACUUGUCCAAGUUUUACCAAUGUCAACUGGUCGGAAUAAACACACAGAAAUAAGUACAAUCUCCGCAAAUAGACAAGUCCUUUAAUAAACAUAUAGAAAAUAAGUCCAAUCCCUGCAAAUAGAUGUGGUAUAUUUUGCUAGUAAACCCAAUUUACUAGUUGACGUUGGUAUAGAAAAUAUAGCAAACUAGGAGUAGUUAUCCCACAUUGAUGGAAACUAUUGACCAACAAAGGCAGCUACUUGGUGUUCUAUGUGCAUUCCUACCUAUUCUUUUGAUUCCAUGUGUGAUUGUGGCAAAACCAAAUUGAGAUAUACAAAUGAAAAUGCUUUUUAUUUGAAAACUUACAGUGUUAAAGAAGCAAAUUGAUCAUACGAUCUACUAAUGAUUUGAGUCUUGAGUGAUCCAGCAAUACAGCUGACAGCGGCGUGGAAAUGAGUUUCAUCCUUUUGGUCAUUCUGUCAAUAUUUAAAAAUAAAAAAUAAAAACCAACAGCUAGUCAGUACAUUUCAAAUAGAAAAAGAAGAAGAAAAACAUGUUAAUCAAAAAACAUAUCCAUUACGAAAAAGCUUAAUUACGGUAUUAAUCCAUGAAAGAAAAAAGAAAACCAAUUACUGAAAAAACUGUAAAGAAAAGGAAAUGGGUAUCCUUUAUCUGUUUUGAUUAUACAUAAAAACUUACACCAGGACAUGUCGUGUUGAACAUUUUCGGAGAAGCAUCGACCAAGUAAACAACAUACUCUUUGGAACUCUCACUUUGCUGCAAAUAUUGGAUAAAAACAACACAAUUACAUCUCUCGUUUCUUAACCAUGGAGAAGAAUAUAGAAGAAAAGAAAGAGAAAGAGAGGAAACCUAUUUUGAUAAUGAAACUGUAAGUACCAUAAGAUUCAAACAUUUUCAGAACUUUAUAACACCUAAAGAAAAAAUAGGUAAAAGAAGACAAACCUAUUUUGUUCUGCUUGGACUUUGGCAUCUUCGACGAUUAAGGUUUGUCUAAAAGAAGAAGAAAAAACGCCAAAAAAGCGACUGCGUUGCUCUGCUUAUGCAACUCCAAAAAGGGGUUUUCAAUGUUACUCCGGUUCUAGAUUUGUUAGGAUUUUGAACUUUAUAUAGGGGCGGUUUUUAUUUUUAAGGAUAGAAUCGGGUCUGGCUUUUAUUUUUAACCAAAGUUAAUGAAUGCAAUUAAAACCACGCGAUUUUAAUAAAAGUAAAAAAAAAUUUGCCGCCUUUAUAGAAAAAACAACGCUAUUAUUUUACUUUUAGCGGUGUUUAUGAGAAUUAGUUAAGUGAUUUUAUAAAAUAUUUAUUAUUAUUAUUUUUUAUAAAUUGAAUUUUUAUAAUAGAAAAACUCAAUACUCUCAAAAUAAAUAUCGUAUAUUUUAAUAAGAAACCAAAUGAUUAAAUGGCUGUAAUUAAUUAUUAAGUUAGAAUUAUUCAAUGUAAGCAAUCAAUCUCUCACAUAUCAAAUUUCUAUUAAAGAUUGAGAUGUUAAUCAUGAUUUUAUAUUAUUCUUUUCCGAUCUAAUCUCUAUUUUAUUAUAGAUAUUUCUUCCUAACUAAAAUAUAACUAUUUUGCUAGAUGUUCGAUCUGAAAUAAUUUUAGUUUUUGUAUUUAAUUUUUAUUUGUUAUCAUUUGGUCCUAUCCAAAAUAGAUAGUUUACCUAUCCAUAUCUAUAUGUUACUUUUUUUUAUUUAUUUAUCAAUGUUUUUUUAAAUCUAAUAUUUAAAUAUAUCAAAUGGUUUAGAUUAAAUAUUUUUAAAUAUAAAAGUAUUAAUUAUAAAAUUUUAUCAUUUAACAAAUAUCAAGUAAACCUUAACUCCUAAACCAUUUAAUAUAUAUAAAGUUUAUCUAUUAAAUUAAUUAUCUCUUAAAUAAUUUAAACUAUAAUCAUAAUUUUAAUAUAUUAAAAUUAAUAUUAUCUCUUUUACAAUUAUAUAAGAAAUUAUUUAAUAUAUAAAUUAAAAAACACUAAUUAAUCUAAACCUUAAACUCCUAACCUCUAUCCUUUAAACCCUAAAUCAUAAAACAUAAACCCUAAACCCUUAAACCUUAAACCUCAACCCUUAAACCAUAAACAAUAAUCCCUAAACCCAUGAUCCAUAAACCUUAAAAUAGUAACUCUUAAACCUUAAACCUUAAACCAUAUACCCUAAACCAUAAACCCUAAACUAUAAUGCUAAUUAAUUCAAUAUUUUAAAAUUAAUACUAUCUCUUUUACGAUUAUAUAAGAAAUUAUUUAAUAUAUAAAUUAAAAACAAUCAGUCAUGUACUCAAAAAACUUUAAAAUUAUUUUAAAUAAUAGUAUUUUAAUUUUUUUCAUUUUUAACAAAUAUUUUUCUAUGUUUUUACUUUCAAAUUUUUUCUACGUGUCAUUAUUUUUUUUGAAGAAUUUAAAUAUUCAAUUAAAAAUAAAUUGUAUUUUAAUUAAUAUAAAUAAACAAGUUAAAAUAGAUAAAAAAAUUUUGCGGCGUUUCUGAUAAAGCGCCGCUAAUGCUCAAUCUAUAGCGGUAUUUUUCAAAAAGCACCACUAAUGCUACUAAAGCUCAACAUAAAACGACGCGCUUAAUUUUUUUGCGGCGUUUCUCAAAAAGCGUCACUAAAGGUUGACGGUGCUUUUCAAAAAAUCACAGUUAAUGCUCGAUCUAUAGCGGCGUUUUCCAAAAGUCACCGCUAAUGCUCGAUCUGUAGCUGCGUUUUUCAAAAAGCGCCGCUAAUGAUCGAUCUGUAGUGGCAUUUUUCAAAAAAAGUCGUUAAUGUUUGAUCUGUAGCGGCGUUUUCUAUCCAAACGCAACUAAAAGUGCCGCUAAAAACCUGUUUUGUUGUAGUGUGUACAUGUAUAAUAGAAGUUAUGAACCAAACAGAGACUAAAUAGAGCAUACAAACAUAGUUUUACCAAUCAAUACAAUCAACAACAUUUUUAAUCACCUUCCAUUGUUAUACCAAUAUGCCACAUAUGACACCCAAUUCAAUCAACAUUCAAUUGAGCAUGUUAUACUAAUCAGCUAUCACUUUGUAACUAACCAAAAUGAUACCAACCAUCUAAUAACCACCUUUUUAGCAUUAUAACAAAGCAAUACCUUCUAUUCAAAUAUUCAUCAUCAUUCACUAUCACCAUUUUGCUUAACCAUUCUUUGACCACCACAUCAUAGGUACAUGUUCAUUUCAAACUUAUGUACAUAUCAUAUAAGCACUAAGAUCAACCAUUUCAUAUGUUCCUUUAAUGUCAAAGGUUCAAGAUUAUUAAGAUUUAACUCAACGACACUUACUAAACAACCCUAUAUACAUUUAAACUCUAAAAACAUGCCAAAAUAUCAUAUAUCACUCUUUCAAACCAUCUAAUACAACCCUUCCACAAUUCGACAUCAAAACAUAUCAAAAUAACUUAAAUAAACACAACCUCACCAGCCAAUUCUUUUAUCCAUAACAUGAUAUCAUAUUAUCUAAUUGCAUACUCAAAAUGCUAUUUCAUGAGUCAUUUGCACAAUUCAAAUCAUCUACUAAAUGCAUAUGGUUUCAACUAUGUAUAUUCUUUGCCAUAAAUCAUGUUAACAUAGAUUUCAAACCAUAUCACUAUACAAAGAAACCAAAACAACUCUUAAGUACAUGUCACACAUAACUGAGCCUUAAUACGAUUAAAAGACUACCAAAUCAAUAACGAAAUAGUGUGAGUUUUUUGUCGAUUAGCCUGACAUGUUCCGCAAAUUGACAAUCUACAGGAAAAAGGGAGUAAGCAUUACAAAUGCUUAGUAAGUUCAUAGCUAUUAAAACAACAACUUACCUCAUUUUAUGAAUUUAUGCAAUAAGUUAUUCAACUUGACGAUUUUGCCUAAAUCCAACAACCCUAUAUCAACAAGGUGAGUUCAUCUCGCAACCCAUUCAUAUAAUAAUAUGAACAUUUAAUAUUUCAAAUAAUUUUAAUACCAAUCGCAUGGAAAUCAACAACCCAGUACCAUUCAUAACAUUCUAAUUAACAUUUCAAUUCACAAAUACAACUAAAAAUCUCAGUGGUACACAUGUAUCAAUAUAUUUAAGCUUUAAUCGAUCAAUCUAAAGAUUAUAUUGUAUCAUUUCAUUUUGUUGUCAACCAUACAUCCAAUUUCAAUAUAAUGGCAAUCAUUAUUUCAUUUUAUUGUUUGAAUUCUCAAUCCAAUUCAUAUUAAUCCAUAUGAAUUUUAUUCCCGUGUCAUAUAAAUUAAUCUUUAUACCAAAUAGAUAUUUAAUGUCAAUUUAAUGUCAAUCACUACUUUGUUUCAUAGUACGAAUUCUAAAUCACACUCAUUGAUUUGUCACGUAUUCAUAUUAACCUUCUGUGCUUGUAUAAUUGAUUCUUAAUAUAUAUAUGUAUCAUCCGAUCAUCAUAUCAACUUAAUUUGAAUAUUAUUUAUUCCAUUUACAAUAUACAUGCCCCUAUUAACCUGACUCAGACACGGAUGGAUACAUGGAUCCACCCAACACACCAAAUUGACACCCAGUGCCUAUUGGAUAAAUCCAAAAAUAAUAAGUUACACCCUAUGCUGGUCAGUAAAAUAAAAAAAAUAGAUGUGCUCAACAUUGGUCAGUAAAAUCAACAAAUGGGGUUCCCAACACUCCCCGACACGUAGUCAUAUAACCCUGAACUCUUCCUAUCCUAUGACAUGCCAACUAUAUCCAGUUAUGCCCGACUAAUUAAUAGGGUAACAAUUUCUCGAUUUCAUUACAUAAUUUCAUCAACCAAACAAUCAAUUCUCAAAUAUAAUAGCACAUCACAUAAUCAUACUGAUUCAAUUUCAUGUUUACAACAUUAUAUCAUUCUUUCACAUAUAUUCACUUGGUCCUUAUCACUAUCAACCUGUCUAAAUCGAAUCAAUUCAACUCAUUUCAUUGCAUCAUUACAUAACAUAUCUCAUUUUAGUUCAAUUUAUGGUCAAUUCCAUAAUUAUUUCAAUUUGUAAUUCAUUGUAUUCAAUUUAAUCCUAUAUCUCACCUUUUUGUACCAAAUCGUAAAGAAUUAAAAUUUCAAUUAAAUAUAAUUAAAAUUAUAAUUCUAAAUGCAUAAAAAAUUUAACACAAACAUACCGUAUAAACUUACCAAGCCAAGACAAAAAAAAACCUCUCUAAGCACUAAUCAACAACUUUUGCCAUUUCCUUGAUUAUCUUCAAUUUGGUCUAAUUUUCGAUAUAUUCAACAGUUCGAUUCAAUUUAUCAAUUCUAAACAUCUUAUAUAAUUCUAUUAUAAUUACACAUCAAUUUAAGUUUAUUAUUUAAAUGCCCCUAAACUUUUACAUUUUAUUCAAUUUAGUCCAUAAAAUCGAACUUAUCAUAUCUUCCGAAUUUGAACUCCAAAUUUUAAACUCACUUCAAUUAUGUCCAUAUACAACCUCAUAUUAUCACAAUUUAUAAAAAUUUCAUACAUAUUUCAAGAUAUUCACAAUUUAAUCCUUAAACUCAAAACUAACAUAAUUUACUUAACAAAUUAAUCCUAUUUCAUUUCUAAGCUUCAAAAUAUACCUUAAACAUUCAAAAAAUUCAAAUAAUCAAUGGGAACUUUUUAAAUAUUUGGAAGUUUUGAAAACGGAGAUACGAGUUAGAUAAACCUAGUUGUAACUAUCUUAAAAACAUAAAAAAUCAUGAAAAAACUGGCUUAGAAAACAUUACGAUGCAAGAGAAACAUGUUGUUGAACCAUGAAGCUUCUCCCAUAGUGGUUUUUGAGUUUCUUAUUUGGUGAAGAAAACAAAUGAAAGUGAAAACUUUCAUUUUUUUUAUGUUUUAACUAUUAUAAUAUUAAUUUAACCUUAAAAUUAAAUAAAAAUUUAAUUAUAAAAUUCAAAUAAAACAUUUAACAACCGACCACCAAAAAAUAAAAGGGUAAUUUGUAACUUAAAACUCUUAUCAUUAAUUAAUUUUGCCUUUUAGCUAAUAAAAACCAAUACCGAUUAAAUUUUACUAUUUUUAUGAUUUAGUCCUUUUUCCUUAUUUAACCAUCCAAUCACUAAAAUUUUUGGACCAAAUUUCAAUUCACCUAUAUAACAGAUCCGUAAAUAUUUAAUAAAAAUAUUCAUGGGUUAGAGUUUCAAAAAUUUGGUCUCGAAACCUUAUUUUCCAAAACCACUUGACUUUUGGUAUGCACCACUUGUACCUUGACUAACUGAUCAAUUAAUAAAAUCUAUUAAAUCACAAUUUCCUAUUAUACUAUAUUUAACUCAUGAAUAUUAAUUAAAUAUAUCUAUGGACUCUCUUGUCAAAAUUGUGUUCUUGAAACCACUACUUCUGACACCAUUGAAAAACGAGAUAUUACACUUCAUUCAUUUAACGUCCCACCAUAACACUAAUACUUCUUUCAAUUAAUAUCAAGAAGGCAUAUGCAUUUCUACAUUAACAUGCAAUCCACUUCGACUUUUAUGGCUCAUCAACACAAGAGCAAUUCAUAUACCAUUUAACCAUAUUCAUUCAAUAACCAUGGACUCACAAAUAAAUAAUAGUUCACUACUAAUUAAUACUUCAACGGCUUAUGCAGAAAACAAUUAUAUACAUAAUUAGUCUUAAAUUUAGACCACAUAUUCACACUCAAAUAGAACAACAUUGACAACAGUUUCACACAACAAUGACAAAGUUAAACAUCUCCAGAUUAUAGAGUAAAUUUUCGAGCAAAACAUAACCCUGUAGCAUAUAGAUGAAAAUAAAAGUUGGAGUUCAAAAAUCACUCGCAAAACACCCAAAUGCUAGAACCCUACACUUGUUUUUUCCUUUCCUUUGUCACUUUGGCCUCAUCCUUGGUUAGUUAAAUAAAAUAACCAUUCGUCAAUAAAAAUGACAACAUUCAUAAGCAAGACAAUCGAAAUCCAUUAACAUGCAAAAUAUUUUUGUAAGCUAUCUAAGAUCUUAUGUUCACAGCCAUGAAGUUUACCAUAACUUACAAGUUUCUUACCUCUUCCUUUCAGUCAAAAGGUGUAGAAGGGUUAGAAAGGUUACCGGCUCACUAGAUUCUUAAUUUCUCAAGCUAACACGUCUAGUUUUCCUUCAUACAAACUACUUCUUACUUCCUUACAAUUCCAAAAAAAGAAAAGGAAAAAUUAAGAAGACAAAUACCAGGACAUGAGAAUCGAAGAAUAGCAUAUUUAGUUCUUCUACUUAUACUCCUCUUACCUCCGUUCACCAAUUCCAACAUUCAAUAUAAAAUUAUUUAAGCUAUAAUCAUGUUGUUCCCCACUUAAUCAUCUAGAUCUAAUGUAAUGGGACCAAAAUUGAAAUUCAAUUUGUCUACCAAUUGGUUCACAAGAUUUAGUAAUCCAGACAAAAGCCCUCAUGAACUAAGUGUUUCUUAAUUAAAUACCUCUACUUACCGUGGAUUUUUCAAAAAAUCAUUUUAAUAAAUUUCUUAUCUACAAUCAAGACCAAACUUUAAUUUAACAGUUUCGGGUGUGAUAACUCUCCACCCUUAAGAAAAAUUUAGUCCCCGAAAUUUUUUUACUUUUCAAAUAAGUGCAAGUAUUUUUCCAUCAUGGAACUUUUUCUUUUCGCAAAUGCAUCACCCCAAUAUCAGUUUAUACAUAAAUAGCUAGCAUUAAACAAAUAAGAGAUACCUGCAAUAGCGCCUAGACUCUCUGUAUCUCCCUUGGCUCGCAUCACGUAUUUGCUUCUAUCAGCUCGUUAUGGAUAGUCCCUCUUAAAGUGACCCUAUUCUCCACAUUUGAAGCAAACACCUAACACCUUCCAGUAUUACCUUUAUGGUUCUUCCCACACUGUUCGCAAGUGGGGCUGGACAUCCUCCCCGACCCUCCAAUGCUAGCUACUGACGUGGUUUGGCAUCUAUCACGAUCCUGCCUAACAAUGUGGUUUGGAAUCCCCUAUUAUCCCAAGUCCUCUUAAUUCCAGGGCCUAGAAAUGGGCUUGUAGCUCCUUGUUUACCUUUUUCUUGAUCUUCAGCUUUGUUCUUUUCUUGUAUCAUCAUCUUCAUCCACUAGGCUUUAGCUAUCAAAGCAACCAAGUCUAAGAUUUCAAGCGCUGCCAAUAACAUACGAAUCGCUUCAAUUAAACCUCACUCAAAUCGGACCCAAAGGUCCUCCUCCAUUGGUGCCAACUCCCAAGCGUACUUGCUUAGUUUAAUAAAUUCAUGCUCGUAUUCAAACACUAUCAUCUGCCCUUGAUUAAGGUUUAAGAACUCUCUUUUCAUCUGUUUAAUGAAGAAUUAGCUAAUAUAUUUUUCUUGAAACUUCUACAAAAAGAAAUCCUAGUUAAUUUUCGCAUGUGGGUAGAGUAUGCCACCACUUGUAACACCUUGUACCUGACCUGAUUGUCAGGUCCAGGCUAUAGGAUGCUACACUUAAAUUUAAAAUUUAACUUAGACCUUGAGCAUUGUUAUCCACAAAUAAUAAAAGAAUGAAGACAAUAAUAUAUUUAAUAUUGCUACUAAGUAAAUUCAAAACUUCCAAGAAUCUAUGUCAACAAUAAAACUUUAACUUAAUAUACAACAAUUUCACCAAUUAAUCUUUAACAUGUUUAAAGUAUUCAGUUUGUGCUAAAAUUUAUAUUCUAACCAUUUAUUUCUUCUACAGCAAAGACCCUGAUACUCUGCCUCUGGGUUGCCCCAUUGUAUGCAAGUUACAACUAAUAAACAUAUCUGCCGAUGUAUGGCGAACUCUGGCCUGGUCCCUUCUCGAACUUCCAAAAUCCCCUAUUCACCUACAAUGCAUAACAACACAAGUUCUAAAGAACUUAAUGAGUUUCCAUACCUUACUAACACAAUGCUAUUACGAUUGCACUUCGUGACUGGGACUUCACAACGAUUUUUGCCUGUAUUAAGACAAUACGACAUCCUCUUUUUUUUACAAUAGAUGAUUCUUUGGUGGUUUUCACUUACCAAUUCCAUUUUUAUUUAUUGCCUUCAUGACCUAUAUGCAUUUAUCUCCUCGAGAGGGAAAUCCUUGUGUAUUCCUACUUACGAACGGUAAAAGAUAAAGUGUAAACAAUACUCAUGACACUCCUUGCAUCAAUGGCUACAAAUCUUCACAUAAGACCAUUCUUGGCGAAUAGUGUCUAUCGCGAGCUAUUAAUAAUAUUUUGUCUUACCGAACUAAGACUCAUAUUAUGAUCGUUUUGGAUCAUUAAGGGAAACACCCUUACGGCAUAAUAUAGAAAGUCUACUCAUUCCUAUCAAAUGGAUAGAUCGGAGAAUACAUCAUCUUACUCUUGUUCCAUAAUCAAGUAGUCCACUCCUGGUGGUUAUCUCUUUGAAAUAGAUAACAUGUAGGCAGAUUCUUAACAGUGAAUCCUCUAUUUGCGGAAUCAUACAUAUGGGACAUUCAUGUGGACUACCGUAUCUUUCAUAUAUAAGUUCUUCAUUUUGGAAGUAUAGGAGAAUACCUUGUAUCGUCCCCAAAAGAAACUAGUGGACUGUCAUAUAUGUAUGAUAUAACUUCUAUACAAUUUGCAUGUACAGUGAGCUUGAGCUUAGGAUUUGCCACUAGCACAUGGAUUCAUUCUUGGCAGACUUGUAAAGUUAAAUUUGAAUCCUCGAAUUCUCCUGCGACUCUUACCAAAGUGAAUUCUAUAACUACUGUAGGUGCAAAUCUGUAAGAAUAAGUCAGUGGACCAUCAUAACUUAUAUCCGCUUCACCUUAUUUGCUAGCAUAUGCAUCAUAGCCUUCUCAUAAUAAUAGAUAACCCAUUUUUUAGACUCAUACCAGUGGACAUAUUGUGGAAUCAUAUUCACAAGAUAGUUUUGGUGAACUUUCCUCACAACAAUAGUCCUAAAGUGCUUUCCCCAUAUUAGAUAGUCCUCAUGGACCUCCAAAAGAUAGUCCUUAUGGACCUCCCACAUUAGAUAGUCUUUAUAGGCUUUCCACAUAUGAUAAUCCUAAUGGACUUUCCACGUUAGGUAGUCCUGAUGAACUUCCCACAUAAGAUAGUCUUGAUGGACUUUCCACAUUAGAUAAUACUGAGGACUUUCUACAUUAGACAGUUCUAACGAACUUCCCACAUAUACGGUAAUGUAAUGGCCAUGGAGUUCCAUUCGUCCCACUAAGGGCUUUCGUACAUCCCUCAUAAGGGGCUCUCAAUCUUCCUAUAAAAGGAUCUCACAUUGGUGCACACCGUUUUUUGUAUAAUUUCAAAUCUCCUUUCUUGGCUUAAUCCAACCGAACCUCCCUCAAAGCCACAUACGUAAAAUGCAUAUGCAACCAUGCAUGACCAUCCGAACCUCUGCAAAACCAUAGAAAUAAAAGGCAUAUCAUACAUACAUUCCGCCUAUAAGAACUAUGAAUCAUAUGACAUAUAUCUCGCCAAAUAUUUCAUUGAUAUGUCAUAAUAAUUCUUACCACCAACCAAUCAUAUCACUUUAAUAUAAAAUAAUACAAUACGCCAAACACUUUAUUUACUCAACAUAACUAGUUCACAACCAUCUGUAUAUUUACAUACUACACUGCUUGCAACCACCAUACACCAUUACUUUGCCAUAACAUUUUCAUAGUUCAACUAUAGAAGAAUUCAUCAUUCACAUAACACUGAAGUAAGCCUAUUCUACUCGUGAAACUGAACAAAACAUUUAUUUACUAGUUGAGUUCUGAAACUCACCUGGAAGUUGAUGCCAAAUCCACCCAUUAAAAUUUUUCCUUUGCUACAUGAGCCUCUAGUAGCUUGAUCAAUACAACUUGAUAAAUCAUCAAUUAUUUGUCCACAAUUGAUCUGUUGUAAUUCAGUGAAGUAGACUAAACUAGUUUUCAUACUUAAGGAGCUUGAAGGCGAGCAAUUUUAUCAUGUUUUAGUUAGUUUUUCUAUCUUAUCUUUAAAUUCAAUAAAAAGUUUAUAUUGAUUCAUUUUAUGACCUUAGGGGCCAAAAGAGGCCGAAAAGUACGCUAACGUACUUAAAUACUGUGCAUGAUAUCAUUCAAAGGCAUAAUAGUUCAAGACUGGUCGCUGUGUUACAACACGGGAAGUGUAAUGUCGUAACAUAGAGAGUAGAAUACAAGAAUUCCAAUACUACCUUUAGUGUCGUAACACAUGCACUGGGUGUCGUGACACCGACUCUAUAUGGGAGAAAUUACAAGUGAAGGGUGUUUUGGUCCGCACAAUAUAUUUUUAUAUAAAAACAUCAGCCAACCUAGGGUUAAGGAUGACAACCAACUCUAACUCUAUAAAUACACUUAUUAGGCACUUGUUUAGGGACAACUUUCAUAGUUUAGAAUUUCUCUGUAAUUAGUUUUUAGUUUUUCUUUUUUUAGGCUUUAGAUUUAUUUUCAUUUAUUCCCGUUCGUGUUCUUUGGAGAAUCUGAUUUGUAGAUUCGAUUAAAAUUUUGUGGAUUAUGCGCUUCAUCAAUCAAUACAAACUCAGGAUUCUUCUUAAACUAUAUUCUUGAUCUGUUAUUAAUUUUUAAUUAUUUUAUCAAGUAUAUGUUGUUUAUGGAUUCCAUGAGGAACUAAUCCUCUUAUGAGGGGUUAGAGAGUGGAAGUGGGAUUAACUAAUUGAUAUUUAAGGUUUUCUUAGACGAUCAACUAUUUAGAGAGGAAGAACUUAAACCCUAAACCUGAAAACCCUAGGAAGUCAUUUAGGUGGGAAUUCACCCAAAAUUGGUAUGACAUAUCCCUAAACACCUUAGCCUCGAAUCGAUCUGGACUAUAAGGUCAAAAGAUAAGUAGUUCUUACAGACUCGUUAGUUUAGUAGAAGAUCGAGAGAUCCUGCUAGGGUGACCAUUAGUUGAUUGAAUAGAAACCCAAAAUAGGAAUUAAUUAUAACCAUCAAAGCGAUCUAAUCACCCAUGUUUAGGUUUGGUUAAGUUUAGAUUUCAGUAUCCGAAGCUAAUUUUAUUUAUGCAGUUUUUAUUUCUUUAUUAUAAAAACCUGAAAUAUUUUAUUUAUGUUUAAAUGUAAUAUAAUUGAUUUAAAGUACUAAUUAGAUCUAUAUUCAUUUAAGUUAAAGUUAAUUUAGUAUUAGCCUCCCUUGGGUUUGACCCUUGGAGUACUCACCUACUUCAUUGUAAAAACUAUAUUCUAACCUGACUCGUAUACUUGCAGACAACAACUCAAUUCCAUUCAUUUAGUUGCAAUAUUUACACUCUUGAUGUUAGUAUGUCCGGAGGCGGUCAAAUAUUUCGUGCCAUUGCCGAGGAGGCAACGCCACUAAAUUGAUUUUAAUUUUUGAGUUUUAUAGGAUAAUUUGGAAAUUUAUAAAUUGUAUAUACAAUUUUUUUAUUGUUACUAACAUAUUUUAUUUUCUUUUUAGUUUCAAUGUAUGACUCGUAGUAGUAGAACAAUUAUAGAGCGAGUCACUGAUCUAGAGAAUAUAAUCUGUAGGAAUCGUCAAUAGCCAUAGCAGAUGCAAAACCAAUCACCUGUUGCAAGCAAUCUACCAUGCGAUAACUCGUUGUUUGAUGAGGUAAACGAACUUAACAUCCAAGACUUACCACCACUACCGCAAUUACCAGCAAACCCUUCGAUGGCAUGAGAAGAGCGAAACCUAAGGGAUUACGCACUACCAAAUCUGGUGAUGGUUCAAGGUAGCAUUACAAGGCCAACCAUUAUGGAAAAUAAUUUUGAAAUAAAAUCGACCAUGAUAUAGAUGAUCCAAAAUAAUCUGUAAUUCAGAGGCACCAUGACGGAUGACCCAAAUCAACAUCUAAAACGGCUCCUUCAAUUUUGUGAUACAUUUAAAUAUAACGGGGUCAUUGAUGAAGCUAUUGAUCUUCGGUUGUUUCCCUUAUCCUUGAUCGAUAUUCGUUUAAGUUAAAGUUAAAGUUAAUUUAGUAUCAGCCUUCCUUGGGUUUGAUCCUUGGAGUACUCACCUACUUCAUUGUAAAAACUAUAUUACAACCUGACUCGUAUACUUGCAGACACCACCUCAAUUCCAUUGAUUUAGUUGCAAUAUUUACACUCUGGAUGUUAGUAUGUCCGGAGGCGGUCAAGUGUUUGGUGCCAUUGCCGAGGAGGCAACGCUACUAAAUUGAUUUUAAUUUUUGAGUUUUAUAGGAUAAUUUUGAAAUUUAUAAAUUGUAGAUACAAUUUUUUUAUUGUUAAUAACAUCUUUUAUUUUCUUUUUAGUUUCAGUGUAUGGCUCGUAGUAGUGGAACAGUUAUAGAGCGAGUCACUGAUCUAAAGAGAAUAAUCUGUAGGAAUCGUCAAUAGCCAUAGCAGAUGCAAAACCAAUCACCUGUACUAAUUAGAUCUAUAUUCGUUGAAGUUCAAGUUAAUUUAGUAUUAGCCUCCAUUGGGUUUGAUCCUUGGAGUACUCACCUACUUCGUUGUAAAAACUAUAUUACAACCAGACUCGUAUACUUGCAGACACCACCUCAAUUCCAUUCAUUUAGUUGCAAUAUUUACACUCUAAAUGUUAGUAUGUCCGGAGGAGGUCAAGUGUUUGGUGCCAUUGCCGAGGAGGCAAUGCUACUAAAUUGAUUUUAAUUUUUGAGUUUUAUAGGAUAAUUUGGAAAUUUAUAAAUUGUAGAUACAAUUUUUUUUAUUGUUACUAACAUCUUUUAUUUUCUUUUUAGUUUCAGUGUAUGUCUUGCAGUAGUGGAACAGUUAUAGAGCGAGUCACUGAUCUAGGGAGAAUAAUCUGUAGGAAUCGUCAAUAGCCAUAGCAGAUGCAAAACCAAUCACUUGUACUAAUUAGAUCUAUAUUCGUUUAAGUUAAAGUUAAUUUAGAAUUAGCCUCCCUUGGGUUUGAUCCUUCGAGUACUCACCUACUUCGUUGUAAAAACUAUAUUACAACCUGACUCAUCAACUUGCAGACACCACCUCAAUUCCAUUCAUUUAGUUGCAAUAUUUACGCUCUGGAUGUUAGUAUGUUCGGAGGCGGUCAAGUGUUUGGAGCCAUUGCCGAGGAGGCAACGCUACUAAAUUGAUUUUAAUUUUUGAGUUUUAUAGGAUAAUUUGGAAAUUUAUAAAUUGUAGAUACAAUUUUUUUAUUGUUACUAACAUCUUUUAUUUUCUUUUUAGUUUCAGUGUAGGACUCGUAGUAGUGGAACAAUUAUAGAGCGAGUCACUGAUCUAGAGAGAAUAAUCUGUAGGAAUCGUCGAUAGCCAUAGCAGAUGCAAAACCAAUCACCUGUUGCAAGCAAUCUACCAUGCGAUAACGCGUUGUUUGAUGAGGAAAACGAACUUAACAUCCAAGACUUACCACCACCACCGCAAUUACCAGCAAACCCUUCGAUGGCAUGAGAAGAGCGAAACCUAAGGGAUUACGCACUACCAAAUCUGGUGAUGGUUCAAGGUAGCAUUACAAGGCCAACCAUUAUGGAAAAUAAUUUUGAAAUAAAAUUGACCAUGAUCUAGAUGAUCCAAAAUAAUCAUCAAUUCAGAGGAACCAUGACGGAUGACACAAAUCAACAUCUAAAACAGGACCUUCAAUUUUGUGAUACAUUCUAAUAUAACGGGGUUAUUGAUGAAGCUAUUCAUCUUCGGUUGUUUCCCUUAUCCUUAAUCCAUAUUCGUUUAAGUUAAAGUUAAAGUUAACUUAGUAUUAGCCUUCCUUGGGUUUGAUCCUUGGAGUACUCACCUACUUCGUUGUAAAAACUAUAUUACAACCUGACUCGUAUACUUGCAGACACCACCUCAAUUCCAUUGAUUUAGUUGCCAUAUUUACACUCUAGAUGUUAGUAUGUCUGGAGGCGGUCAAGUGUUUGGUGCCAUUGCCGAGGAGGCACCGCUACUAAAUUGAUUUUAAUUUUUGAGUUUUAUAGGAUAAUUUGGAAAUUUAAAAAUUGUAGGUACAAUUUUUUUAUUGUUACUAACAUAUUUUAUUUUCCUUUUAGUUUCAGUGUAUGUCUUGCAGUAGUGGAACAGUUAUAGAGUGAGUCACUGAUCUAGAGAGAAUAAUCUGUAGGAAUCGUCAAUAGCCAUAGCAGAUGCAAAACCAAUCACUUGUACUAAUUAGAUCUAUAUUCGUUUAAGUUAAAGUUAAUUUAGUAUUAGCCUCCCUUGGGUUUGAUCCUUGGAGUACUCACCUACUUUGUUGUAAAAAGUAUAUUACAACCUGACUCGUCUACUUGCAGACACCACCUCAAUUCCAUUCAUUUAGUUUCAAUAUUUACACUCUGGAUGGUAGUAUGUCCGGAGGCGGUCAAGUGAUUGGAGCCAUUGCCGAGGAGGCAACGCUACUAAAUUGAUUUUAACUUUUGAGUUUUAUAGGAUAAUUUGGAAAUUUAUAAAUUGUAGAUACAAUUUUUUUUAUUGUUACUAACAUAUUUUAUUUUCUUUUUAGUUUCAGUGUAUGUCUUGCAGUAGUGGAACAGUUAUAGAGCGUGUCACUGAUCUAGGGAGAAUAAUCUGUAGGAAUCGUCAAUAGCCAUAGCAGAUGCAAAACCAAUCACCUGUUGCAAGCAAUCUACCAUGCGAUAACUCGUUGUUUGAUGAGGAAAACGAACUUAACAUCCAAGACUUACCACCACCACCGCAAUUACCAGCAAACCCUUCGAUGGCAUGAGAAGAGCGAAACCUAAGGGAUUACGCACUACCAAAUCUGGUGAUGGUUCAAGGUAGCAUUACAAGGCCAACCAUUAUGGAAAAUAAUUUUGAAAUAAAAUCGACCAUGAUCUAGAUGAUCCAAAAUAAUUAUCAAUUCAGAGGAACCAUGACGGAUGACACAAAUCAACAUCUAAAACGGGACCUUCAAUUUUGUGAUACAUUCUAAUAUAACGGGGUUAUUGAUGAAGCUAUUCAUCUUCGGUUGUUUCCCUUAUCCUUGAUCGAUAUUCGUUUAAGUUAAAGUUAAAGUUAACUUAGUAUUAGCCUUCCUUGGGUUUGAUCCUUGGAGUACUCACCUACUUCGUUGUAAAAACUAUAUUACAACCUGACUCGUAUUCUUGCAGACACCACCUCAAUUCCAUUGAUUUAGUUGCAAUAUUUACACUCUGGAUGUUAGUAUGUCCGGAGGCGGUCAAGUGUUUGGUGCCAUAGCCGAGGAGGCAACGCUAGUAAAUUGAUUUUAAUUUUUGAGUUUUAUAGGAUAAUUUGGAAAUUUAUAAAUUGUAGAUACAAUUUUUUUUAUUGUUACUAACAUCUUUUAUUUUCCUUUUAGUUUCAGUGUAUGUCUUGCAGUAGUGGAACAGUUAUAGAGCGAGUCACUGAUCUAGAGAGAAUAAUCUGUAGGAAUUGUCAAUAGCCAUAGCAGAUGCAAAACCAAUCACUUGUACUAAUUAGAUCUAUAUUCGUUUAAGUUAAAGUUAAUUUAGUAUUAGCCUCCCUUGGGUUUGAUCCUUGGAGUACUCACCUACUUUGUUGUAAAAACUAUAUUACAACCUGACUCGUCCACUUGCAGACACCACCUCAAUUCCAUUCAUUUAGUUUCAAUAUUUACACUCUGGAUGUUAGUAUGUCCGGAGGCGGUCAAGUGAUUGGAGCCAUUGCCGAGGAGGCAACGCUACUAAAUUGAUUUUAACUUUUGAGUUUUAUAGGAUAAUUUGGAAAUUUAUAAAUUGUAGAUACAAUUUUUUUAUUGUUACUAACAUCUUUAUUUUCUUUUUAGUUUCAGUGUAGGACUCGUAGUAGUGGAACAAUUAUAGAGCGAGUCACGGAUCUAGAGAGAAUAAUCUGUAGGAAUCGUCACUAGCCAUAGCAGAUGCAAAACCAAUCACCUGUUGCAAGCAAUCUACCAUGCGAUAACUCGUUGUUUGAUGAGGAAAACGAACUUAACAUCCAAGACUUACCACCACCACCGCAAUUACCAGCAAACCCUUCGAUGGCAUGAGAAGAGCGAAACCUAAGGGAUUACGCACUACCAAAUCUGGUGAUGGUUCAACGUAGCAUUACAAGGCCAACCAUAAUGGAAAAUAAUUUUGAAAUAAAAUCGACCAUGAUCUAGAUGAUCCAAAAUAAUCAUCAAUUCAGAGGAACCAUGACGGAUGACACAAAUCAACAUCUAAAAUGGGACCUUCAAUUUUGUGAUACAUUCUAAUAUAACGGGGUUAUUGAUGAAGCUAUUCAUCUUCGGUUGUUUCCCUUAUCCUUGAUCGAUAUUCGUUAAAGUUAAAGUUAAAGUUAACUUAGUAUUAGCCUUCCUUGGGUUUGAUCCUUGGAGUACUCACCUACUUCGUUGUAAAAACUAUAUUACAACCUGACUCGUAUACUUGCAGACACCACCUCAAUUCUAUUGAUUUAGGUGCCAUAUUUACACUCUAGAUGUUAGUAUGUCUGGAGGCGGUCAAGUGUUUGGUGCCAUUUUCGAGUAGGCAACGCUACUAAAUUGAUUUUAAUUUUUGAGUUUUAUAGGAUAAUUUUGAAAUUUAAAAAUUGUAGGUACAAUUUUUUUUAUUGUUACUAACAUCUUUUAUUUUCCUUUUAGUUUCAGUGUAUGUCUUGCAGAAGUGGAACUGUUAUAGAGCGAGUCACUGAUCGAGAGAGAAUAAUCUGUAGGAAUCGUCAAUAGCCAUAGCAGAUGCAAAACCAAUCACUUGUACUAAUUAGAUCUAUAUUCGUUUAAGUUAAAGUUAAUUUAGUAUUAGCCUCCCUUGGGUUUGAUCCUUGGAGUACUCAACUACUUUGUUGUAAAAACUAUUUUACAACCUGACUCGUCUACUUGCAGACACCACCUCAAUUCCAUUCAUUUAGUUUCAAUAUUUACACUCUGGAUGUUAGUAUGUCCGGAGGCGGUCAAGUGAUUGGAGCCAUUGCCGAGGAGGCAACGCUACUAAAUUGAUUUUAACUUUUGAGUUUUGUAGGAUAAUUUGGAAAUUUAUAAAUUGUAGAUACAAUUUUUUUAUUGUUACUAACGUCUUUAUUUUCUUUUUAGUUUCAGUGUAGGACUCGUAGUAGUGGAACAAUUAUAGAGCGAGUCACUGAUCUAGAGAGAAUAAUCUCUAGGAAUCGUCAAUAGCCAUAGCAGAUGCAAAACCAAUCAUCUGUUGCAAGCAAUCUACCAUGCAAUAAAUCGUUGUUUGAUGAGGUAAACGAACUUAACAUCCAAGACAUACCACCACCACCGCAAUUACCAGCAAACCCUUCGAUGGCAUUAGAAGAGCGAAACCUAAGGGAUUACGCACUACCAAAUCUGGUGAUGGUUCAAGGUAGCAUUACAAGGCCAACCAUUAUGGAAAAUUAUUUUGAAAUAAAAUAGACCAUGAUCUAAAUGAUCCAAAAUAAUCUGCAAUUCAGAGACACCAUGACGGAUGUCCCAAAUCAACAUCUAAAACGGGUCCUUCAAUUUUGGGAUACAUUUAAAUAUAACGGGGUCAUUGAUGAAGCUAUUAAUCUUCGAUUGUUUCCCUUAUCCUUGAUCGAUAUUCAUUUAAGUUAAAGUUAAAGUUAAUUUAGUAUUAGCCUUCCUUGGGUUUGAUCCUUGGAGUACUCACCUACUUUGUUGUAAAAACUAUAUUACAACCUGACUCGUAUACUUGCAGACACCACCUCAAUUCCAUUCAUUUAGUUUCAAUAUUUACACUCUGGAUGUUAGUAUGUCCGGAGGCGGUCAAGUGAUUGGAGCCAUUGCCGAGGAGGCAACGCUACUAAAUUGAUUUUAACUUUUGAGUUUUGUAGGAUAAUUUGGAAAUUUAUAAAUUGUAGAUACAAUUUUUUUGUUGUUACUAACAUCUUUAUUUUCUUUUUAGUUUCAGUGUAGGACUCGUAGUAGUGGAACAAUUAUAGAGUGAGUCACUGAUCUAGAGAGAAUAAUCUGUAGGAAUCGUCAAUAGCCAUAGCAGAUGCAAAACUAUUCACCUGUUGCAAGCAAUCUACCAUGCGAUAACUCGUUGUUUGAUGGGGAAAACGAACUUAACAUCCAAGACUUACCACCACCACCGCAAUUACCAGCAAACCCUUCGAUGGCAUGAGAAGAGCGAAACCUAAGGGAUUACGCACUACCAAAUCUGGUGAUGGUUCAAGGUAGCAUUACAAGGCCAACCAUUAUGGAAAAUAAUUUUGAAAUAAAAUCGACCAUGAUCUAGAUGAUCCAAAAUAAUCAUCAAUUCAGAGGAACCAUGACGGAUGACACAAAUCAACAUCUAAAACGGGACCUUCAAUUUUGUGAUACAUUCUAAUAUAACGGGGUUAUUGAUGAAGCUAUUCAUCUUCGGUUGUUUCCCUUAUCCUUGAUCGAUAUUCGUUUAAGUUAAAGUUAAAGUUAACUUAAUAUUAGCCUUCCUUGGGUUUGAUCCUUGGAGUACUCACCUACUUCGUUGUAAAAACUAUAUUACAACCUGACUCGUAUACUUGCAGACACCACCUCAAUUCCAUUCAUUUAGUUGCAAUAUUUACACUCUGGAUGUUAGUAUGUCCGGAGGCGGUCAAGUGUUUGGUGCCAUUGCCGAGGAGGCAACGCUACUAAAUUGAUUUUAAUUUUUGAGUUUUAUAGGAUAAUUUGGUAAUUUAUAAAUUGUAGAUACAAUUUUUUUAUUGUUACUAACAUCUUUUAUUUUCCUUUUAGUUUCAGUGUAUGUCUUGUAGUAGUGGAACUGUUAUAGAGCGAGUCGCUGAUCUAGAGAGAAUAAUCUGUAGGAAUCGUCAAUAGCCAUAGCAGAUGCAAAACCAAUCACUUGUACUAAUUAGAUCUAUAUUCGUUUAAGUUAAAGUUAAUUUAGUAUUAGCCUCCCUUGGGUUUGAUCCUUGGAGUACUCACCUACUUUGUUGUAAAAAGUAUAUUACAACCUGACUCGUCUACUUGCAGACACCACCUCAAUUCCAUUCAUUUAGUUUCAAUAUUUACACUCUGGAUGUUAGUAUGUCCGGAGGCGGUCAAGUGAUUGGAGCCAUUGCCGAGGAGGCAACGCUACUAAAUUGAUUUUAACUUUUGAGUUUUAUAGGAUAAUUUGGAAAUUUAUAAAUUGUAGAUAGAAUUUUUUUAUUGUCACUAACAUCUUUUAUUUUCUUUUUAGUUUAAGUGUAGGACUCGUAGUAGUGGAACAAUUAUAGAGCGAGUCACUGAUCUAGAGAGAAUAAUCUGUAGGAAUCGUCAAUAGCCAUAGCAGAUGCAAAACCAAUCACCUGUUGCAAGCAAUCUACCAUGCGAUAACUCGUUGUUUGAUGAGGAAAACGAACUUAACAUCCAAGACUUACCACCACCACCGCAAUUACCAGCAAACCCUUCGAUGGCAUGAGAAGAGCGAAACCUAAGGGAUUACGCACUACCAAAUCUGGUGAUGGUUCAAGGUAGCAUUACAAGGCCAACCAUUAUGGAAAAUAAUUUUGAAAUAAAAUCGACCAUGAUCUAGAUGAUCCAAAAUAAUCAUCAAUUCAGAGGAACCAUGACGGAUGACACAAAUCAACAUCUAAAACGGGACCUUCAAUUUUGUGAUACAUUCUAAUAUAACGGGGUUAUUGAUGAAGCUAUUCAUCUUCGGUUGUUUCCCUUAUCCUUGAUCGAUAUUCGUUUAAGUUAAAGUUAAAGUUAACUUAGUAUUAGCCUUCCUUGGGUUUGAUCCUUGGAGUACUCACCUACUUCGUUGUAAAAACUAUAUUACAACCUGACUCGUAUACUUGCAGACACCACCUCAAUUCCAUUGAUUUAGUUGCAAUAUUUACACUCUGGAUGUUAGUAUGUCCGGAGGCGGUCAAGUGUUUGGUGCCAUAGCCGAGGAGGCAACGCUAGUAAAUUGAUUUUAAUUUUUGAGUUUUAUAGGAUAAUUUGGAAAUUUAUAGAUUGUAGAUACAAUUUUUUUUAUUGUUACUAACAUCUUUUAUUUUCCUUUUAGUUUCAGUGUAUGUCUUGCAGUAGUGGAACAGUUAUAGAGCGAGUCACUGAUCUGGAGAGAAUAAUCUGUAGGAAUCGUCAAUAGCCAUAGCAGAUGCAAAACCAAUCACUUGUACUAAUUAGAUCUAUAUUCGUUUAAGUUAAAGUUAAUUUAGUAUUAGCCUCCCUUGGGUUUGAUCCUUGGAGUACUCACCUACUUUGUUGUAAAAACUAUAUUACAACCUGACUCGUCUACUUGCAGACACCACCUCAAUUCCAUUCAUUUAGUUUCAAUAUUUACACUCUGGAUGUUAGUAUGUCCGGAGGCGGUCAAGUGAUUGGAGCCAUUGCCGAGGAGGCAACGCUACUAAAUUGAUUUUAACUUUUGAGUUUUAUAGGAUAAUUUGGAAAUUUAUAAAUUGUAGAUACAAUUUUUUUAUUGUUACUAACAUCUUUAUUUUCUUUUUAGUUUCAGUGUAGGACUCGUAGUAGUGGAACAAUUAUAGAGCGAGUCACGGAUCUAGAGAGAAUAAUCUGUAGGAAUCGUCACUAGCCAUAGCAGAUGCAAAACCAAUCACCUGUUGCAAGCAAUCUACCAUGCGAUAACUCGUUGUUUGAUGAGGAAAACGAACUUAACAUCCAAGACUUACCACCACCACCGCAAUUACCAGCAAACCCUUCGAUGGCAUGAGAAGAGCGAAACCUAAGGGAUUACGCACUACCAAAUCUGGUGAUGGUUCAAGGUAGCAUUACAAGGCCAACCAUAAUGGAAAAUAAUUUUGAAAUAAAAUCGACCAUGAUCUAGAUGAUCCAAAAUAAUCAUCAAUUCAGAGGAACCAUGACGGAUGACACAAAUCAACAUCUAAAAUGGGACCUUCAAUUUUGUGAUACAUUCUAAUAUAACGGGGUUAUUGAUGAAGCUAUUCAUCUUCGGUUGUUUCCCUUAUCCUUGAUCGAUAUUCGUUAAAGUUAAAGUUAAAGUUAACUUAGUAUUAGCCUUCCUUGGGUUUGAUCCUUGGAGUACUCACCUACUUCGUUGUAAAAACUAUAUUACAACCUGACUCGUAUACUUGCAGACACCACCUCAAUUCUAUUGAUUUAGGUGCCAUAUUUACACUCUAGAUGUUAGUAUGUCUGGAGGCGGUCAAGUGUUUGGUGCCAUUUUCGAGUAGGCAACGCUACUAAAUUGAUUUUAAUUUUUGAGUUUUAUAGGAUAAUUUGGAAAUUUAAAAAUUGUAGGUACAAUUUUUUUUAUUGUUACUAACAUAUUUUAUUUUCCUUUUAGUUUCAGUGUAUGUCUUGCAGUAGUGGAACAGUUAUAGAGCGAGUCACUGAUCUAGAGAGAAUAAUCUGUAGGAAUCGUCAAUAGCCAUAGCAGAUGCAAAACCAAUCACUUGUACUAAUUAGAUCUAUAUUCGUUUAAGUUAAAGUUAAUUUAGUAUUAGCCUCCCUUGGGUUUGAUCCUUGGAGUACUCACCUACUUUGUUGUAAAAACUAUAUUACAACCUGACUCGUCUACUUGCAGACACCACCUCAAUUCCAUUCAUUUACUUUCAAUAUUUACACUCUGGAUGUUAGUAUGUCCGGAGGCGGUCAAGUGAUUGGAGCCAUUGCCGAGGAGGCAACGCUACUAAAUUGAUUUUAACUUUUGAGUUUUGUAGGAUAAUUUGGAAAUUUAUAAAUUGUAGAUACAAUUUUUUUAUUGUUACUAACAUCUUUAUUUUCUUUUUAGUUUCAGUGUAGGACUCGUAGUAGUGGAACAAUUAUAGAGCGAGUCACUGAUCUAGAGAGAAUAAUCUGUAGGAAUCGUCAAUAGCCAUAGCAGAUGCAAAACCAAUCAUCUGUUGCAAGCAAUCUACCAUGCGAUAAAUCGUUGUUUGAUGAGGUAAACGAACUUAACAUCCAAGACAUACCACCACCACCGCAAUUACCAGCAAACCCUUCGAUGGCAUUAGAAGAGCGAAACCUAAGGGAUUACGCACUACCAAAUCUGGUGAUGGUUCAAGGUAGCAUUACAAGGCCAACCAUUAUGGAAAAUUAUUUUGAAAUAAAAUAGACCAUGAUCUAAAUGAUCCAAAAUAAUCUGCAAUUCAGAGACACCAUGACGGAUGUCCCAAAUCAACAUCUAAAACGGGUCCUUCAAUUUUGGGAUACAUUUAAAUAUAACGGGGUCAUUGAUGAAGCUAUUAAUCUUCGGUUGUUUCCCUUAUCCUUGAUCGAUAUUCAUUUAAGUUAAAGUUAAAGUUAAUUUAGUAUUAGCCUUCCUUGGGUUUGAUCCUUGGAGUACUCACCUACUUUGUUGUAAAAACUAUAUUACAACCUGACUCGUAUACUUGCAGACACCACCUCAAUUCCAUUCAUUUAGUUUCAAUAUUUACACUCUGGAUGUUAGUAUGUCCGGAGGCGGUCAAGUGAUUGGAGCCAUUGCCGAGGAGGCAACGCUACUAAAUUGAUUUUAACUUUUGAGUUUUGUAGGAUAAUUUGGAAAUUUAUAAAUUGUAGAUACAAUUUUUUUGUUGUUACUAACAUCUUUAUUUUCUUUUUAGUUUCAGUGUAGGACUCGUAGUACUGGAACAAUUAUAGAGUGAGUCACGGAUCUAGAGAGAAUAAUCUGUAGGAAUCGUCAAUAGCCAUAGCAGAUGCAAAACUAUUCACCUGUUGCAAGCAAUCUACCAUGCGAUAACUCGUUGUUUGAUGGGGAAAACGAACUUAACAUCCAAGACUUACCACCACCACCGCAAUUACCAGCAAACCCUUCGAUGGCAUGAGAAGAGCGAAACCUAAGGGAUUACGCACUACCAAAUCUGGUGAUGGUUCAAGGUAGCAUUACAAGGCCAACCAUUAUGGAAAAUAAUUUUGAAAUAAAAUCGACCAUGAUCUAGAUGAUCCAAAAUAAUCAUCAAUUCAGAGGAACCAUGACGGAUGACACAAAUCAACAUCUAAAACGGGACCUUCAAUUUUGUGAUACAUUCUAAUAUAACGGGGUUAUUGAUGAAGCUAUUCAUCUUCGGUUGUUUCCCUUAUCCUUGAUCGAUAUUCGUUUAAGUUAAAGUUAAAGUUAACUUAAUAUUAGCCUUCCUUGGGUUUGAUCCUUGGAGUACUCACCUACUUCGUUGUAAAAACUAUAUUACAACCUGACUCGUAUACUUGCAGACACCACCUCAAUUCCAUUCAUUUAGUUGCAAUAUUUACACUCUGGAUGUUAGUAUGUCCGGAGGCGGUCAAGUGUUUGGUGCCAUUGCCGAGGAGGCAACGCUACUAAAUUGAUUUUAAUUUUUGAGUUUUAUAGGAUAAUUUGGUAAUUUAUAAAUUGUAGAUACAAUUUUUUUAUUGUUACUAACAUCUUUUAUUUUCCUUUUAGUUUCAGUGUAUGUCUUGUAGUAGUGGAACUGUUAUAGAGCGAGUCGCUGAUCUAGAAAGAAUAAUCUGUAGGAAUCGUCAAUAGCCAUAGCAGAUGCAAAACCAAUCACUUGUACUAAUUAGAUCUAUAUUCGUUUAAGUUAAAGUUAAUUUAGUAUUAGCCUCCCUUGGGUUUGAUCCUUGGAGUACUCACCUACUUUGUUGUAAAAAGUAUAUUACAACCUGACUCGUCUACUUGCAGACACCACCUCAAUUCCAUUCAUUUAGUUUCAAUAUUUACACUCUGGAUGUUAGUAUGUCCGGAGGCGGUCAAGUGAUUGGAGCCAUUGCCGAGGAGGCAACGCUACUAAAUUGAUUUUAACUUUUGAGUUUUAUAGGAUAAUUUGGAAAUUUAUAAAUUGUAGAUAGAAUUUUUUUAUUGUCACUAACAUCUUUUAUUUUCUUUUUAGUUUAAGUGUAGGACUCGUAGUAGUGGAACAAUUAUAGAGCGAGUCACUGAUCUAGAGAGAAUAAUCUGUAGGAAUCGUCAAUAGCCAUAGCAGAUGCAAAACCAAUCACCUGUUGCAAGCAAUCUACCAUGCGAUAACUCGUUGUUUGAUGAGGAAAACGAACUUAACAUCCAAGACUUACCACCACCACCGCAAUUACCAGCAAACCCUUCGAUGGCAUGAGAAGAGCGAAACCUAAGGGAUUACACACUACCAAAUCUGGUGAUGGUUCAAGGUAGCAUUACAAGGCCAACCAUUAUGGAAAAUAAUUUUGAAAUAAAAUCGACCAUGAUCUAGAUGAUCCAAAAUAAUCAUCAAUUCAGAGGAACCAUGACGGAUGACACAAAUCAACAUCUAAAACGGGACCUUCAAUUUUGUGAUACAUUCUAAUAUAACGGGGUUAUUGAUGAAGCUAUUCAUCUUCGGUUGUUUCCCUUAUCCUUGAUCGAUAUUCGUUUAAGUUAAAGUUAAAGUUAACUUAGUAUUAGCCUUCCUUGGGUUUGAUCCUUGGAGUACUCACCUACUUCGUUGUAAAAACUAUAUUACAACCUGACUCGUAUACUUGCAGACACCACCUCAAUUCCAUUGAUUUAGUUGCAAUAUUUACACUCUGGAUGUUAGUAUGUCCGGAGGCGGUCAAGUGUUUGGUGCCAUAGCCGAGGAGGCAACGCUAGUAAAUUGAUUUUAAUUUUUGAGUUUUAUAGGAUAAUUUGGAAAUUUAUAAAUUGUAGAUACAAUUUUUUUAUUGUUACUAACAUCUUUUAUUUUCCUUUUAGUUUCAGUGUAUGUCUUGCAGUAGUGGAACAGUUAUAGAGCGAGUCACUGAUCUAGAGAGAAUAAUCUGUAGGAAUCGUCAAUAGCCAUAGCAGAUGCAAAACCAAUCACUUGUACUAAUUAGAUCUAUAUUCGUUUAAGUUAAAGUUAAUUUAGUAUUAGCCUCCCUUGGGUUUGAUCCUUGGAGUACUCACCUACUUUGUUGUAAAAACUAUAUUACAACCUGACUCGUCUACUUGCAGACACCACCUCAAUUCCAUUCAUUUAGUUUCAAUAUUUACACUCUGGAUGUUAGUAUGUCCGGAGGCGGUCAAGUGAUUGGAGCCAUUGCCGAGGAGGCAACGCUACUAAAUUGAUUUUAACUUUUGAGUUUUAUAGGAUAAUUUGGAAAUUUAUAAAUUGUAGAUACAAUUUUUUUAUUGUUACUAACAUCUUUAUUUUCUUUUUAGUUUCAGUGUAGGACUCGUAGUAGUGGAACAAUUAUAGAGCGAGUCACGGAUCUAGAGAGAAUAAUCUGUAGGAAUCGUCACUAGCCAUAGCAGAUGCAAAACCAAUCACCUGUUGCAAGCAAUCUACCAUGCGAUAACUCGUUGUUUGAUGAGGAAAACGAACUUAACUUCCAAGACUUACCACCACCACCGCAAUUACCAGCAAACCCUUCGAUGGCAUGAGAAGAGCGAAACCUAAGGGAUUACGCACUACCAAAUCUGGUGAUGGUUCAAGGUAGCAUUACAAGGCCAACCAUAAUGGAAAAUAAUUUUGAAAUAAAAUCGACCAUGAUCUAGAUGAUCCAAAAUAAUCAUCAAUUCAGAGGAACCAUGACGGAUGACACAAAUCAACAUCUAAAAUGGGACCUUCAAUUUUGUGAUACAUUCUAAUAUAACGGGGUUAUUGAUGAAGCUAUUCAUCUUCGGUUGUUUCCCUUAUCCUUGAUCGAUAUUCGUUUAAGUUAAAGUUAAAGUUAACUUAGUAUUAGCCUUCCUUAGGUUUGAUCCUUGGAGUACUCACCUACUUCGUUGUAAAAACUAUAUUACAACCUGACUCGUAUACUUGCAGACACCACCUCAAUUCCAUUCAUUAAGUUGCAAUAUUUACACUCUGGAUGUUAGUAUGUCCGGAGGCGGUCAAAUGUUUGGUGCCAUUGCCAAGGAGGCAACACUACUAAAUUGAUUUUAAUUUUUGAGUUUUAUAGGAUAAUUUGGAAAUUUAUAAAUUGUAGAUACAAUUUUUUUAUUGUUACUAACAUCUUUAUUUUCUUUUUAGUUUCAGUGUAGGACUCGUAGUAGUGGAACAAUUAUAGAGCGAGUCACGGAUCUAGAGAGAAUAAUUUGUAGGAAUCGUCACUAGCCAUAGCAGAUGCAAAACCAAUCAUCUGUUGCAAGCAAUCUACCAUGCGAUAAAUCGUUGUUUGAUGAGGUAAACGAACUUAACAUCCAAGACAUACCACCACCACCGCAAUUACCAGCAAACCCUUCGAUGGCAUUAGAAGAGCGAAACCUAAGGGAUUACGCACUACCAAAUCUGGUGAUGGUUCAAGGUAGCAUUACAAGGCCAACCAUUAUGGAAAAUUAUUUUGAAAUAAAAUAGACCAUGAUCUAAAUGAUCCAAAAUAAUCUGCAAUUCAGAGGACACCAUGACGGAUGUACCCAAAUCAACAUCUAAAACGAGUCCUUCAAUUUUGGGAUACAUUUAAAUAUAACGGGGUCAUUGAUGAAGCUAUUCAUCUUCGGUUGUUUCCCUUAUCCUUGAUCGAUAUUCAUUUAAGUUAAAGUUAAAGUUAAUUUAGUAUUAGCCUUCCUUGGGUUUGAUCCUUGGAGUACUCACCUACUUUGUUGUAAAAACUAUAUUACAACCUGACUCGUAUACUUGCAGACACCACCUCAAUUCCAUUACAUUUAGUUUCAAUAUUUACACUCUGGAUGUUAGUAUGUCCGGAGGCGGUCAAGUGAUUUGGUAGCCAUUGCCGAAGGAGGCAACGCUACUAAAUUGAUUUUAACUUUUGAGUUUUAUAGGAUAAUUUAGAAAUUUAUAAAUUGUAGAUACAAUUUUUUUAGUUGUUACUAACAUCUUUUAUUUUCUUUUUAGUUUCAGUGUAUGGACUCGUAGUAGUGGAACAGUUAUAGAGCGAGUCACUGAUCUAGAGAGAAUAAUCUGUAGGAAUCGUCAAUAGCCAUAGCAGAUGCAAAACAAUCACCUGUUGCAAGCAAUCUACCAUGCAAUAACUCGUUGUUUGAUGAGGUAAACGAACUUAACAUCCAAGACUUACCACCACCACCGCAAUUACCAGCAAACCCUUCGAUGGCAUGAGAAGAGCGAAACCUAAGGGAUUACGCACUACCAAAUAUGGUGAUGGUUCAAGGUAGCAUUACAAGGCCAACCAUUAUGGAAAAUAAUUUUGAAAUAAAAUCGACCAUGAUCUAGAUGAUCCAAAAUAAUCAUCAAUUUAGAGGAACCAUGACGGAUGACACCAAAUCAACAUCUAAAACGGGACCUUCAAUUUUGUGAUACAUUCUAAUAUAACGGGGUUAUUGAUGAAGCUAUUCAUCUUCGGUUGUUUCCCUUAUCCUUGAUCGAUAUUCGUUUAAGUUAAAGUUAAAGUUAAUUAAGUAUUAGCCUUCCUUGGGUUUGAUCCUUGGAGUACUCACCUACUUCGUUGUAAAAACUAUAUUACAACCUGACCUCGUAUACUUGCAGACACCACCUCAAUUCCAUUCAUUUAGUUGCAAUAUUUACACUCUGGAUGUUAGUAUGUCCGGAGGCGGUCAAGUGUUUGGUGCCAUUGCCGAGGAGGCAACGCUACUAAAUUGAUUUUAAUUUUUGAGUUUUAUAGGAUAAUUUGGAAAUUUAUAAAUUGUAGAUACAAUUUUUUUAUUGUUACUAACAUCUUUUAUUUUCCUUUUAGUUUCAGUGUAUGUCUUGUAGUAGUGGAACAUGUUAUAGAGCGAGUCACUGAUCUAGAGAGAAUAAUCUGUAGGAAUCGUCAAUAGCCAUAGCAGAUGCAAAACCAAUCACCUGUACUAAUUAGAUCUAUAUUCGUUUAAGUUCAAGUUAAUUUAGUAUUAGCCUCCCUGGGUUUGAUCCUUGGAGUACUCACCUACUUUGUUGUAAAAACUAUAUUACAACCUGACUCGUCUACUUGCAGACACCACCUCAAUUCCAUUCAUUUAGUUUCAAUAUUUACACUCUGGAUGUUAGUAUGUUCGGAGGCGGUCAAGUGUUUGGAGCCAUUGCCGAGGAGGCAACGCUACUAAAUUGAUUUUAAUUUUUGAGUUUUAUAGGAUAAUUUGGAAAUUUAUAAAUUGUAGAUACAAUUUUUUUAUUGUUACUAACAUCUUUUAUUUUCUUUUUAGUUUCAGUGUAGGACUCGUAGUAGUGGAACAAUUAUAGAGCGAGUCACUGAUCUAGAGAGAAUAAUCUGUAGGAAUCGUCAAUAGCCAUAGCAGAUGCAAAACCAAUCACCUGUUGCAAGCAAUCUACCAUGCGAUAACCCGUUGUUUGAUGAGGUAAACGAACUUAACAUCCAAGACAUUACCACCACCACCGCAAUUACCAGCAAACCCUUCGAUGGCAUGAGAAGAGCGAAACCUAAGGGAUUACGCACUACCAAAUAUGGUGAUGGUUCAAGGUAGCAUUACAAGGCCAACCAUUAUGGAAAAUUAUUUUGAAAUAAAAUCGACCAUGAUCUAGAUGAUCCAAAAUAAUCUGCAAUUCAGAGGACACCAUGACGGAUGUCCCAAAUCAACAUCUAAAACGGGUCCUUCAAUUUUGUGAUACAUUUAAAUAUAACGGGGUCAUUGAUGAAGCUAUUGAUCUUCGGUUGUUUCCCUUAUCCUUGAUCGAUAUUCAGUUUAAGUUAAAGUUAAAGUUAAUUUAGUAUUAGCCUUCCUUGGGUUUGAUCCUUGGAGUACUCACCUACUUUAUUGUAAAAACUAUAUUACAACCUGACUCGUAUACUUGCAGACACCACCUCAAUUCCAUUCAUUUAGUUGACAAUAUUUACACUCUGGAUGUUAGUAUGUCCUGGAGGCAGGUCAAGUGUUUGGUGCCAUUACCGAGGAGGCAGCGCUACUAAAUUGAUUUUAAUUUUUGAGUUUUAUAGGAUAAUUUGGAAAUUUAUAAAUUGUAGAUACAAUUUUUUUAUUGUUACUAACAUCUUUUAUUUCUUUUUAGUUUCAGUGUAGGACUCGUAGUAGUGGAACCAGUUAUAGAGCGAGUCAUUGAUCUAAAGAGAAUAAUCUGUAGGAAUCAUCAAUAGCCAUAGCAGAUGCAAAACCAAUCACCUGUACCAAUUAGAUCUAUAUUCGUUGAAUUUCAAGUUAAUUUAGUAUUAGCCUCCAUUGGGUUUGAUCCUUGGAGUACUCACCUACUUCGUUGUAAAAACUACAUUACAACCUGACUCGUAUACUUGCAGACACCACCUCAAUUCCAUUCAUUUAGUUGCAAUAUUUACACUCUAAAUGUUAGUAUGUCCGGAGGAGGUCAAGUGUUUGGUGCCAUUGCUGAGGAGGCAACGCUACUAAAUUGAUUAUAAUUUUUGAGUUUUAUAGGAUAAUUUGGAAAUUUAUAAAUUGUAGAUACAAUUUUUUUAUUGUUACUAACAUCUUUUAUUUUCUUUUUAGUUUCAGUGUAUGGCUCGUAGUAGUGAACAGUUAUAGAGCGAGUCACUGAUCUAAAGAGAAUAAUCUGUAGGAAUCGUCAAUAGCCAUAGCAGAUGAAAACCAAUCACUUGUACUAAUUAGAUCUAUAUUCGUUUAAGUUAAAGUUAAUUUAGUAUUAGCCUUCCUUGGGUUGAUCCCUGGAGUACUCACCUACUUCGUUAUAAAAACUAUAUUACAAACUGACUCGUCUACUUGCAGACACCACCUCAAUUCCAUUCAUUUAGUUGCAAUAUUUACACUCUGGUUGUUAGUAUGUCGGAGGCGGUCAAGUGUUUGGAGCCAUUGCCGAGGAGGCAACGCUACUAAAUUGAUUUAAUUUUUGAGUUUUAUAGGAUAAUUUGGAAAUUUAUAAAUUGUAGAUACAAUUUUUUUAUUGUUACUAACAUCUUUUAUUUUCUUUUUAUUUUCAGUGUAGGACUCGUAGUAGUGGAACAAUUAUAGAGCGAGUCACUGAUCUGAGAGAAUAAUCUGUAGGAAUCGUCAAUAGCCAUAGCAGUUGCAAAACCAAUCACCUAUUGCAAGCAAUCUACCAUGCGAUAACUCGUUGUUUGAUGAGGUAAACGAACUUAACAUCCAAGACUUACCACCCCCACCGCAAUUGCCAGCAAACCCUUCGAUGGCAUGAGAAGGGCGAAACCUAAGGGAUUACGCACUACCAAAUAUGGUGAUGGUUCAAGGUAGCAUUACAAGGCCAACCAUUACGGAAAAUAAUUUUGAAAUAAAAUCGACCAUGAUCUAGAUGAUCCAAAAUAAUCUGCAAUUCAGAGGCACCAUGACGGAUGACCCAAAUCAACAUCUAAAACGGGUCCUUCAAUUUUGUGAAUCAUUUAAAUAUAACGGGGUUAUUGAUGAAGCUAUUCAUCUUCGGUUGUUUCCCUUACCUUGAUCGAUAUUUAGUUUAAGUUAAAGUUAAAGUUAAUUUAGUAUUAGCCUUCCUUGGGUUUGAUCCUUGGAGUACUCACCUACUUCAUUGUAAAAACUAUAUUUCAACCUGACUCGUAUACUUGUAGACACCACCUCAAUUCCAUUCAUUUAGUUGCAAUAUUUACACUCUGGAUGUUAGUAUGUCCGGAGGCGGUGAAGUGUUUGGUGCCAUUGCCGAGGAGGCAAUGCUACUAAAUUGAUUUUAAUUUUUGAGUUUUAUAGGAUAAGUUGGAAAUUUAUAAAUUGUAGAUACAAUUUUUUUAUUGUUACUAACAUCUUUUAUUUUCUUUUUAGUUUCAGUGUAUGGCUCGUAGUAGUGGAACAGUGAUAGAGCGAGUCACUGAUCUAGAGAGAAUAAUCUCUAGGAAUCGUCAAUAGCCAUAGCAGAUGCAAAACCAAUCACCUGUACUAAUUAGAUCUAUAUUCGUUUAAGUUCAAGUUAAUUUAGUAUUAGCCUCCCUUGGGUUUGAUCCUUGGAGUACUCACCUACUUCAGUUGUAAAAACUAUAUUACAACCUGACUCGUGUACUUGCAGACACCACCUCAAUUCCAUUCAUUUAGUUUCAAUAUUUACACUCUGGAUGUUAGUAUGUUCGGAGGCGGUCAAGUGUUUGGAGCCAUUGCCGAGGAGGCAACACUACUAAAUUGAUUUUAAUUUUUGAGUUUUAUAGGAUAAUUUGGAAAUUUAUAAAUUGUAGAUACAAUUUUUUUAUUGUUACUAACAUCUUUUAUUUUCUUUUUAGUUUCAGUGUAGGACUCGUAGUAGUGGAACAAUUAUAAAGCGAGUCACUGAUCUAGAGAGAAUAAUCUGUAGGAAUCGUCAAUAGCCAUAGCAGUUGCAAAACCAAUCACCUGUUGCAAGCAAUCUACCAUGCGAUAACCCGUUGUUUGAUGAGGUAAACGAACUUAAUAUCCAAGACUUACCACCACCACCGUAAAUUACCAGCAAACCCUUCGAUGGCAUGAGAAGGGCGAAACCUAAGGGAUUACGCACUACCAAAUAUGGUGAUGGUUCAAGGUAGCAUUACAAGGCCAACCAUUAUGGAAAAUAAUUUUGAAAUAAAAUCGACCAUGAUCUAGAUGAUCCAAAAUAAUCUGCAAUUCAGAGGAACCAUGACGGAUGACACAAAUCAACAUCUAAAAUGGGGCCUUCAAUUUUGUGAUACAUUCUAAUAUAACGGGGUCAUUGAUGAAGCUAUUCAUCUUCGGUUGUUUCCCUUAUCCUGAUCGAUAUUCGUUAAGUUAAAGUUAAAGUUAAUUUAGUAUUAGCCUUCCUUGGGUUUGAUCCUUGGAGUACUCACCUACUUCGUUGUAAAAACUAUAUUACAACCUGACUCGUAUACUUGCAGACACCACCUCAAUUCCAUUCAUUAGUUGCAAUAUUUACACUCUGGAUGUUAGUAUGUCCGGAGGCGGUCAAUUGUUUGGUGCCAUUGCCGAGGACGCAACGCUACUGAAUUGAUUUUAAUUUUUAGUUUAUAGGAUAAUUUGGAAAUUUAUGAAUUGUAGAUACAAUUUUUUUAUUGUUACUAACAUCUUUUAUUUUCUUUUUAGUUUUCAGUGUAUGGCUCGUAGUAGUGGAACAGUUAUAGAGUGAGUCACUGAUCUAAAGAGAAUAAUCUGUAGGAAUCGUCAAUAGCCAUAGCAGAUGCAAAACCAAUCACCUGUACUAAUUAGAUAUAUAUUCGUUAAGUUCAAGUUAAUUUAGUAUUAGCCUUCCUUGGGUUUGAUCCUUGGAGUACUCACCUACUUCGUAAAAACUAUAUUACAACCUGACGUUAUACUUGCAGACACCACCUCAAUUCCAUUCAUUUAGUUGCAAUAUUUACACUCUGGAUGUUAGUAUGUCCGGAGGCGGUCAAGUGUUUGGUGCCAUUGCGAGGAGGCAACGCUACUAAAUGAUUUUAAUUUUUGAGUUUUAUAGGAUAAGUUGGAAAUUUAUUAAAUUGUAGAUACACUUUUUUUAUUGUUACUAACAUCUUUAUUUUCUUUUUAGUUUCAGUGUNNNNNNNNNNNNNNNNNNNNNNNNNNNNNNNNNNNNNNNNNNNNNNNNNNNNNNNNNNNNNNNNNNNNNNNNNNNNNNNNNNNNNNNNNNNNNNNNNNNNNNNNNNNNNNNNNNNNNNNNNNNNNNNNNNNNNNNNNNNNNNNNNNNNNNNNNNNNNNNNNNNNNNNNNNNNNNNNNNNNNNNNNNNNNNNNNNNNNNNNNNNNNNNNNNNNNNNNNNNNNNNNNNNNNNNNNNNNNNNNNNNNNNNNNNNNNNNNNNNNNNNNNNNNNNNNNNNNNNNNNNNNNNNNNNNNNNNNNNNNNNNNNNNNNNNNNNNNNNNNNNNNNNNNNNNNNNNNNNNNNNNNNNNNNNNNNNNNNNNNNNNNNNNNNNNNNNNNNNNNNNNNNNNNNNNNNNNNNNNNNNNNNNNNNNNNNNNNNNNNNNNNNNNNNNNNNNNNNNNNNNNNNNNNNNNNNNNNNNNNNNNNNNNNNNNNNNNNNNNNNNNNNNNNNNNNNNNNNNNNUUCCAUUCAUUUAGUUGCAAUACUUACACUCUGGAUGUUAGUAUGCCCGGAGGCGGUCAAGAGUUUGGUGCCAUUGCCGAGGAGGCAACGCUACUAAAUUGAUUUUAAUUUUUGAGUUUUAUAGGAUAAUUUGGAAAUUUAUAAAUUGUAGAUACAAUUUUUUUAUUGUUACUAACAUCUUUUAUUUUCUUUUUAGUUUCAGUGUAUGACUCGUAGUAGUGGAACAGUUAUAGAGCGAGUCACUGAUCUAGAGAGAAUAAUCUGUAGGAAUCGUCAAUAGCCAUAGCAGAUGCAAAACCAAUCACCUGUUGCAAGCAAUCUACUAUGCGAUAACCCGUUGUUUGGUGAGGUAAACGAACUUAACAUCCAAGACUUACCACCACCACCGCUAUUACCAGCAAACCCUUCGAUGGCAUGAGAAGGGCGAAACCUAAGGGAUUCCGCACUACCAAAUAUGGUGAUGGUUCAAGGUAGCAUUACAAGGCAAACCAUUAUGGAAAAUAAUUUUGAAAUAAAAUCGACCAUGAUCUAGAUGAUCCAAACUAAUCUUCAAUUCAGAGGAACCAUGACGGAUGACCCAAAUCAACAUCUAAAACGGGUCCUUCAAUUUUGUGAUGCAUUUAAAUAUAACGGGGUCAUUAAUGAAGCUAUUCAUCUUCAGUUGUUUCCCAUAUCCUUGAUCGAUAUUCGUUUAAGUUAAAGUUAAAGUUAAUUUAGUAUUAGCCUUCCUUGUGUUUGAUCCUUGGAGUACUCACCUACUUCAUUGUAAAAACUAUAUUACAACCUGACUCGUAUACUUGCAGACACCACCUCAAUUCCAUUCAUUUAGUUGCAAUAUUUACACUCUGGAUGUUAGUAUGUCCGGAGGCGGUCAAGUGUUUGGUGCCAUUGCCGAGGAGGCAACGCUACUGAAUUGAUUUUAAUUUUUUAGUUUUAUAGAAUAAUUUGGAAAUUUAUAAAUUGUAGAUACAAUUUUCUUAUUGUUACUAGCAUCUUUUAUUUUCUUUUUAGUUUCAGUGUAUGGCUCGUAGCAGUGGAACAGUUAUAGAGCGAGUCACUGAUCUAAAGAGAAUAAUCUGUAGGAAUCGUCAAUAGCCAUAGCAGAUGCAAAACCAAUCACCUGUACUAAUUAGAUCUAUAUUCAUUUAAGUUCAAGUUAAUUUAGUAUUAGCCUCCCUUGGGUUUGAUCCUUGGAGUACUCACCUACUUCGUUGUAAAAACUAUAUUACAACCUGACUCUUGUACUUGCAGACACCACCACAAUUCCAUUCAUUUAGUUUCAAUAUUUACACUCUGGAUGUUAGUAUGUUCGGAGGCGGUCAAGUGUUUGGAGCCAUUGCCGAGGAGGCAACACUACUAAAUUGAUUUUAAUUUUUGAGUUUAAAAGGAUAAUUUGGAAAUUUAUAAAUUGUAGAUAAAUUUUUUUAUUGUUACUAACAUCUUUUAUUUUCUUUUUAGUUUCAGUGUAGGACUCGUAGUAGUGGAACAAUUAUAAAGCGAGUCACUGAUCUAGAGAGAAUAAUCUGUAGGAAUCGUCAAUAGCCAUAGCAGUUGCAAAACCAAUCACCUGUUGCAAGCAAUCUACCAUGCGAUAACCCGUUGUUUGAUGAGGUAAACGAAUUUAAUAUCCAAGACUUACCACCACCACCGCAAUUACCAGCAAACCCUUCGAUGGCAUGAGAAGGGCGAAACCUAAGGGAUUACGCACUACCAAAUAUGUUGAUGGUUCAAGGUAGCAUUACAAGGCCAGCCAUUAUGGAAAAUAAUUUUGAAAUAAAAUCGACCAUGAUCUAGAUGAUCCAAAAUAAUCUGCAAUUCAGAGGCACCAUGACGGAUGACCCAAAUCAACAUCUAAAACGGGUCCUUCAAUUUUGUGAUGCAUUUAAAUAUAACAGGGUCAUUAAUGAAGCUAUUCAUCUUCGGUUGUUUCCCUUAUCCUUGAUCGAUAUUCGUUUAAGUUAAAGUUAAAGUUAAUUUAGUAUUAGCCUUCCUUGGGUUUGAUCCUUGGAGUACUCACCUACUUCAUUGUAAAAACUAUAUUACAACCUGACUCGUAUACUUGUAGACACCACCUCAAUUCCAUUCAUUUAGUUGCAAUAUUUACACUCUGGAUGUUAGUAUGUCCGGAGGCGGUCAAGUGUUUGGUGCCAUUGCCGAGGAGGCAACGCUACUAAAUUGAUUUUAAUUUUUGAGUUUUAUAGGAUAGUUUGGAAAUUUAUAAAUUGUAGAUACAAUUUUUUUAUUGUUACUAACAUCUUUCAUUUUCUUUUUAGUUUCAGUGUAUGACUCGUAGUAGUGGAAGAGUUAUAGUGCGAGUCACUGAUCUAGAGAGAAUAAUCUGUAGGAAUCGUCAAUAGCCAUAGCAGAUGCAAAACCAAUCACCUGUUGCAAGCAAUCUACCAUGCGAUAACCCGUUGUUUGAUGAGGUAAACGAACUUAAUAUCCAAGACUUACCACCACCACCGCAAUUACCAGCAAACCCUUCGAUGGCAUGAGAAGGGCGAAACCUAAGGGAUUACGCACUACCAAAUAUGGUGAUGGUUCAAGGUAGCAUUACAAGGCCAACCAUUAUGGAAAAUAAUUUUGAAAUAAAAUCGACCAUGAUCUAGAUGAUCCAAACUAAUCUUCAAUUCAGAGGCACCAUGACGGAUGACCCAAAUCAACAUCUAAAACGGGUCCUUCAAUUUUGUGAUGCAUUUAAAUAUAACGGGGUUAUUGAUGAAGCUAUUCAUCUUCGGUUGUUUCCCUUAUCCUUGAUCGAUAUUCGAUUAAGUUAAAGUUAAAGUUAAUUUAGUAUUAGCCUUCCUUGGGUUUGAGCCUUGGAGUACUCACCUACUUCAUUGUAAAAACUAUAUUACAACCUGACUCGUAUACUUGCAGACACCACCUCAAUUCCAUUCAUUUAGUUGCAAUAUUUACACUCUGGAUGUUAGUAUGCCCGGAGGCGGUCAAGAGUUUGGUGCCAUUGCCGAGGAGGCAACGCUACUAAAUUGAUUUUAAUUUUUGAGUUUUAUAGGAUAAUUUGGAAAUUUAUAAAUUGUAGAUACAAUUUUUUUUAUUGUUACUAACAUCUUUUAUUUUCUUUUUAGUUUCAGUGUAUGACUCGUAGUAGUGGAACAGUUAUAGAGCGAGUCACUGAUCUAGAGAGAAUAAUCUGUAGGAAUCGUCAAUAGCCAUAGCAGAUGCAAAACCAAUCACCUGUUGCAAGCAAUCUACUAUGCGAUAACCCGUUGUUUGAUGAGGUAAACGAACUUAACAUCCAAGACUUACCACCACCACCGCUAUUACCAGCAAACCCUUCGAUGGGAUGAGAAGGGUGAAACCUAAGGGAUUACGCACUACCAAAUAUGGUGAUGGUUCAAGGUAGCAUUACAAGGCAAACCAUUAUGGAAAAUAAUUUUGAAAUAAAAUCGACCAUGAUCUAGAUGAUCCAAACUAAUCUUCAAUUCAGAGGAACCAUGACGGAUGACCCAAAUCAACAUCUAAAACGGGUCCUUCAAUUUUGUGAUGCAUUUAAAUAUAACGGGGUCAUUAAUGAAGCUAUUCAUCUUCAGUUGUUUCCCAUAUCCUUGAUCGAUAUUCGUUUAAGUUAAAGUUAAUGUUAAUUUAGUAUUAGCCUUCCUUGUGUUUGAUCCUUGGAGUACUCACCUACUUCAUUGUAAAAACUAUAUUACAACCUGACUCGUAUACUUGCAGACACUACCUCAAUUCCAUUCAUUUAGUUGCAAUAUUUACACUCUGGAUGUUAGUAUGUCCGGAGGCGGUCAAGUGUUUGGUGCCAUUGCCGAGGAGGCAACGCUACUGAAUUGAUUUUAAUAUUUUAGUUUUAUAUAAUAAUUUGGAAAUUUAUAAAUUGUAGAUACAAUUUUCUUAUUGUUACUAGCAUCUUUUAUUUUCUUUUUAGUUUCAGUGUAUGGCUCGUAGCAGUGGAACAGUUAUAGAGCGAGUCACUGAUCUAAAGAGAAUAAUCUGUAGGAAUCGUCAAUAGCCAUAGCAGAUGCAAAACCAAUCACCUGUACUAAUUAGAUCUAUAUUCAUUUAAGUUCAAGUUAAUUUAGUAUUAGCCUCCCUUGGGUUUGAUCCUUGGAGUACUCACCUACUUCGUUGUAAAAACUAUAUUACAACCUGACUCUUGUACUUGCAGACACCACCACAAUUCCAUUCAUUUAGUUUCAAUAUUUACACUCUGGAUGUUAGUAUGUUCGGAGGCGGUCAAGUGUUUGGAGCCAUUGCCGAGGAGGCAACACUACUAAAUUGAUUUUAAUUUUUGAGUUUAAAAGGAUAAUUUGGAAAUUUAUAAAUUGUAGAUAAAAUUUUUUUAUUGUUACUAACAUCUUUUAUUUUCUUUUUAGUUUCAGUGUAGGACUCGUAGUAGUGGAACAAUUAUAAAGCGAGUCACUGAUCUAGAGAGAAUAAUCUGUAGGAAUCGUCAAUAGCCAUAGCAGUUGCAAAACCAAUCACCUGUUGCAAGCAAUCUACCAUGCGAUAACCCGUUGUUUGAUGAGGUAAACGAAUUUAAUAUCCAAGACUUACCACCACCACCGUAAUUACCAGCAAACCCUUCGAUGGCAUGAGAAGGGCGAAACCUAAGGGAUUACGCACUACCAAAUAUGUUGAUGGUUCAAGGUAGCAUUACAAGGCCAGCCAUUAUGGAAAAUAAUUUUGAAAUAAAAUCGACCAUGAUCUAGAUGAUCCAAACUAAUCUUCAAUUCAGAGGCACCAUGACGGAUGACCCAAAUCAACAUCUAAAACGGGUCCUUCAAUUUUGUGAUGCAUUUAAAUAUAACGGGGUUAUUGAUGAAGCUAUUCAUCUUCGGUUGUUUCCCUUAUCCUUGAUCGAUAUUCGAUUAAGUUAAAGUUAAAGUUAAUUUAGUAUUAGCCUUCCUUGGGUUUGAGCCUUGGAGUACUCACCUACUUCAUUGUAAAAACUAUAUUACAACCUGACUCGUAUACUUGUAGACACCACCUCAAUUCCAUUCAUUUAGUUGCAAUAUUUACACUCUGGAUGUUAGUAUGUCCGGAGGCGGUCAAGUGUUUGGUGCCAUUGCCGAGGAGGCAACGCUACUAAAUUGAUUUUAAUUUUUGAGUUUUAUAGGAUAGUUUGGAAAUUUAUAAAUUGUAGAUACAAUUUUUUUAUUGUUACUAACAUCUUUCAUUUUUUUUUUAGUUUCAGUGUAUGACUCGUAGUAGUGGAACAGUUAUAGUGCGAGUCACUGAUCUUGAGAGAAUAAUCUAUAGGAAUCGUCAAUAGCCAUAGCAGAUGCAAAACGAAUCACCUGUUGCAAGCAAUCUACUAUGCGAUAACCCGUUGUUUGAUGAGGUAAACGAACUUAACAUCCAAGACUUACCACCACCACCGCUAUUACCAGCAAACCCUUCGAUGGCAUGAGAAGAGCGAAACCUAAGGGAUUAUGCACUACCAAAUCUGGUGAUGGUUCAAGGUAGCAUUACAAGGCCAACCAUUAUGGAAAAUAAUUUUGAAAUAAAAUCGACCAUGAUCUAGAUGAUCCAAAAUAAUCUGCAAUUCAGAGGAACCAUGACGGAUGACACAAAUCAACAUCUAAAACGGGGCCUUCAAUUUUGUGAUACAUUCUAAUAUAACGGGGUCAUUGAUGAAGCUAUUCAUCUUCGGUUGUUUCCCUUAUCCUUGAUCGAUAUUCGUUUAAGUUAAAGUUAAAGUUAAUUUAGUAUUAUCCUUCCUUGGGUUUGAUCCUUGGAGUACUCACCUACUUCGUUGUAAAAAGUAUAUUACAACCUGACUCGUAUACUUGCAGACACCACCUCAAUUCCAUUCAUUUAGUUGCAAUAUUUACACUCUGGAUGUUAGUAUGUCCGGAGGCGGUCAAGUGUUUGGUGCCAUUGCCGAGGAGGCAACGCUACUGAAUUGAUUUUAAUUUUUUAGUUUUAUAGGAUAAUUUGGAAAUUUAUAAAUUGUAGAUACAAUUUUUUUAUUGUUACUAACAUCUUUUAUUUUCUUUUUAGUUUCAGUGUAUGGCUCGUAGUAGUGGAAUAGUUAUAGAGCGAGUCACUGAUCUAAAGAGAAUAAUCUGUAGGAAUCGUCAAUAGCCAUAGCAGAUGAAAAAACCAAUCACCUGUACUAAUUAGAUAUAUAUUCGUUUAAGUUCAAGUUAAUUUAGUAUUAGCCUUCCUUGGGUUUGAUCCUUGGAGUACUCACCUACUUCGUUGUAAAAACUAUAUUACAACCUGACUCGUAUACUUGCAGACACCACCUCAAUUCCAUUCAUUAAGUUUCAAUAUUUACACUCUGGAUGUUAGUAUGUCCGGAGGCGGUCAAAUGUUUGGUGCCAUUGCCGAGGAGGCAACGCUACUAAAUUGAUUUUAAUUUUUGAGUUUUAUAGGAUAAUUUGGAAAUUUAUAAAUUGUAGAUACAAUUUUUUUAUUGUUACUAACAUCUUUUAUUUUCUUUUUAGUUUCAGUGUAUGUCUUGCAGUAGUGGAACAAUUAUAGAGUGAGUCACUGAUCUAGAGAGAAUAAUCUGUAGGAAUCGUCAAUAGCCAUAGCAGAUGCAAAACCAAUCACCUGUACUAAUUAGAUCUAUAUUCGUUUAAGUUCAAGUUAAUUUAGUAUUAGCCUCCCUUGGGUUUGAUCCUUGGAGUACUCACCUACUUCGUUGUUAAAACUAUAUUACAACCUGACUCGUAUACUUGCAGACACCACCUCAAUUCCAUUCAUUUAGUUGCAAUAUUUACACUCUGGAUGUUAGUAUGUCCGGAGGCGGUCAAGUGUUUGGUGCCAUUGCCGAGAAGGCAACGCUACUGAAUUGAUUUUAAUUUUUUAGUUUUAUAGGAUAAUUUGGAAAUUUAUAAAUUGCAGAUACAAUUUUUUUAUUGUUACUAACAUCUUUUAUUUUCUUUUUAGUUUCAGUGUAUGUCUUGCAGUAGUGGAACAAUUAUAGAGCGAGUCACUGAUCUAGAGAGAAUAAUCUGUAGGAAUCGUCAAUAGCCAUAGCAGAUGCAGAACCAAUCACCUGUACUAAUUAGAUCUAUAUUCGUUUAAGUUCAAGUUAAUUUAGUAUUAGCCUCCCUUGGGUUUGAUCCUUGUAGUACUCACCUACUUUGUUGUAAAAACUAUAUUACAACCUGACUCGUGUACUUGCAGACACCACCUCAAUUCCAUUCAUUUAGUUUCAAUAUUUACACUCUGGAUGUUAGUAUGUUCGGAGGCGGUCAAGUGUUUGGAGCCAUUGCCGAGGAGGCAACACUACUAAAUUGAUUUUAAUUUUUGAGUUUUAUAGGAUAAUUUGGAAAUUUAUAAAUUGUAGAUACAAUUUUUUUAUUGUUACUAACAUCUUUUAUUUUUUUUUUAGUUUCAGUGUAUGACUCGUAGUAGUGGAACAGUUAUAGAGCGAGUCACUGAUCUAGAGAGAAUAAUCUGUAGGAAUCGUCAAUAGCCAUAGCAGAUGCAAAACCAAUCACCUGUUACAAGCAAUCUACUAUGCGAUAACCCGUUGUUUGAUGAGGUAAACGAACUUAACAUCCAAGACAUACCACCACCACCGCCAUUACCAGCAAACCCUUCGAUGGCAUGAGAAGAGCGAAACCUAAGGGAUUAUGCACUACCAAAUCUGGUGAUGGUUCAAGGUAGCAUUACAAGGCCAACCAUUAUGGAAAAUAAUUUUGAAAUAAAAUCGACCAUGAUCUAGAUGAUCCAAAAUAAUCUGCAAUUCAGAGGAACCAUGACGGAUGACACAAAUCAACAUCUAAAACAGGGCCUUCAAUUUUGUGAUACAUUCUAAUAUAACGGGGUCAUUGAUGAAGCUAUUCAUCUUCGGUUGUUUCCCUUAUCUUUGAUCGAUAUUCGUUUAAGUUAAAGUUAAAGUUAAUUUAGUAUUAGCCUUCUUUGGGUUUGAUCCUUGGAGUACUCACCUACUUCGUUUUAAAAACUAUAUCACAACCUGACUCGUAUACUUGCACACACCACCUCAAUUCCAUUCAUUUAGUUGCAAUAUUUACACUCUGGAUGUUAGUAUGUCUGGAGGCGGUUAAGUGUUUGGUGCCAUUGCCGAGGAGGCAACGCUACUGAAUUGAUUUUAAUUUUUUAGUUUUAUAGGAUAAUUUGGAAAUUUAUAAAUUGUAGAUACAAUUUUCUUAUUGUUACUAACAUCUUUUAUUUUCUUUUUAGUUUCAGUGUAUGGCUCGUAGUAGUGGAAUAGUUAUAGAGCGAGUCACUGAUCUAAAGAGAAUAAUCUGUAGGAAUCGUCAAUAGCCAUAGCAGAUGCAAAACCAAUCACCUGUACUAAUUAGAUCUAUAUUCGUUUAAGUUCAAGUUAAUUUAGUAUUAGCAUUCCUUGGGUUUGAUCCUUGGAGUACUCACCUACUUCGUUGUAAAAACUAUAUUACAACCUGACUCGUGUACUUGCAGACACCACCUCAAUUCCAUUCAUUUAGUUGCAAUAUUUACACUCUAGAUGUUAGUAUGUCCGGAGGCGGUCAAAUGUUUGGUGCCAUUGCCGUGGAGGCAACGCUACUAAAUUGAUUUUAAUUUUUGAGUUUUAUAGGAUAAUUUGGAAUUUAUAAAUUGUAGAUACAAUUUUUUUAUUGUUACUAACACCUUUUAUUUUCUUUUUAGUUUCAGUGUAUGUCUUGCAGUAGUGGAACAAUUAUAGAGCGAGUCACUGAUCUAGAGAGAAUAAUCUGUAGGAAUCGUCAAUAGCCAUAGCAGAUGCAAAACCAAUCACCUGUACUAAUUAGAUCUAUAUUCGUUUAAGUUCAAGUUAAUUUAGUAUUUGCCUUCCUUGGGUUUGAUCCUUGGAGUACUCACCUACUUCGUUGUAAAAACUAUAUUACAACCUGACUCGUGUACUUGCAGACACCACCUCAAUUCCAUUCAUUUAGUUGCAAUAUUUACACUCUAGAUGUUAGUAUGUCUGGAGGCGGUCAAAUGUUUGGUGCCAUUGCCGAGGAGGCAACGCUACUAAAUUGAUUUUAAUUUUUGAGUUUUAUAGGAUAAUUUGGAAAUUUAUAAAUUGUAGAUACAAUUUUUUUAUUGUUACUAACACCUUUUAUUUUCUUUUUAGUUUCAGUGUAUGUCUUGCAGUAGUGGAACAAUUAUAGAGCGAGUCACUGAUCUGGAGAGAAUAAUCUGUAGGAAUCGUCAAUAGCCAUAGCAGAUGCAAAACCAAUCACCUGUACUAAUUAGAUCUAUAUUCGUUUAAGUUCAAGUUAAUUUAGUAUUAUCCCUCCUUGGGUUUGAUCCUUGGAGUACUCACCUACUUCGUUGUAAAAACUAUAUUACAACCUGACUCGUGUACUUGCAGACACCACCUCAAUUCCAUUCAUUUAGUUGCAAUAUUUACACUCUAGAUGUUAGUAUGUCCGGAGGCGGUCAAAUGUUUGGUGCCAUUGCCGUGGAGGCAACGCUACUAAAUUGAUUUUAAUUUUUGAGUUUUAUAGGAUAAUUUGGAAAUUUAUAAAUUGUAGAUACAAUUUUUUUAUUGUUACUAACACCUUUUAUUUUCUUUUUAGUUUCAGUGUAUGUCUUGCAGUAGUGGAACAAUUAUAGAGCGAGUCACUGAUCUAGAGAGAAUAAUCUGUAGGAAUCGUCAAUAGCCAUAGCAGAUGCAAAACCAAUCACCUGUACUAAUUAGAUCUAUAUUCGUUUAAGUUCAAGUUAAUUUAGUAUUAGCCUCCCUUGGGUUUGAUCCUUGGAGUACGCACCUACUUCGUUGUAAAAACUAUAUUACAACCUGACUCGUGUACUUGCAGACACCACCUCAAUUCCAUUCAUUUAGUUGCAAUAUUUACACUCUGGAUGUUAGUAUGUCCGGAGGCGGUCAAGUGUUUGGUGCCAUUGCCGAGGAGGCAACGCUACUAAAUUGAUUUUAAUUUUUGAGUUUUAUAGGAUAAUUUGGAAAUUUAUAAAUUGUAGAUACAAUUUUUUUAUUGUUACUAACAUCUUUUAUUUUCUUUUUAGUUUCAGUGUAUGACUCGUAGUAGUGGAGCAGUUAUAGAGCGAGUCACUGAUCUAGAGAGAAUAAUCUGUAGGAAUCGUCAAUAGCCAUAGCAGAUGCAAAACCAAUCACCUGUUGCAAGCAAUCUACUAUGCGAUAACCCGUUGUUUGAUGAGGUAAACGAACUUAACAUCCAAGACUUACCACCACCACCGCUAUUACCAGCAAACCCUUCGAUGGCAUGAGAAGAGCGAAACCUAAGGGAUUAUGCACUACCAAAUCAGGUGAUGGUUCAAGGUAGCAUUACAAGGCCAACCAUUAUGGAAAAUAAUUUUGAAAUAAAAUCGACCAUGAUCUAGAUGAUCCAAAAUAAUCUGCAAUUCAGGGGAACCAUGACGGAUGACCCAAAUCAACAUCUAAAACGGGUCCUUCAAUUUUCUGAUGCAUUUAAAUAAAACGGGGUCAUUAAUGAAGCUAUUCAUCUUCGGUUGUUUCCCGUAUCCUUGAUCGAUAUUCGUUUAAGUUAAAGUUAAAGUUAAUUUAGUAUUAGCCUUCCUUGGGUUUGAUCCUUGGAGUACUCACCUACUUCGUUGUAAAAACUAUAUUACAACCUGACUCGUAUACUUGCAGACACCACCUCAAUUCCAUUCAUUUAGUUGCAAUAUUUACACUCUGGAUGUUAGUAUGUCCGGAGGCGGUCAAAUGUUUGGUGCCAUUGCCGAGGAGGCAACGCUACUAAAUUGAUUUUAAUUUUUGAUUUUUAUAGGAUAAUUUGGAAAUUUAUAAAUUGUAGAUACAAUUUUUUUAUUGUUACUAACAUCUUUUAUUUUUUUUUAGUUUCAGUGUAUGACUCGUAGUAGUGGAACAGUUAUAGAGCGAGUCACUGAUCUAGAGAGAAUAAUCUGUAGGAAUCGUCAAUAGCCAUAGCAGAUGCAAAACCAAUCACCUGUUACAAGCAAUCUACUAUGCGAUAACCCGUUGUUUGAUGAGGUAAACGAACUUAACAUCCAAGACAUACCACCACCAUCGCCAUUACCAGCAAACCCUUCGAUGGCAUGAGAAGAGCGAAACCUAAGGGAUUAUGCACUACCAAAUCUGGUGAUGGUUCAAGGUAGCAUUACAAGGCCAACCAUUAUGGAAAAUAAUUUUGAAAUAAAAUCGACCAUGAUCUAGAUGAUCCAAAAUAAUCUGCAAUUCAGAGGAACCAUGACGGAUGACACAAAUCAACAUCUAAAACAGGGCCUUCAAUUUUGUGAUACAUUCUAAUAUAACGGGGUCAUUGAUGAAGCUAUUCAUCUUCGGUUGUUUCCCUUAUCUUUGAUCGAUAUUCGUUUAAGUUAAAGUUAAAGUUAAUUUAGUAUUAGCCUUCUUUGGGUUUGAUCCUUGGAGUACUCACCUACUUCGUUUUAAAAACUAUAUCACAACCUGACUCGUAUACUUGCAGACACCACCUCAAUUCCAUUCAUUUAGUUGCAAUAUUUACACUCUGGAUGUUAGUAUGUCUGGAGGCGGUCAAGUGUUUGGUGCCAUUGCCGAGGAGGCAACGCUACUGAAUUGAUUUUAAUUUUUUAGUUUUAUAGGAUAAUUUGGAAAUUUAUAAAUUGUAGAUACAAUUUUCUUAUUGUUACUAACAUCUUUUAUUUUCUUUUUAGUUUCAGUGUAUGGCUCGUAGUAGUGGAACAGUUAUAGAGCGAGUCACUGAUCUAAAGAGAAUAAUCUGUAGGAAUCGUCAAUAGCCAUAGCAGAUGCAAAACCAAUCACCUGUACUAAUUAGAUCUAUAUUCGUUUAAGUUCAAGUUAAUUUAGUAUUAGCAUUCCUUGGGUUUGAUCCUUGGAGUACUCACCUACUUCGUUGUAAAAACUAUAUUACAACCUGACUCGUGUACUUGCAGACACCACCUCAAUUCCAUUCAUUUAGUUGCAAUAUUUACACUCUAGAUGUUAGUAUGUCCGGAGGCGGUCAAAUGUUUGGUGCCAUUGCCGUGGAGGCAACGCUACUAAAUUGAUUUUAAUUUUUGAGUUUUAUAGGAUAAUUUGGAAUUUAUAAAUUGUAGAUACAAUUUUUUUAUUGUUACUAACACCUUUUAUUUUCUUUUUAGUUUCAGUGUAUGUCUUGCAGUAGUGGAACAAUUAUAGAGCGAGUCACUGAUCUAGAGAGAAUAAUCUGUAGGAAUCGUCAAUAGCCAUAGCAGAUGCAAAACCAAUCACCUGUACUAAUUAGAUCUAUAUUCGUUUAAGUUCAAGUUAAUUUAGUAUUAGCCUUCCUUGGGUUUGAUCCUUGGAGUACUCACCUACUUCGUUGUAAAAACUAUAUUACAACCUGACUCGUGUACUUGCAGACACCACCUCAAUUCCAUUCAUUUAGUUGCAAUAUUUACACUCUAGAUGUUAGUAUGUCUGGAGGCGGUCAAAUGUUUGGUGCCAUUGCCGAGGAGGCAACGCUACUAAAUUGAUUUUAAUUUUUGAGUUUUAUAGGAUAAUUUGGAAAUUUAUAAAUUGUAGAUACAAUUUUUUUAUUGUUACUAACACCUUUUAUUUUCUUUUUAGUUUCAGUGUAUGUCUUGCAGUAGUGGAACAAUUAUAGAGCGAGUCACUGAUCUGGAGAGAAUAAUCUGUAGGAAUCGUCAAUAGCCAUAGCAGAUGCAAAACCAAUCACCUGUACUAAUUAGAUCUAUAUUCGUUUAAGUUCAAGUUAAUUUAGUAUUAUCCCUCCUUGGGUUUGAUCCUUGGAGUACUCACCUACUUCGUUGUAAAAACUAUAUUACAACCUGACUCGUGUACUUGCAGACACCACCUCAAUUCCAUUCAUUUAGUUGCAAUAUUUACACUCUAGAUGUUAGUAUGUCCGGAGGCGGUCAAAUGUUUGGUGCCAUUGCCGUGGAGGCAACGCUACUAAAUUGAUUUUAAUUUUUGAGUUUUAUAGGAUAAUUUGGAAAUUUAUAAAUUGUAGAUACAAUUUUUUUAUUGUUACUAACACCUUUUAUUUUCUUUUUAGUUUCAGUGUAUGUCUUGCAGUAGUGGAACAAUUAUAGAGCGAGUCACUGAUCUAGAGAGAAUAAUCUGUAGGAAUCGUCAAUAGCCAUAGCAGAUGCAAAACCAAUCACCUGUACUAAUUAGAUCUAUAUUCGUUUAAGUUCAAGUUAAUUUAGUAUUAGCCUCCCUUGGGUUUGAUCCUUGGAGUACGCACCUACUUCGUUGUAAAAACUAUAUUACAACCUGACUCGUGUACUUGCAGACACCACCUCAAUUCCAUUCAUUUAGUUGCAAUAUUUACACUCUGGAUGUUAGUAUGUCCGGAGGCGGUCAAGUGUUUGGUGCCAUUGCCGAGGAGGCAACGCUACUAAAUUGAUUUUAAUUUUUGAGUUUUAUAGGAUAAUUUGGAAAUUUAUAAAUUGUAGAUACAAUUUUUUUAUUGUUACUAACAUCUUUUAUUUUCUUUUUAGUUUCAGUGUAUGACUCGUAGUAGUGGAGCAGUUAUAGAGCGAGUCACUGAUCUAGAGAGAAUAAUCUGUAGGAAUCGUCAAUAGCCAUAGCAGAUGCAAAACCAAUCACCUGUUGCAAGCAAUCUACUAUGCGAUAACCCGUUGUUUGAUGAGGUAAACGAACUUAACAUCCAAGACUUACCACCACCACCGCUAUUACCAGCAAACCCUUCGAUGGCAUGAGAAGAGCGAAACCUAAGGGAUUAUGCACUACCAAAUCAGGUGAUGGUUCAAGGUAGCAUUACAAGGCCAACCAUUAUGGAAAAUAAUUUUGAAAUAAAAUCGACCAUGAUCUAGAUGAUCCAAAAUAAUCUGCAAUUCAGGGGAACCAUGACGGAUGACCCAAAUCAACAUCUAAAACGGGUCCUUCAAUUUUCUGAUGCAUUUAAAUAAAACGGGGUCAUUAAUGAAGCUAUUCAUCUUCGGUUGUUUCCCGUAUCCUUGAUCGAUAUUCGUUUAAGUUAAAGUUAAAGUUAAUUUAGUAUUAGCCUUCCUUGGGUUUGAUCCUUGGAGUACUCACCUACUUCGUUGUAAAAACUAUAUUACAACCUGACUCGUAUACUUGCAGACACCACCUCAAUUCCAUUCAUUUAGUUGCAAUAUUUACACUCUGGAUGUUAGUAUGUCCGGAGGCGGUCAAAUGUUUGGUGCCAUUGCCGAGGAGGCAACGCUACUAAAUUGAUUUUAAUUUUUGAUUUUUAUAGGAUAAUUUGGAAAUUUAUAAAUUGUAGAUACAAUUUUUUUAUUGUUACUAACAUCUUUUAUUUUCUUUUUAGUUUCAGUGUAUGUCUUGCAGUAGUGGAACAAUUAUAGAGUGAGUCACUGAUCUAGAGAGAAUAAUCUGUAGGAAUCGUCAAUAGCCAUAGCAGAUGCAAAACCAAUCACCUGUACUAAUUAGAUCUAUAUUCGUGUAAGUUCAAGUUAAUUUAGUAUUGGCCUCCCUUGGGUUUGAUCCUUGGAGUACUCACCUACUUCGUUGUAAAAACUAUAUUACAACCUGAGUCGUAUACUUGCAGACACCACCUCAAUUCCAUUCAUUUAGUUGCAAUAUUUACACUCUGGAUGUUAGUAUGUCCGGAGGCGGUCAAGUGUUUGGUGCCAUUGCCGAGGAGGCAACGCUACUAAAUUGAUUUUAAUUUUUGAGUUUUAUAGGAUAAUUUGGAAAUUUAUAAAUUGUAGAUACAAUUUUUUUAUUGUUACUAAAAUCUUUUAUUUUCUUUUUAGUUUCAGUGUAUGUCUUGUAGUAGUGGAACAGUUAUAGAGCGGGUCACUGAUCUAGAGAGAAUAAUCUCUAGGAAUCGUCAAUAGCCAUAGCAGAUGCAAAACCAAUCACCUGUACUAAUUAGAUCUAUAUUCGUUUAAGUUAAAGUUAAUUUAGUAUUAGCCUUCCUUGGGUUUGUUCCUUGGAGUACUCACCUACUUCGUUGUAAAAACUAUAUUACAACCUGACUCGUGUACUUGCAGACACCACCUCAAUUCCAUUCAUUUAGUUGCAAUAUUUACACUCUGGAUGUUAGUAUGUCCGGAGGCGGUCAAGUGUUUGGAGCCAUUGCCGAGGAGAGAACGCUACUAAAUUGAUUUUAAUUUUUGAGUUUUAUAGGAUAAUUUGGAAAUUUAUAAAUUGUAGAUACAAUUUUUUUAUUGUUACUAACAUCUUUUAUUUUCUUUUUAGUUUCAGUGUAGGACUCGUAGUAGUGGAACAAUUAUAGAGCGAGUCACUGAUCUGGAGAGAAUAAUCUGUAGGAAUCGUCAAUAGCCAUAGCAGAUGCAAAACCAAUCACCUGUUGCAAGCAAUCUACCAUGCGAUAACUCAUUGUUAGAUGAGGUAAACUAACUUAACAUCCAAGACUUACCACCACCACCGCAAUUACCAGCAAACCCUUCGAUGGCAUGAGAAGAGCGAAACCUAAGGGAUUACGCACUACCAAAUCUGGUGAUGGUUCAAGGUAGCAUUACAAGGCCAACCAUUAUGGAAAAUAAUUUUGAAAUAAAAUCGACCAUGAUCUAGAUGAUCCAAAAUAAUCUGCAAUUCAGAGGAACCAUGACGGAUGACACAAAUCAACAUCUAAAACGGGGCCUUCAAUUUUGUGAUGCAUUUAAAUAUAACGGGGUCAUUGAUGAAGCUAUUCAUCUUCGGUUGUUUCCCUUAUCCUUGAUCGAUAUUCGUUUAAGUUAAAGUUAAAGUUAAUUUAGUAUUAGCCUUCCUUGGGUUUGAUCCUUGGAGUACUCACCUACUUCGUUGUAAAAACUAUAUUACAGCCUGACUCGUAUACUUGCAGACACCACCUCAAUUCCAUUCAUUUAGUUGCAAUAUUUACACUCUGGAUGUUAGUAUGUCCGGAGGCGGUCAAGUGUUUGGUGCCAUUGCCGAGGAGGCAACGCUACUGAAUUGAUUUUAAUUUUUUAGUUUUAUAGGAUAAUUUGGAAAUUUAUAAAUUGUAGAUACAAUUUUUUUAUUGUUACUAACAUCUUUUAUUUUCUUUUUAGUUUCAGUGUAUGGCUCGUAGUAGUGGAACAGUUAUAGAGCGAGUCACUGAUCUAAAGAGAAUAAUCUGUAGGAAUCGUCAAUAGCCAUAGCAGAUGCAAAACCAAUCUCCUGUACUAAUUAGAUAUAUAUUCGUUUAUGUUCAAGUUAAUUUAGUAUUAGCCUUCCUUGGGUUUGAUCCUUGGAUUACUCACCUACUUCGUUGUAAAAACUAUAUUACAACCUGACUAGUAUACUUGCAGACACCACCUCAAUUCCAUUCAUUUAGUUGCAAUAUUUACACUCUGGAUGUUAGUAUGUCCGGAGGCGGUCAAAUGUUUGGUGCCAUUGCCCUGGUGGCAACGCUACUAAAUUGAUUUUAAUUUUUGAUUUUUAUAGGAUAAUUUGGAAAAUUAUAAAUUGUAGAUACAAUUUUUUUAUUGUUACUAACAUCUUUUAUUUUCUUUUUAGUUUCAGUGUAUGUCUUGCAGUAGUGGAACAAUUAUAGAGUGAGUCACUGAUCUAGAGAGAAUAAUCUGUAGGAAUCGUCAAUAGCCAUAGCAGAUGCAAAACCAAUCACCUGUACUAAUUAGAUCUAUAUUCGUUUAAGUUCAAGUUAAUUUAGUAUUGGCCUCCCUUGGGUUUGAUCCUUGGAGUACUCACCUACUUCGUUGUAAAAACUAUAUUACAACCUGACUCGUAUACUUGCAGACACCACCUCAAUUCCAUUCAUUUAGUUGCAAUAUUUACACUCUGGAUGUUAGUAUGUCCGGAGGCGGUCAAGUGUUUGGUGCCAUUGCCGAGGAGGCAACGCUACUAAAUUGAUUUUAAUUUUUGAGUUUUAUAGGAUAAUUUGGAAAUUUAUAAAUUGUAGAUACAAUUUUUUUAUUGUUACUAACAUCUUUUAUUUUCUUUUUAGUUUCAGUGUAUGUCUUGUAGUAGUGGAACAGUUAUAGAGCGAGUCACUGAUCUAGAGAGAAUAAUCUCUAGGAAUCGUCAAUAGCCAUAGCAGAUGCAAAACGAAUCACUUGUACUAAUUAGAUCUAUAUUCGUUUAAGUUAAAGUUAAUUUAGUAUUAGCGCAAGCAAUCUACCAUGCGAUAACUCGUUAUUAGAUGAGGUAAACUAACUUAACAUCCAAGACUUACCACCACCACCGCAAUUACCAGCAAACCCUUCGAUGGCAUGAGAAGAGCGAAACCUAAGGGAUUACGCACUACCAAAUCUGGUGAUGGUUCAAGGUAGCAUUACAAGGCCAACCAUUAUGGAAAAUAAUUUUGAAAUAAAAUCGACCAUGAUCUAGAUGAUCCAAAAUAAUUUGCAAUUCAGAGGCACCAUGACGGAUGACCCAAAUCAACAUCUAAAAUGGGUCCUUCAAUUUUGUGAUACAUUUAAAUAUAACGGGGUCAUUGAUGAAGCUAUUCAUCUUUGGUUGUUUCCCUUUUCCUUGAUCAAUAAAAUUUUUUCUUGGUUAGAUUCGUAGGCUUUAGGAUCAAUCACGACAGGGAACGAACUUGCGAAAAAAUUUCUACAAAAGUUCUUUCCUAUUAGCAAAACUGUCCUACUAAGAAGAGAGAUCGCCACAUUCAAAAUAUUAGAAGGAGAAAGCUUUCACGAAGCUUAGGAACGCUUUAAAAUUUUGAUACAAAGAUGCCUACAUCAUGGUCUACCUGAAUGGUUAAAGCUGCAGAUAUUUUACAAUGAGUUGGAUGCACACACACGCUCAAGACUUGGUGGAGCCACAUGAGUAGCCUUAAUGAAUAAAAUAGAUGAAGACACGUAUAACCAGAUAGAAAACAUGGCGAUGGAUUCCUGCUAGUGGCUAAAUGAAAGAUAUACUUAUGACCAGAUACCAUCUAUGGUAAAAGUUGUCCAAGAGGAUGACUAAUAUCAAAAGAUUUUUGACAGACUCAACUAUAUAAAGUCCUCAUCUAGUAUGUCUUCAAUAUUUGGUAGAGAUAAACCUCAUAGCCAUUAUCUAAAUAAUCCAACCUAGGACGUGAACUAUAUUGAAAAUAGGGUCGAAACCCUUAUUCAAAUACUUAUAACCCCGAUGGAGAGAUCACCCAAACUUGAGAUGGGGUGGAAACCAGGGAGAAUGUAAUAGUUCUAACCUUGUUAAAAAUACUAAUUAUCAACCUAUAUAUCUAUAGAAGCCUCAAGAACGGGCUAGCUUGAAUGACCAUACUGUAUGUGGUCAAUGCCUGGAUCGAAUUGAGGGGGAGAUGCAAUCAAUGAAGAUAGAAGUAAAACUAGUGCAAUAUGAGUACACCAAUAAAAAAAACAUUGACCAAGCUUGAAGAUCAAAUGAGUGAAUUAAUGAGCAUGAUGGGAGACAUCAAAAAGUAAAUUGGCACCGACAUCCCAAGCAACACUGAGAAUAAUCUUAAGAGGGAAGGGAAAUAACACGUGAAAGUAAUUAUGCUCUAAUCGGGAAAAAUACUGAGUAGCCUAGAGAAUCCAAGUCAAAAGGAAAAUGAAGGGGGUAUCGAUGAUCUUCAAAAGGAAAGCCAUCAAGGAGCUAAUAAUGAGCCUGAACCAGAGAACGUAGCUGAGUCGGAAGCUCAGCCAACCAAAGAACACGAACUAACCAAGGUACCAUUCCUCUCAAGGUUAGAAGAUAAGCAAAAACAAGAUGACACAGAGUUUGUAAGUUUUCUAAACUUAUUCAAAUCUCUAAAUUUUAAUUUGUCCCUAAUUGAAUUGAUUGAAAAAGUUCCUAAAUAUGCUAAGCAUCUAAAAAAAUUAUGUCUAAGCGUAGGAAAAUUAAAAUAGGAGAGCAGGUUAACAUAGACGCAUCUUGUAGUGCGAUAAUAUCUAAACAUAUUCCGCCAAAACUAAAAGACCCAAGGAGUUUUACGAUUCUUGUAGAGAUAGGGGACAUUCACUUUAGUAAAGCUUUAUUUGAUUUAGGAGCUAGCAUCAAUUUAUGACCUUAUCAAUAUAUGAAAAACUCGGGUCAUGAGAACUUAAAAAUACACAAAUAACACUACAAUUAGCCAACAGGUCUUUAGUACAACCAGAGGGAGUACUCGAAUAUGUGUUGGUUAAGGUGCGUAACUUCAUCAUCCUAGCUGAUUUCGAUAUUUUAAAUUUUAAAGAGGACCGUGCCCAUUCUGUUGGGUAGACCGCUUUUAGAUACAUCGAGAUCCACCAUUGACUUAAAAAAUAAUGAGUUAAUAAUGAUGAUUAAUUGUGAGACUGAAAUUUUCAAAUGUGGUCACCAAAAUAAUGAGGUAAAUAGGGAAAGAUUAGGAAAGAAAUAUUUUGAAGUAUCUAAAAAAAUCCCUAACUACCUUGAGCCAGAAAAUGUGUUUUCUAUUAUAAAUGCAGGUUGAAAGUACAAAUUUAAAGAGUGUGAAAAACAUAGCAAGGUGGAGUGGCACGACGGAUGCUGGAUGAAUACCGAUAGAACAUGAACCAAAUAUGCAUCCAUAUAUAACUUGACGGAGCUGACGAAUGAAUCCGGCAGCAAAGCCUCACAUCUCUAGAACUGAUAUAAAUUUUGUAUAUUAUUGUACUUUAUUAGACCAACAAUUAGUUUAGAAUUUAAUUUGAUUCAAAUUAUCUUUAAUCUUAAACUGAGCACUUUGAAAAUUGAGAAGAGAGGUCAAAAUAGAUUCAGUGUUGUAACACGAAACCUUCAUGUCGCAACACUGAAACAAGAUUCAAUAAAUCGAGCAGUUCAGCUUGAUGUCGCAACACAACACCUCUGUGUCACAACAAAGAAGUCAGUAUAAGGCAAGAUAAAAAAUUUCAAAAAGCGUCGCAAUAUCGAACCCCGAUGCCACGACUUUGGCAUCUUGCCAGAGGUGUCGCGACAUGAAACCCCUAUGUAGCGACAUCGCUACAAUUUUUUGCAGGGUCAAACUUGACCCAUUACGCGACCUAGUAGCUUAAACUUAGUUUUAACCUAGAAUUUAACCUUAAAAUACCCUGAUUUUAAAACCUAAAAACACUUUUUGAAACCCUAAACCUCCUCUAAUUCCUAAACCUUUCAAAAACUUAAAAAUCUCUUAAACCCUAAAACCCUCUAUUCAGUAAUUUUUAUAUCUCUUCUUCUUUUUGUGAUUUCAUUUGGGUGCAAGAAAUAAAAAUAAAGUACCGACAAGACAAUCGCAACAAAAUCCCUUCGAGGAUUUUGAAAUUCUUUAUUAGGUUCAAGGUUCCAAACCAUAUUUUUACUGUUCUAUUGAAUUGUUCCAAUUUAUUGUGAAAUAAAUUGCUUGAUAGUAGUUGUCUAGUUAGGAAAUUUAUUGAAAAUGCCUCCAAGAAAAACUAGGAGAACUAACAAACUUGAAUAAUCAACGGUUACAAAGCCCUCUAAUUUCCUAAAUCAAAACGUUGAAAAAUAUUUUCUAGAACUUCGAGGGAAGACAUUUCUUCAAGAAUGGGAGUUUGAAUUAUCGAUGAGUCUAUGUCAGGAAAUAAAACCUCUGAUCUGAUAUCAUAGAUAGGAAAAAUUUUGCGUAAUCCCUAAAGACUCUGUUGUGGUUCUGGUAGUGCAAGAAUUUAAUGCAUAUUUAAAGGACCAAUAUUCUAGGAGACCAGAGGGUGCCACAUGGGAAACGAUCUCUGUACGUAGGAAGAAGGUAAGAGUCACCCUCGACCUACUUGUGAAUUUUAUAACGCUCUAUAUUACGAAAAUGAUUUUGUGGAAGAAAAUGAUUUAGAAUAUUUUAAAUAUAUAAAUAUGGAUAAUGCUAUAAAUCACUUAAUAUAGGGUAGGGGUGAAUGUAAAUGUUGCCUCGGUACUGAGAUUCCCACAUCCUUUAAUUAGGAAAUAAUGUUUCCUAUUGCAAAAAUAUGGAUACAGUUCUUAUGCACUCGAAUUGCUCGUGCACUAAAUGUCUUUAAUGUCAAUACCUUUCGAGCAGUUUUCUUGUAUGUUGUUUUGUAGAAGAAACAAGUGUUUAUUGGGACAUGGAUCUAUCAUUGCAUGAAACGAUGCAUUAGUGGUAAAAAGUCAGGGUUUUCUUCCCUAAUUAGUGACAACCUUGUGCAAGAGAGUCGACGUUCCAAUGACGACCAUUGAACAAUUUAUGAAUCCAUCCAGAAGUAUUAUAGGAGACACCUUUUACAUGCAGUACACAAAGCUUCAACAAAACCAGAUAAGGGAUUGGAACAAAAGAGAAGAUGGAUGUCCUGGCUUUGCUUAAAUGGUAAGAAAAAUUGACAUCUCAAUAAUAAAUUAGCGAGAGUAGCAAUUCAAAAUUGGAUUAGAUGAUAAAAUGGAUGCAAGAGACAAACCUAGUUUUUCAAGAAUUUGCGUGGCAGAAUAACAUGAGAGUACCAAACUACCCAUUGGAUAUGUUCGGCCCAAAGCACCCCAAGCCGGAAGGAAAUGAGGAAAGGGAAGAAAGUAAGGAUGAGGAAGGAGAAGAGGAAGGAAAUGAGAUGGAUUUUAGGAGGAGAAUGAUUGAACUCAAAACUUUUAAUUUCAUUUUUUUGGAUUGUAAUUAAAUUUGGAUAAUUUUUAGUUUAUUGUUUUAGGAGUAGGAUUAACAAUAGAUUUUUUUAUACUUGUUUUCUUUUUUGUUUCAAGUUUUCUUUGUAGGAACCCCACAUGAAAGAAGCACGACAAUUUCGAGCUUUUAAUGAACGAGGAAGGAAGCAACCCACCAUUAGACUACAAUAAUGUCACGAUCAAUCAAGUAACUUCUUUCCUUAUCAAUUCAGGGUUGCACAUUAGGGACAAUGUGCUAUCUAAAGUGUAAAGAAUAACAUAGGAAAUUUGUUUUUGAGUUUGAUGCUUUUCUUUUAAUUUUUCUUGUCAAAGUGUGCUUUAGCUUGUCAAAAUACAAGUGAUUGGUUAGGAGCAUGGACAUAAGUUGAUUGUGUUUACAAUAAAUUAGGCAUGAUAGUGGAUGAUUUUAAAAUUUCAAUUAUUAGACUACUAAGUUCUAUAUAUUACACUGUAAAUAGGGAUUGAGUAAUUGAAUAUACCAAAUUAUAUAGAAAAUACAAGAAAAUGAGCAUGUUAGUAUGUAUGAUAAAUAGUUGAAAUUUUGAUUGCUUGAUUGAUUAAAUUUAUGAAUAUUGAGAUAUUUAGGAUGAGCUAAGGCAUUCUUUGGUAUAAAUUCAGAGCCAAAAAACUAACCAUGUUUAUCAAUCCUUAGUACCUAUGCUGAGUUAGUAAACACUUCUUCAUGAACCUUAAUGCAAAACCUGAGCAAAAAGUAUUAAUUUGUAUUUACUCAUUUUAUUUGGUCUUGAAAUGCACGAAUUUAGACAUCCAAGCAUACGUAUUAAGGGUUAAGUAGAUAUAUCACGGUGGAUUUUGUAAAAACAGAGUGAAAUAGGAAAAACAAAUAUGAUAUAGUGACUAUAGGUUAGCCUAUAUGUGUGAAACAAAAGAAAAAAUUAGAAAGAAAAUCAUUACGAGUAGAAAAAAGUAUGUGAAAAACAAAAGCAUUUUGAGUGAGAUGUAUUGAAAAGGAUCAAAGGUGACAAAGUAACAAAAGUAGAAAAUCUCAAUCAUUAGUGCAUAAAAACUUGUGAGCUAGUUCUAGUGCUAUUAUGUUGUAACUUCCUAUGUGGAGAAAUAAGGAAGGUGAGAGAAGGAGAAAUAAGGUGAAAAAUGGGAAAAGGUUACUAAAGGAGGAGAAUAGGGAACAAUAUGAUGUCCCAAACUACUUUCGUGCUUGAAACUAUUUUGAUGCUUCCUGUUCUUGAAUUCCAUACCUACCCUAAGCCUCAGAAUGUUACAAGCCAAAAAUCUCUAUGUGACCUAGGUAAACCUAUUCAUGAAUUGACAUUGUAUUAAAUAAUUUGAAUAACGACUGUUUGUAUUUUGCUAGGAUAAUCAAAUUACUUGUAUGAUUUAUUGAUGGAUCCUUAUAUUUGAGGACCUUAUUGUUUGCAUACUUUGUAAUAUACUGAACUUAGGUGUUUGAUAUUGAAAGUGGUAAGUCCUUUACAUAUCGUGCCAGGAUUAUGUGUAGAUAUGAAUAUGCCUAAUUAUGUAAUCCAAAACCAAUCUUUGUAUCAUUUUUAGUUUUCCUUACUUGAGGACAAACGAUGAUUUAAGUGUUGGGGAGUUUGAUCUACUGUAAUUCGGUGUAGCAGAUUAAACUAGUUUUCAUGCUUAAGGAGCUUGAAGGUGAACAACUUUAUUAUGUUUUUAUUUAGUUUUUCUAUCUUAGCUUUAAAUUCAAUAAAAAAGUGCAUUUUGAGUCAUUUUAUGACAUUAGGGGCUGAAAGAGUCCUAAGGGUGGGCUAAUGUACUUAGUGAGUGUGUACUGUAGGACAUCAUUCAAAGGCAUAAUAGUUCAAGGUUGUUCGUCGUGCUACAGCAGGGGAAGUCUAAUGUCACAACAUAGGGAGCAGAAUACAAGAUUUCCAAUACUACCAUCGGUGUAGUGACACAACCAGAGUAUGUCGUGACACGUCCCUGAAGCCAAACCUAAAGCCCAAAGUAUACUGCCUUUAGUGUCUCAACACUAGCUCUGUUUGGGAGAAAUUACAAGUGAAGGCUGUUUUGGUCCAUACAACAUAUUUUUAUGUAAAAAUGGCAGUCAACCUACGGUAAGGAUGACGACCAACCCUAACUCUAUAAAUAGGCUAUUAGGCACUUGUUUAGGGAAAAAAUUCAUGGUUCAGAAUUUUCUCUGUAAUUAGUUUUCAGUUUUUCUUUCUUUUAGGCUUUAGAUUUAUUUUCAGUUAUUUUUGUUCGUGUUCUUCAAAGAAUCUAAUUUGUAGAUUCGACCAAACUCUUGUGGAUUUUGUGCUUCAUCAAUCAAUACAGAUUCAAGAUUCUUCUUAAACUAUAUUCUUGAUCUGUUAUUAAUGUUUAUUUAUUUUAUCAAGUAUAUGUUGUUUAUUGAUUUCAUGGGGAACUAACCCUUUUAUGGGAGGUUAGUGCGUGGAAGUGAGAUUAACUAAUUAUUAUAUAGGGUUUUCUUAGUGGGUUAGAUAUUUGGGAGAAGAAGAACUUAAACCCUGAGCCUGACUGUAACACCCCUAACCAAUAUUCGUCUCCAAAAUAGGGUUACAGAGCAUUACCGAAAGUUUACAUAUCAAACAAUCAAUUAUUCAAAAGAUUCAAAUCAUAUCAGAAAUUAUUGCGAAAUCAAUCAAUCAAUCUCAUACAUAUUGUCCCUUAUACAAUCCUUCGAGGCCCUAAAAACACUUUAGAAAUUAAUCAGGACUAAAUCGGGCACAUGUAGAAUUUUUGGGAAAAAGUUGAAAAUUUUCCAUACUGCAGGGGUCACACGGCCUUGUGGCCAAGCCGUGUGACUCACACGGCUGAGAGACACUCCCGUGUCUUAAGCUGUGUGGACAUUCGAAGUAGGGACACAUGGCCGUGUCCUAACCAGUGUAACUCUCUAGCUUGGGUCACACGGCCAAGCCACACGCCCGUGUGUCGGGCCGUGUAGCUCUCGAGAAAUUACACCAUGAGUAUUUCACAUUUUCCAAUUUAAUCCCUAAUUGACAUUUUCAACAAAAUUCACUUUACAAAAGUUGUUUAUCUAACUACAAAAGUUCAUUUUUUCCCAUUAAACAUCAAAACAACAUGUAUUCAUUCAUGGAAAAACCCUAGACCUUUAAUAGUUUUGCAAACUAGUCCCUGAGCUAGCUAGAUUAAGUUACAACGACUCUAAAAACAUAGAAAUCAUUACAAACGAGACGAAAAAUCAUACCAUGCAAGCUAUCAGAGAUGGCCGAAUGUUAAAGCUUAUUCAAUGGCUUUUCUUAAGCCUAAUUUCAGUUCAAGAUGAAAAUAGAAAGAUGAUGAUGACCUUUGUUUUUUUAAUUAUUUUACUAACAUGUAUUUAUUAAUUUACUAAAAUAACCUUAUAAUUAAACCUUUAAAAUUUCAUUUUUAAUGGCCAUAAUUGUCCACUAAAAAUAUAAAUGGUCUAGUUACAACAUAAACCAUUUAAACAUAUAAUUUCAUAGCUAUUAAAUCAUUUUAGCUUAUAGAACUGACGUUUUGCAACUUUUGCAAAUUAGUCCUUUUUACCGAAUUAAGCAUGCAAAUGGUAAAAUUUCUUAACGAAAUUUUUAUACAAUAAUACUAGCAUGUUGUAGACAUUAAAAUAAUAAUAAAGUAAAUAUUUUCACGUUGUAUUUGUGAUCUCGAAACCACUAUUCUAAUUUCACUAAAAACAGGCUGUUACAACUAUCCCCCUAAAGGAAUUUUCAUCCUCGAAAAUCUUACCAGAAAAGAGGUUCGGAUAUUGUUUUCUCAUAGCUUCUUUCGGUUCCCAGGUGGCCUCCUCUAUACUGUAUCGUUGCCAAAGAACCUUUACGAAAGCUACUUUUUAGUUAUCAAUUCUUUAAUCUCUCGAGCUAAGAUUCUGAUCGGUUCUUCACUAUACAACAAAUCAGGCUAAAUCUAAUAUCUACUGGUGAAAUAACAUGCGAAGGGUUUGAUCGAUAUUGUCGUAACAUUGAUACGUGAAACACAUUAUGAAUCUUUUCUAAAUCCGACGGAAAAGUUAAAUCAUAAGCUUCUGGAUCGAUUAUUUCAAUAAUCUCAUACGACCUGAUAAAUCACAGACUUAACUUUUCUUUACGAUCGAAAUAAAGAACUUUCUUCUAAGGCGAUACUUUCAAGAACACUUUACCGCCGACUUGAAAUUUAAAUUCUUUACAUUUUAAAUCCUCAUUUAAUCGAUCUGAAGUUGCUUUCAAACUAUCACAGAUUACUUUAAAUUUUUCUUCCGUCUCUCGAAUCAAAUCAACCCAGUGAAUCUUUUUCUCAGUGAGCUUAGUCCAAUACAAUGAAGUUCAACACUUACGACCAUACAAAGCUUCUUAUGGUGCCAUCUUUAUGCUUGAUUGAUAAUUGUUAUUGUAUGCAAAUUCAAUUAGCAAUAAAUAUUUUUCCCAAUUACCUUCCAAUUCUAACACAGAACAUUGAAACAUAUCAUUGAGUAUCUGAAUUACUCGCUCGGACUGAGCAUCGGUCUGGGAUAAAAUGAAAUGCUAAAAUGUAAACACGUACCUAGAGCCUUCUGUAACUUGCUCUAGAAUCGUGAAGUAAAACACAUAUCUUUUUUUGAAAUAAUGAAAACUAGCACCUCGUGCAAUCUGAUAAUCUCAGCAACAUAUAGUUCGACUAAUCUCUCAAGAGAAUGAUCUGUAGAAUCGAAAUAAAAUGUGCAGACUUCAUCAGACAGUCAACAACAACCCAAAUUGCAUCUUUCUUUCUCAGAGAUAAGGGUAAUCCAGAUACAAAAUCUAUCGUGACUAGCUCCCAUUUCCAUUCCAGUAUCAUCACAGGCUGUAACAAACUAGAAGGUACCUAGUGUUCAGCGUUAACUUGCUGACAGAUUAAACAUCUCAAUACAAAGUUAGAAAUCUCUCAUUUUAUACCCAGCCACCAGUACAUUAGUUUCAAAUAACUGUACAUCUUAUUGAUACUAGGAUGAACAGACAAGUUAACACUAUGAGCUUCAUGCAAAAUCUUCUGAGCGAUCUCUGAAUUCCUCGGUACGCAAAUUCUACCUUUGAAAAGUAAAUAAUCAUCGGAUCCAAUCUGAAAAUAUUAAUCAGGAGUUGACUCAAUCUGUUUCGAUUUAGUUAAUAACACAUCAUCACAUUUCUGAGCCUCACAAAACUAUUGUAAAAACAUCGAUGUAGCUUUCAACUCAGGUAAAAUCGAACCAUCAUCGGACAACAUUAAUGGCAUAUUCAAUACUGGCAAAGCAAAUAAAAAAUUUCUACUCAGAGCAUCAGCAACUACAUUCGCUUUACUCGGAUGAUAAUCAAUGAUCAAGUCAUAGUUUUCAAUAGCUCGAGCCACCUGCGUUGUCUUAGGUUCAAAUCUCUUUGCGACAGUAAAUACUUCAAACUUUUAUGAUCUGGAAAGAUGUGACAUUUUUCGCCAUAGAAAUGGUGUUGCCAAAUCUUCAACGCAAACACAAUAGCUGCCAAUUCUAAAUCGUACGUCGGAUAAUUCUUUUCGUACGGCUUUAACUGUCUAGAAGCAUAAGCUAUCACUUUGCCUUCCUGCAUCAAAACACAGCCUAAACCUUUAAAAGAUGCACUGCUGAAAAUCACAAAUUCUUUACCUGAUUCAGGUUGAACUAACACCGGUGCCUCGAUCAACAAUGAUUUUAACUGAUUGAAACUUGUCUGGCAUUUCUCAGACCACUCAAAUUUCAUAUCUUUUUGCAAUAAUCUCUUCAUUAGCGUAGCAAUCAUUGAGAAGUCCUUGACGAAUUUUCUGUAAUACCCGACUAAUCCUAGAAAACUUCUAACUCCAGACGCGUUUCUUGGAGGUUUUUAGUCAACAAUAGUUGAAAUUUUUCUCGGAUCGACUCUGAUGCACUCAAUUGAUACAAUAUAUCCCAGAAAACUGACUUUCCGAAGCCGAAAUUCACAUUUGCUAAACUUGGCAAAUAACUGUUUUUCACACAAGGUUUGUAAUACAAUUCUCAAAUGCUCAGCAUGCUCAAUCUCAUCUCUAGAGUAAAUCAAGAUAUUACAAAAAUUCAAAAUGUUUGUACCUGGUCGUGAAUACAGUUUUCGACAUAGCAAAGUCUUUAACUCGCAGCUGAUGAUAACCAGAACGAAGAUCAAUUUUCGAAAAUACUGUUGCACCUUUCAAUUGAUAAAAUAGAUUAUCAAUUCGCGGUAAUGUAUACUUAUUCUUGAUCGUAACUUUCUUGAGCUGGCGGUAGUCAAUACAUAAUCUCAUUGAUCUGUCGUUUUUUUUAACGAAUAAAACAGGUGCACCCUAAGGUGAAAAACUAGGUCAAGCAAAACCCUUAUCUGGCAACUCUUGCAACUACACUUUCAACUCUUUCAACUCAGUAGGAGCCAUUUUGUAAGGAGCUAUUGAUAUCGGUGAGGUUCCUGGUACUAACUCAAUGGAAAAUUCAAUUUCUCUAAUCGGUGAUAACUCGGGUAACUCCUCUGGAAACAUAUCUAGAUACUUGCAUACCACUAGAACCGAUUCUAUCUUCAACUUAGAAACUCUAGAACCAAAUACAUAUGCAAGGUAUGCAUCACAGCCUUCUCUUAGGCAUCUUUGUGUUGAUAUAGCCAAAAUAAUAAUAGGCAACCCACUCAAACUAUUCGAUUCAAGCUGAAGCUUUUCACCGUUCUGACACUUUAAUACAAUAAGCUUUCGUCUACAGUUCACAAUAUCAUCAUGCAGAGUUAGCCAAUCAAUGCCAAAAAUCACCUCAAACUCAUCAAAUGGUAAUAGCAUCAAAUUAGCCAGAAAUUUAUAACCUCGAAUCAUCAAAGGACAAUUCUUGCAAACCACAAAUUUAGUGGACUCAAUAGGUAAAUUCUUACUUGAUACUACAUUCGUGCAUAUAUACGAAUGGGUUGAUCCCGGAUCAAUCAAAGCAGUAACAUCAAUAUCAAAGAUAGAAAAAGUAUCAGUAAUAAAUCUGACGCUGAAGCUUCCUCUCGUGCACAGAUAGCGUAAGCUCUAGUUGGUGCUCGUGCCUCAGAUCUCACAGUAGAGUCUUUUAUUCCAACAUGCCUAUUACUCGUAUUUCAAGGAUUACGAGGUGGUCUACCUCUCGUAGCAGUGUUACUCGGUCAAUUAGUUUGAACCUUUUCUUUCUCUGACUUCUCUAGACAAUCUCUUAGAUAAUGUUUAAAUGAACCACGCCUGAAACAUGCCCCGUUCUUCAAUCUACAAUCACUGAAGUGUCAUGCAUUACAUUGCUUACAUUCAGGCCUGUUGUCCUUGACACUACCCACACUCACUAUAGACUAGCCUGAGCUUUGGACUCGAAUGCUAUUUACCUCUAUCACUUGUAGAACACACCACUGAAGGUGUGGAAUGGUUGUGAUGUUCCUUCGAUCUCUUUGAUGAUGACUGAUAUUACUUUCCAGUUGAUAUCUUUCUCAAAUCUCUAGCUUCAAAAUCAGCUUUUCUCUUUUCUUUGCUAAGCUCAUCGGCUUUAUGUGCUCGAUCAACUAAAAACAACAAUUUCUUUCAAUUCAAGUAUCCUGACUAAAAGCUUUGUAUCUUCAUUUAACCCUUCCUUGAACCGCUUACACAUAGCAACCUCGGUUGGAAUACAUUCUCGGGCAUAUUUGCUCAAUCUGACAAAUUCUCUUUUGUAUUCAGAAACUAACAUACGACCUUAUUUAAGCUCAAGAAAUUCUUUGCGUUUCUGAUCAAGAAAUCUUUGACUCAUAUAUUUCUUUUGGAACUUGAUUUGGAAGAAUUCCAAACCAUACGCUCUCUGGGCACAAUUGAAAUCAAUGUGCUCCACCAUUGGUAAGCUGAGUCUUUAAAUAGAGAUAAAACACAUUUAACACACUCUGCUGGUGAAUAAGAUAACUUGUCAAAAACCUGAAUCGUAUUUUCUAACCAAAAUUUUCCUCUCUCAGGAUCAUCUUCAGCGGUAGCUUUAAAUUCUUUAGCCCCAUAUUUACAAAUUUUUUGUCCAUACAAACUCGGUAAACCAUUCGUUCAUCAUCUAGAAGAAGGCUUUCUUAGCCUCUCCUCCUUAGCCCUCAAAUAAGGGCCUUGUACCGUUCGACGCUGCUCUAUGAACGGAGGCUAGUGCAUUACUCUCAACUUCAUCGGAGUCAGUUCGGUUGGAUGACAUUACUAUAUGAAAACAUAUUUCAAAACGAGUUAGGAGUUAUCACACUAUCACAAGUUAUAUAAUGACAUGUAUUUCUAGACUCACACACGCUAUGUUCAGUUUGAGAAUCGACUAAAUCGUAGCUCUGAUAGCAAUAAAUGUAACACCCCUAACCCGUAUCUGUCGCCAAAAUAGGGUUACAGAGCAUUACUGAAAGUUUACAUAUCAAAACAAUAAAUUAUUGAAAAUAUUCAAAUCAUAUAAGAAAUUAUUGCAAAAUUAAUCAAUCCCAUAUUCAAAAGAUUCAAAUCAUAUAAUAAAUUAUUGCAAAAUCAAUCAAUCUCAUGCAUAUUUUACCUUAUAUGAGCCUUCAAGGCCCUAAAAACACUUUAAAAAUGAAUCAGGACUAAAUAAAAAACAUAUAGAAUUUCUGGGAAAAAGUUGAAAAUUUUUCAUACUGUAGGGGUCACAUGGCUGAGACACAUGCCUGUGUCUUAGGUCAUGUGGACAUUCAAAGUAGGGACACACGGCUGUGUCCUAGCCCGUGUUUGUCCCCAUGUAACUCUCUAACUUGGGUCACAUGGCCAAGCCAAACGCUCAUGUACCUCUCAAAAUGGCCUCACACGCCCGAGUGCUAGGCUGUGUAACAGCCUGGCUUACAACCCUUUGUAACCUACAAGGGACACACGGCCAUGCCGCAUGGCCGUGUGUCAUACGCGACUGAGACACAUGCCCGUAUCUUAGGCUGUGUGAACGAAAAAUAGGCCAUUUUCAAGCCAUUUUCCUCACCCAAAACAUGACCACUUAUACAAGCCAUAAGCAUCUAUUUUCAAGCAUCCAAAAUGCUAAAAUAUCAACAAUUAUAAGACCACAUAUACAUGACAACAUAACAACUAAUCCAUUACCUAAAAUACCUUAUUUACAAACUAAACAUAAUGGCUAUUUCAUCAAGCACAAAACACAUAUACACACAAUUAUAACCAUGACUUAAAAACAUCAAAAGCUAUCGAUAUAGCUGAUGGAUAGUGUGAUAGGUCUCCGACAAGUUUCCAACCCGAACGAGCUUCUGAUUCACUAUAAGACAUGUAAAGUAACACGAAGUAAGCAUACAAUGCUUAGUAAGUUUGUAUAUCAUAAAACUUAACUUUCCAUGUCUUAACAUAACAUUAAAAUUUUGCAUGGCAGAACCCAACCAAAAGCUUGCUCGAAGCCUAAGCAUCAACACAAACAUGUUAGCAUACUUGAACAUAAAUCAUAGGAAAUUUAACAUGGAUGACCAUUAAACUUAAACAUGAAUCAAUUGGAUUUUUCAUCCAUCUCAACAUAACAUAAUUUCCAUGUAUCACCAUUUCAGUGAAUUUCAUUUAUACAUGCUUUAGUUCAUAUUGAACUCUUACCAUUUCCUUUCAAACUCAUGCCCGUUGAACUGAUUAGAAUACCAUUGGGUAGAUGGGAUAGCUCACACAAAGUGUGCAAACAUAUAACCGUAGUUCGUACUUUCCUUUACAUGCUUACACGAGCUAUGAAAAGAGUAUGCUCACACGAGUCAUCACACGAGCUGUGAAAAUGGGUCUACUGACUCGAGUCAGAAUAUAGCUACAUGGUGCUGCUUCACAAGCUUUCGAGUAUUCGCAAAAAAUGCCGAAACUUAGCCACCGAUAGGACAUUCAAGACCAACAAGAAACAUGUAAACCUUUAUGACAUGUCAUUUGUAUCCUAUGAAUUCUUAAGGUUCAAACGGGGCUCAAUAAUCAUCGUAACAUCGUUGGAUAUGCAAAAAUUAUUUACAUGGCAGUCCACAGCACAUAUAUAUUUCAAUAAUAAGCAUAUAAGCAUUAUGCAUUACAUGAAAUUACCUCGACGAUAAAAUGUAGAUACGGAGUCAAUUAGUUCGAAACUUUAUCUUUGGCCCGAUCGUUGCCAAAGAACCUGUACUAAAGCUAUGUUUUUAUUUCACAAUUCUUUAACCUCUCGAGCUAAGAUUCUGAUCAGUUCUUUGCUAUACGACAUAUCAGGCUGAAUUUAAACAUCUACUGGUGAAAUAACAUGUGAAGGGUCUGAUCGGUAUCGUUGUAACAUCGAUAUGCGAAAUACAUUAUGAAUCAUUUCUAACUCUGGCGACAAAGUUAAACGAUAAGCUACUGGCUUGAUUCUUUCAAUAAUCUCAUGCGAUCAAAUAAAUCAUGGACUUAGCUUUCCUUUACUACCGAAACGAAGAACUUUCUUCCAGGGCAAUACUUUCAAGAACACUUUAUCGCCGACUUGAAAUUCAAUGUCUUUACAUUUUAAAUUCAUAUACGAUUUCUGUCGAUCUGAAGCUGCUUUCAAACUAUCAUAGAUUACUUUAACUUUUUCUUCCAUAUCUCAAAUCAAAUCGACCCCGUGAAUCUUUUUCUCACUGAGCUCAGUAAAGUACAAUGGAGUUCAGCACUUACGACCAUACAAAGCUUCAUACGGUGCCAUCUUUAUGCUUGAUUGAUAACUGUUAUUGUACGUGAAUUCAACUAGUGAUAAAUAUUUUUCCCAGUUACCCUCCAAUUAUAACACACAACAUCAAAGCAUAUCCUCUAGUAUCUAAAUUACUCGCUUAGACUGACCAUCGUUCUGUGGAUGAAAUGUAGUGCUAAAAUGUAUAUGCGUACCUAGAGCCUCCUGUAACUUGCUCCAGAAUAGUGAUGUAAAAUGUAGAUCUCUAUUUGAAAUAAUGGAAACUAGCACCCCGUGCAAUCUAACAAUCACAGCAACAUAUAGUUCGGCUAAUCUCUCAAGAGAAUGAUCUGUAGGAAUUGGGAAUAAAAUAUGCAGACUUCGUCAGACGACUAGAAACAACUCAAAUUGCAUCUUUCCUUCUCGGAGACAAGGGUAAACCCGAUACAAAAUCCGUCAUGACUCGCUCUGAUUUUCAUUCCGGUAUCAUCACUGGCUAUAACAAACCAGAAGGUACUUGAUGUUCAAUUUUAACUUGCUGACAUAUUAAACAUCUAGAUACAAAGUAAAAAAUCUCUCGUUUCAUACCCGGCCACCAAUGCAUUAGUUUCAAAUCACUAUACAUCUUAUUGCUAUCAGGAUGAACAGACAAGUUACCACUACGAGAUUCAUGCAUAAUCUUCCGAACAAUCUCUGAAUUCCUCGGUACGCAAAUUCUGCCUCUAAAAAGUAAACAAUCAUCGAAUCCAAUUUGAAAAUUUGAAUUAGGAGUCUACUCACUCUAUUUGAAAGACUAAUAUGUUGUCUAUCAAGUACAAUUGAGGAGAUUCUUUUUCAUGGGCAUCAGAGUGGAUGACUCCUAGAAAAUAGAGACAUAGAUGUGACUGACUGGACUUAUAAUACAAUGGCCUAGACCGAAGAAGGAUAGAUUCUGAUUUUGUUUAUGGAUUUAUUCACUUGUGACAUUUAUAGUGUGACAUACCUAAAUUUUGAGUAGAUGAAGGAUUAUGUACAUGUGACUUGUACACUUUAAUGUAAGGAAAAGUUUGAGUUCGAAUAGAUAAGGAACCAAAAGUUGAUGUGUUGGGUGUAAAAAUUCUUUAGUAUGUAGCGUAAAUCAUAACAGUGGAAUUCAUAGCCCAAAACAUGUGUCAAUGAUAUCCUUUCAUUAGCAUUACAUGGUUUAUGAAAAGUAAAUGUGGCCACGGGUCAUCUGUCUUUAUGAUGGAUGACUUGAUCAAUAUUUGAUGGUGAUUGACUUUUCAUGAAAGAAGAUGUAAUGGUUAAUUACCAUGAGAUAAAAUAGGAUCAUAUUGGUAGAUUGGAUAUUAUCCCAAAGAGAUCAAGGAUAUCCUACGAGGGUAACAUACUUAUGACAAGGUUAUUAGACAAGCAAUGAGUAGAUGAUUUCGUAAUGAUAUGUCGUUAGGGAGAGUUCAGUCACAAUACUAUAGUGGGAUGACUUCGUGACUAAAUGAGUUUAUAAUUAAUAGGUGAAAAGUCAGAACUUAAUUAUAAAUAAUUUGAAACCUAAUUACAUAUGUCCUAUUGGUCCCUCUGCAAGCUCGUUGGAACUAGAAAUGAAUUGAGAGUUUGAAUAGAAAUGAACAAAAUGAAUAAGAAAAGAAAAGAAGAAAACGUUUAGGAAUGAUUAUAGUUUUUUCCAAAAUGAAAAAUGGAAUCAUAUUGAAAUGAAUGUAGGUUUUCAAAAAUAGAAAUGGAAAUAAAAAUGAUCCAUUUGUAAUUCUCUAUGAAUUACUUAAAACUGAUCGAAAGAAUGAGUUUAUGUUUUAGAGUUGUUUUGAAGCCCAAAAAUAAAAAUAAAUUAUUCAGUCAUAGUGAACAUGUUGAGUUUUGAAAUAUUAAACAUAUUUUCUCAAAAUUUUACCAGGGGUAAAAUCAUCAAAAUUUUACUGGGGGUAAAAUCGUCAAAAUUUACCGAGGGUAAAAUUGUCAAAAUAUUAUUGGGGGUAAAAUAGGGAUGAAAAAAUUGUUUAAUAUAGAAUAGUAAUGUUUAUUUUAGAAAAUAGAUAAAUAUGUAUUGGGUUAGAUUAAAUUUUAAAGUAUCGGGUUGAAAGUCCAUAAAUCACAUAUAAUUAGGCCCAAUACAAUGAGAGGCCCGAAUCCCAUCAUAAUACAUACAAUGAGAGGCCCGAAUCCCCACUCCCUCUCUUAGUUGGACUAGGAAGUUGGUUUUCUAUUUGAAAUAGACCUUUACAAUUCAAGAAGGGUUCUAUAUUCACUCCUUAUAAAUAGAUGACAUUGGUAGAGCUAUUUAAAUAAUUUUGAGAGAUUGUUAAUCUGCCGAAAAAUAGAGAGAAUUUAUUCUCAACUAUUAAAAUUAUUUGUUGAAAAUAACAAUUCUACCAAUUUCUAUUAAAGAAGAGAGAAUUUCAUUUUCACCCCAGAUAAAAGAGAGAAAACUUUUUCUAGUUCUGUUUUCAAUUCAAUUGGUUCGAAUCCACACUUAAAGCAGUUCAUGGUACGAGAAUAGUGGAGAAUAUCGUUUGGUUGAAAUUCGGGAAUGAAUGUCCGCCUAGCUGAAAACACAUGUAUGAAUUAAAUUAUGGUUUAUUGCUAUAAAUAUCACAAACCCGGUCGAUUUUUAAAAUUUUAAUUUUUCAAUGUGUAAGAAAACCAUUUUCAAACUGGAUUUUUUUUCCAAAAUUUGGUAUCAGAGUCAGGUUGUGCUAUGUUUAUGGUGUAAACCGAGACCAAAUUUCUCUUUUAAUCUUAUUUGAUUAAUAUUUGAUAAGAUGUGACAUUCUUGUAAUUAUUCACAUGUUUAGGAGAAUGUAUGUGAAUGAAUGUGAUUAUAUAUAUUUUUAUAUAAUAAUUAUUUUUUUGCCAAGGUUGUGGUUAUUAGGAAAUAGACUAUGGACUAUCAUUUCUAUGUAGGAUUAUUUUUUUAUAUAGAUUUUUUGUGAGCCGAAAAUGGACAUAGGAUAUAAAUGUUUUUUUUUUCAAAAAAGAGUCAAUGACGAGAAAAAGAUGGAGUGAUGGCGGUUGAAGACCCAAGAAAUUUCUUGUGGUGAAAAAUUGUGUAAUCUUGUUUUUCAUUUAUUUUCUAUAAAUAGAACUGUGGAAACCUUUGCUGGCAAUUUUAUUUUAUUACUCAUCUCCUUAUAUAUCUACUUAAUAAUUGUUAAUUUGUAUGAGCUGAUCCACAAUUGAUCAAUUAAAGAUAAGAAGUAUGGUAAUUAGAAGAUGGAUGUCUAGGAUUAGAUUUGGCAAUGAAAGGCUUGACUUUUAAGCGGUCGAAUACGAUUCACCUCCCUUUGUUGGGACCCAACCUAGUGCACGAUUCACAUUCACUUCUUCAUUUUUUCCCUUAAAAGGAAAAUUAUGGAAAAUCAAAAUUGUUAAUUCUUAUGAAAAAAUAAAUGUGCAUAUAUUGUAAAAUUGUCAUAACAUGUCAUAUAUGAGAUAAUCAUGCCAUAUAGUUUAGGAAAGAAUGCCACAUAUACUUGUCAUGCAUAUAUUGAUCAUUCAUGAUUGAAACAGGAAAUAAAAAAUCUUGCAUGUUUUUAAAAUAUUGAGUGGGAGAAGGUCCCUAAACAAGAACCACGACCUUCUUCAAUGGUCUCUUGUGAUGACAUGAAAUGGACCUACCUUAAUGUAGACAUUGUCAUGCGAAUUUCACUAAGGAGACUUCCUGAAAGUAAGAGAAAUUUUCUUAUCAUCAUAUGAUAAUUGGAUCGACCCCUGUGGUAGGUAUUAUCAUGUAAUACAUUAAGAAAUUCAUUUUUCAAAGAGGACUGCUAGUCACAGCAUGCUACUCAGUGAGGUUGUCCCGAGAGGACUCAUUUGUGGUGCAUGAUGCGAUAGGUGUUGAGUUGAUGGUUAUACACUCAAGAUCAUCUAGUUAAGUAACUCCGCAAAGAGCUAUGCUUAGGUUAGAAUGAUGGCCAAACAUUACAUGAUUAUUAGUACGUAUGAAUGCCUAAGGAAUUAGGUUCAUGUACUAAUUGGAUGAAAAGUCAUGUUCUUACUAGUUGAUCAUGAUCACUCCAAGGUGGCCUGAUUCAAUGGGUGUAGGGAUUAUCGUUGCAAGGACUUACAAAUGUUUUCAAGGUUUAAUGUAAGACGCAUACAUCAUCUUAAUACAUAUCGUAAUGUUGGAAAACAUUUUCAAACAUUUGUUUAAUACAAAGAUAUUAACAUAUGAAUGUUUUAUUUCCAGUUCAUAAAUGACACCAACUCCCUUAUUGAACAUACUCACCAAAAACAAACUGAAUGGAAACAAAUAUAGGAAUGGAAAAGGAACUUGAUAAUUGUCCUGAGCUAUGACAAACUUAAAACAAUUCUUGAUAAUAAGUGUCCACCGACCACUCAAGCUGAGGCUAGAAAAUGUCAGGAGGAGUCUAAUGAGAUAACUCAUUGCUAUAUGUUGACAAGCCUGACCAACACCCUAUAUAAGUAACUAGAGAGUUGUAAGACUACCGAAGUGAUUCUGGAUAAGCUAGAAGACAUGUUCAGAGGCCAAGUUGCCUUGGCUCAAUAUUCUGCUAUAACUAGCUUGAUGAAUACCCAACAAAAUCCUGACAUUCCAGUCAAAGACCAUAUGAUUACUCUUAUGGGAUACUUUGUCGAGCCCGCGGAUAAUGAGGCCAAUUUGGACUAAAACACUUAGAUUGAGAUGGUGUUUGACUGUUUCUAGAUGUACUAAUGUCUAAAGUGUUAAUACUACUACCAAAUAUAUAAGUUAGGCAACUUCCGCAAUUAUACGGGGUAUGUUGUAAUAUAGUUUGUUUACAACGAAACCUUUGGUAAGUAUUUCAAGGAUCAUACCCUAAGGAUUGCAGUUUGGGGAAAACGGCUAUUAAGUCAAUUACCGAAAAUAACUACUAAUCUACCCGAGUCACAAAUUAGUAGUGUUAAUCUGGAAGCAAGAUGAUAAUAAUAACACUAAAUUAAAUGAAUUGAACUAAACCUAAAUCUACUCCUAAGUUCAUGUAUCGGUUUCGCCUAUUCCUUUUUUCGACUAUACGAGUUCCUUUAGCCUAGAUCCAAGUGUUUUACCCAAUUAACUAUUGAUGAAAGGUUCAAAAUAAUUGGUAACUUAUUAACCUAGCAGGGCGUCUCAGCCUUCUACUAACCUAACUAGUCGAUAAGAACUACUCACGUCUUGAUGACACAGUUUAGACUAAGGAAGGGUAAGCUUUUCACGGAUAGACAAUAACGAUUUUAGGUUAAUUCCCACGUAUAUGAUUUCUUAGGGUUGUCAAGCCUAUGGUUUAAGUUCGUCAUUCCUUAACCAUUGAUCUACUAAGUGAUGCUUGGUAGGAAAUACUGAUUUCGGGUUAAUUCCUACAUAGAUGACUUCCUAGGGUCAUCAGUUCUAGGGUUUAAUUACUCUCAACUAGAUCCAACCAAUCCAAAUUGAACUCUAAUUGUCAAUCAAUUAAUUAGAUAAAAAUAGUUGAAACAUGCAAAAUAUGUAUAAAGCAUCAAUUGAUUCUAAUCUUUACACAAACAUUAAAUUACAAUGUUAAAGAAAGAAAUAUAAAUAAUAGAAUAAAUGAAAGAGAUGCUCAUGGAUUUAUCGAUGAAAGCGUGGCUUCGAAACAAUCUUCGCUCACGAAAGUCUCACUUCAGAAUGGAAUCUUCCAAUUAUAAGAACAUAUAAUAAACUAAGUAAAAACUAAAAACGAAAUAAAAAAUUAAGAAUCAAUCCCUCAAAAAAUGUGUGCUUAAUCUGAUUACAAUAGCCAUUAUAUAGGCUAUCCUUGGAAUAUUAAAGUGCCUAAAAUAUUCUUGAAGUACUUAGAUUUCAACUAGGAAAAAGAUUCCUAAUUGGUCUAAAAACGCAGAUUUCAUGUGCAACAUAGGUCUGUGGUGUUGCAACAUCAGACCUAGUGUCGUGAUAUAGCAGGGACAUGUAGUGACAUAGUAGGGACAUGUCACGACAUAGCAUGCAGUUCUGCUCUAGAACUUGUUUUUGCUUCUGUCUUUGAUGUUGCGACAUCGAUGUCUUGGUGCCGUGACAUAGGUAGUAGUUUUGGCCUGAAUAUGCGUCUUUAACUUCUGAUUUUUCCUACAAGACCAUGUAACCUUAUUUAGAUAUCUAAGAUGUAACAAAAACUACUUUAAGCAUGAAAACCUAAAUAUAUACUAAGAUGCUUUGAUUUACUAUUAAACAAGCUACAAUUAUGUGUAAAAGGGGAUAUAAAUAAUUGUGUAAUUCAUGGCAGAUCAGUGUUCAAGAGCUUGUCCAAUGAGUUUCCAAGCUUUUAGGCCGCAUAUAACCUUGGGAACAAGAACUUGACACUUACACAACUCAUGAAAGAGAUAUAAUCCUAUGAGUUGAUGUUCAAUUGUGGUCAGCUCAUCUAAAAAGUAGAAGCGAACAUAUCCAUCACUUUUUCCUCAAAAGGCAAGGGAAAGUGUGCUAAGGAAGGAAAUGUUAAGGUCUCUAGGCCACCACAAGUGAAAAGGAAAGAACUAGGAAGCCUAAAUACUUAUCUAAAUCCAAAUGCUUCUUUUUUAGUAAGAAAGGGCACUUCAAGGUGAAUUGCAAAGAGUGGAAAGAAUACCUAGCAACCAAAGGCAAAUAUUUGGAACUCUUUAUGAUAGAAGCUUGUUUAGUGGAGGAUUCAAUAGACCACUAGGUCAUUGAUUUAGGAGACACUUAUCAUGUUGUUGUUUCUCUACAGGGGUUCGAGGGGAAAAAAAAUCUUAGACAUAAAAGCUUAUUGUUACAGACUAGGAAUGGGACAAGCGUGGCUGUAACCCCUAUACUUGGCAUGGUCGCCAAGCCCAAAUAGGGGAUGCCACACCACCAUCUUAUAUCAUAUACAACAACUAAAUGUUCAUUUUAAACGAAGCAUCUUCUAUUUUAGUAUUCGUGAAGGUUUUAAGCCACUCAAACUUGAUAGUUAUCAUUGUUUCAUGCAAAUCUUACAAUAAUUAAUCUUAUAAAAAUUUUAUAAUAUGCACAAGGUCCAUUUAGUAGAAUUUCCAAAACAUGUUCGUAGGUAUCGGUACUGGCACUAGGGUAUUCUUUAUUUUCUCUAAGUGGUAUUGAUACCACCUAGAAAAACGAUACCAAACUUGUGUUCUAUUUGUCGAUUAAAAAUCCAAAGUCUCAAAAAUUAUCGAUACCUAUCAUGAAAUAUCAAUAUUUUAACCCUGAGUAUCGAUACUCGAGCAUAUGUGUCAAUAUCAAAUCUCUAUUCUAACUUCCUACAUGUUUCAAGCAUAAAAGUAUCAAUUUUUAAAACUCGAUUAUCGAUACCUCUGCUUCAGACUUCAAAAAUGCAGAAUAAAUAUGCAAUUAAUCCAUUCCACUUUAGUUCCUAAACAUCAUACAUCAAUUACUUCAACAAAUAAUCAUUUAAUGACCUAAUUAACAUUUCAAUAUCACAGAAUUAUGUUUGAGCAAGAAACAUCAGUCCAUCCUCAUAUUCAUGAACCCAAGCAUAUCAAUAACAUGUAAUCCUUAUAAACUGAACCAAAAACCAGUAUAAUGUCUAAAAGUUAACAUGUAAUAAAUAAGUCUACCACAUUGCCUUUUUCCCAAAAUGUAAAUAAAUAAAGAACACCUACAGAAUAAUACCAACUGGGUUGGAUCACCUCUCAAAAAACCACACCGCUCAUACCAGUACUUUACUACUCUCCAAAGGUUUUAAGAAAGGAGUUGGUGAGCUUAACAAGCUCAGUGAAUUCCUAGAACAAACUACCAUGCAAACAAUUCAUCAAGCAUCAACGAAACAAUCAUAUAGCACAACCUCAUCAGUUCCAGCUCUAGUGUCAUAUUAUACUUACUUAUGCAUUAUUUACUAGUUCAUUUACGUAGUAAUCAUAUUCACUUUUAAACAUGUAUCACAUUACACAUAUAAUUACAUAACAUUUAAAAAUAUAUCACAAUACUAAAAAAUGUGUUUAUAGAUAAAUUGCAUAAUGGUCGCGUAUCAUAUAAACAUAUAACACAAUACAUACAUAUUCAUAAUUGAAGUUAAUUUGGCAUUUGAGCUAUGACACAUAAAAGUGAGCUCUACCAUCACUCGUCUAAUACACAGAUCUCUAGCACACCACAUAAACUCAUAAAGUCAAACAUGUCCCAAAAGUGAAGCAUAAAGCUAACACUCUUCCAUUGAAUGGAGCUUAGCUCCCAUUCCCUUAUCCUUCCAACAUGUCCCAGGGCCUCAACACCCAAAACCACUGUACAUAUAGAUGAGUACUCAUAAUUCUAUGGCAUGUCAACUAUAUCCAACGGUUUUAAGAUCACAAGGCUAAAAUAUUCGAAAUCAAACACGUCAUUUAUCGAUUAUCCGUGCACUUUCACUGUAGAUUUGCAUCUUUAGCAAAACACUGUCAUUGACAUUUAAAAUAUACAUAACAUGUACAUAUUUGCACUUUCACAACGGUUAUUAUAACCACAUAUAACAUGUUAUAACAUCUCAUCUCAAUUCAUAUAUUCACAAUCAUAUAAGCAUAUAGUUCACAAGAUAACAUAGGUAUGAGAAAGCUUGCACUCGAAAUUUAGAGUAGGGAUUUAGGCUACUACCAAAUUCUCUAAUAACACAUUAAAUCAUGUCUACAAGAAAUUAUUCCAAAAACUCACCAAUUACGCUUUCGUCGAAAAGUCAAAAGCUCAAACUAGUAUUUCCUUACCUUUAUCUAUACUUGUAGAAGGUCCUAUCGAAUUUGGAACUUCAACACAAUAAUUCACACAAUAAUUUAUUUGAUAAUCAGCUAAGAACUCACUACAAGCAAUCAAAAACAUAAGUCUAAGCUAUGUUCCCAUGUAACUGAAACUUAUAACAUAGCAAACUUUAAAUUCAAAUAUCUCGAUCUAUACUCAUUCUUUUCGCCUAUAACUAAUUUAGUUCAUCUUAUAAUUCACAUACGACUAAUUCUCAACCUUUAAACUAUACUAAAAUACUCAAUUCAUAGUAUCGACUUUUUUGACAUGUUUUAUGGCUAUUUUCCAAAAAAUUAUUAAAACGUGAGAAAUCUUUAAUGAACUUAAAAGUAAGUUUAGAAAACUUCCAAUCACAUAAAAAUUAAUUGAAAACUCUUUGAAACAUCAUUUUUAUGCAAAAUCUCGAAUUUCACCAUUAAGGACCAAAGUUUCAACUUUUACUUAAAACAUGUGAUUUAAUGGCUAAAAACUUAGUUUUAAAGACUAAAUAACAUUUAAAACUAAUUAGAAGUUGGAUCCUUACCUUAGAUGAUGAAAAAAAGCGUUUGAUAAAAAACCUAAAAGCUUGACAAUUGAGAAAACUAUGGUAUUUUUGGAUGUUUCUCUUAACUUCUAUGGAGGUUUAUGACUAGGAGGAUGAUAGAAAUCAAUGGAAUAGAGUUUAGGAAUCAAAAUCGAUUGUAAUGGGCCUAGAGAAGCAAGGACAACAACAACAAUAAAAGGUGAAAAAGACUAACGUGAAAUUUAUAGGUGGGGGAUGAUAUUAGGGUGUUUUUUAAAUUUUAGUUUAAUUGCCUUUUAAAAAUUCACAAUUUUGACUCUAUUACAAAUCAUUCCAAUUGUCAAAAUUAAAUGUAUUUAAAAAUAAUUUCAAAAAUUGAUUUAAUUUUCUAAAAACCAUAGUAAACAUUCUAAGGCUAAAAUCUCUAAAAUACCCCUAAAACUCCUAGGCCUUAUUUUGGGUGUUAUAGUGACAACUAAAGCAGUGGGAGAUGUACAUCUUUAUUUUGAUAAUUUUAGGAAGAUUAUUUUAAGAGAUAUUUUAUGUGUACCAAGUUUCAAAAGAAACUUAAUUUCUGUUGCAUGUUUUUUUAUAUAAAGCGACUUAACCGAUAAAGAAUCACUAGACUUGUGAAAGACGACAUCUUAAGUUCACUUAAAGAAGUUAAUCUUCCACAAUAUGAAUCUUUCUUGGAAGGUAAGAUGAAUAAGAAAUCUUUUAAUUGAAAAGGAUCGGGGGACGGAAAACCCCUAGAACUUGUGCAGACUGACGUAUGUGACCUUAUAAGUGUUAGUGCAAGAGGUGAUUAUGAGUAUUAUGUAAACUUUAUUCAUGGCUAUUGCAGAUAUAAGUAUCUAUACCUAAUGCACUACAAGAGUGAAACCUUUGUUAAAUUCAAAGAGUUUCGUGUGGAAGUGGAGAAACAAUUAGGUUUACCCAUAAAGGCACAUCGGUCAAAUCGAGUUGGGGAAUAUUUAUCUAAUGAGUUCUUAGGGAACCUCAUAGAGAAUAGGAUUCUAUCCCAAUUAACCACAUCGGGCACUCCACAACAGAAUGGCAUGGAAGAUAGAAGGAAUUGAUUGUUUUUAUACAUGGUACGUUCGAUGUUAAGUUAUUCAAAGCUAUCAAUCUCUUUUUGGGGAUGUUGUACAAACAGCUUGCUCUAUUCUAAAUAAUGUGCCAAUUAAGGCAGCAUCGAAAAACCUAUACGAAUUGUGGCGUGGUAAGAAGUCAGUUCUUAAUCAUUUUAGGAUUUGGGGAUGCCAAACCCACGUAUUAGACAAAGAUGUGAGGAAGCUGGAGUGAUAGACAUAAUCAUGCAUGUUUUUAGGAUAUCCAAAAGGAACAAAGGGUGGUUUGUUUUAUAACCCGAAAGAGCAAACUGUUAUAGUGUCAACUCAUGCUACUUUCCUUGAAGAAAGUUACAUGAAUGACUUUAAACCUCGGAGUAAGGAGAAGGAAAUUUUAGGAAAUAUACAAAACCCUAAUAAAAUGAUUCUAGAACCAACUCUUAAUAGUAGACCUGCAAACGAUCAGAAGUCUAGGGUGCUUCGUCGUAGUGGGAGGGUCUCUCAUAUUCCUAAGUUUUUUCAAUUUGGUGGAAGCUUUUUUAACAAUGAGUUUGUCGAAGAGGAAGAUAAUGAUCAACUCAAAUAUGAUGAAACAAUGCAGAGUGUUGAUUCCAAGCUCUGGUAAAUAGCUAUGAGAGAUUAUAUGGACUCUAUGUAUUCCAACUUAGUGUGGGAACUUAUAGACUUACCGAAGGGAUAAAACUCAUAGGGUGUAAGUGGAUCUACAAGCGGUUCCUAAUUACGUAUGUCCAAUCUGUCCUUCCGCUAGCUUGUUGAAACCAGAAUUGAAUUGCAAGCUUGAAUAGAAAUGAAUAGAAUGAAUAGGAAAAGAAAAAUGAAAAUUAUUUAGGAAUGCUUAUGGUUUUCUCUGAAAUGGAAAAAAUGGAAUCAUUUUGAAAUGAAUGUAGAUAUCCAAAAAUGGGAGUAGAAAUUGAAAUAAUCCAUUUGCAAUUCUAUAUGGAUUACUUAAAAAUGAUCAGAAGAAUGAGUUUAUGUUUUUGAGAUAUUUUGAAGCCUGGAAAUGAAAAUAAAUCAUUCGAUCAUAGUGAACAUAUUGAGUUUUGAAAUAUUAUACACAUUUUCUUGAAAUUUUAUUAAGGAUAAAAUUGUCAAAAUUUUACCGAGGUAAAAGUAAAAUAGGGAUGAGAAAAUUAUUUAAUAUAGAAUAUGAAUGUUUAUCUUGGAAAAUAGAAUAAAAUGCAUUGGGUUGGAUUACAUUAUAAAGUGUUGGGUUAAGGAAACACGAAAAUUUAUGUGUUUUUACAUGCCCUUUUUAACUUAAAAUCAUUCUAUUUCGGUUAAAUUCUUGUCGAAAAAUAAUUAAAUAUUAUAGAAUAAUUAAAUUAUGUUAAAAAUAUGAACAUGAUGAAUUUUUAAUUAAUUUUAUAGUUAAUUUUGAUUAAUUUUGACUAUUUUCGACAGAUUCGCGUAAAGGGCGAAAAUUGGCUCGACAGACAAAGCUCGAAGAAUAAAACCGAGAAGCAAUUUGAAGCAUCGAGGAAAAUUUAUUUCCAGCCUAAUAUGGUCCAAAAAUUUGUGUUAAUUCAUAAUAUAAUUAAUUUUAAUUUAUUCCCAAUUUAAUUUGGGCUAAAUAAAUUAUUAUUAAUUAAUUAUGGAAAAAAGGGUCUAGUUGAACCGCAUUGGUUGAACCGAAUCUAGUGAACCGAACCAGCCACCAAUUGGGCUGCCCAGAACCAUCCAUAUGCUGACCCAAAUCAGCAUUUUAACUGACUAAAUAAGCUUGCAAAGAAGCCCUUGAAGAACUUUGAACUUUGCAUUCAAACCCCUCUAAAAAAUGUGGCUUUAUGGAUUUGCCCCAGGCUAUUUUUAGCAAAGUUGAAUCUCUCAACUUUGCCAUGUGUGUGGCCAGCCAAGGGGGGUCUCUUUGGCUGAUGGAAUUUUCUAUUUAUAGCAGCCACAAUCAUCUAUAAAAGCCACCCCUUGCUGGUCAUUCAACUCAUCCCUCACACUCUCAUUCUCUUCUCCUCUCUCACUUUCUCUCAACUUUCCUUCCCAUUUUCCCUUUUGUUCAAGUGCCAAUUUCUUCUCUUGGGAAAGAUGUCCUCAUCAGCCAUUUUUGAGUAGCAAUUAAAUUAUUCAUAAGCCACCUUUAUAGCCAAGGACAACAAAGAACGAAGAACAGAGAAAUCAGUCAAGCCACGGAGAAACAUCAGAUUUGCUUCUUGUUCCCUAUCUCUUUAAAGUUCGUUGUUGUUUUGAAAAACAUGUUUAUGAAUAUUUAUCUUAUUUAAAUGGUUAUUUUAAUCAAUCUAGCUUGAAUUUAAUCCGUGUUGGGUUGAUUAUAUUUUGCUUGCUUGAAUUAUUGAAAUUGUGUUUCUGCUGUUACAGGCCUCGGUAAGAUGCUUGAUUAAGUAAAAUCAUGCCUAAGUUAUUCUUGCAAUAUUAAUUGUUAGAUAAAUAAUGAAUUAAUUAUUAAAUCAUAUUGAAAUUGUAAUUAAUCGACACAAUACUUAAUCAGUGCAUGUUUAUUCUUCUAAGGUAGCUGAAGUUAAUUUAGCAUUGUAUUUGGUGAUACAUAUGCCUUGCAUAACUUGAAAGAUUAUUGUGAUUAAACUGUUUCAAGGUAGAAAUACUCUGUUACCUCACUUGAUCUUUUAUAUGCUUGUGAAGAUUGAUUAAUCGCUUGGAUUGACAUUAAAAAAUGUUCAAGAGAUUGAUUAAUUUAAUAAGUAUGUAUGAGUAGUAGUUAGCAAAUUACAUAGUUGCCGUGAAUUUGUUCGUAGCAGUAUAAACAUAAGUUUAAUAAUUCUAGGUUAAAGGAAUGUAAUUAAUCCAACACAAUUAUAUCAUCUUGGUUAAAACUUAUUUGAAAUUGUGCAUUAGAAUAUUUUUAUUUUUAAUUUUUUUUACUUAGUUUUUAACCCUUAGUUUUUAAUCAUCUUUAAACCAAAAUAUUUUCCAUCACCAAAGUGUUUUAACAUUAAUUUCAUAAAUAUUCUUUUUUACAGUCCCUGUGGGUUUGAUAACUCGACAUUUACUUGUCACUUUAUUACUUGUUGCGAUUGUGUACACUUGCACGUUUUCGUCAUUCCAGGUUAAAAGUCCAUAAAGCACAUAUAAUUGGGCCCAAUACAAUGAGAGGCCCGAAUCCCUAUCAUAAUACAUAUGAGGGGAAACACACCCUAUUAGCCCCCCUCUCUCUCCUAGUUGGACUAGGAAUUUGUGUUUGUAUUUGAAAUAAACUUCUACAAUUCAAAAAUGAUUCUACAUUAUCUCCUUAUAAAUAGAUGGCACCGGUAGAGCUAUUUACAUAACUUUGAGAGAUUGUUACUCUGUCGAAAAAUAGAGAAAAUUUAUUCUCAACUAUUAAAUAUAUUUCUCUAGAAUAACAAUUCUACCUGUUUCUAUUAAAGAAGAGAGAAUUUUCAUUUUCACCCCAAAUAAAAGAGAAAAAUUUUUCUAGUUCUGUGUUUCAAUUUAAUUGGUUCGAGCCCACACUCAAAGCAUUUUGUGGUACGAUAAUAGCAAAGAUCAUCAUUUUGUUGAAAGUCGAGAACAAUGAACGUGCGCUAAGCUAAAAAAUAGGUAUGAAUUCGUUUAGGGUUUAUUACUGUAAAUAUCACAAACCGGGUCAAUUUUCAAAAUUUUAAUUUUUUAUUGUGAAAGAAAACCAUCUUCAAACCAGAUUUUUCCAACGGUAAUAAUGGGUGGUGUACUACAUGCUAAUGAUACAAAUACAAUUAAUUAUGUGAAAUGCUUGUAAUGCAUAUAAUGUAUGGGGUACAGAGGGAAGUACCAUGAUGGUGGUAGUUGAAGAUAGGAAUACUGGGUGAAAAUGAGGAAUGAGUGGAUUAAAAUGGGGAUUCAAGGGAGAUUGAAUGACAUUACAGAAUGUUAUCGACUGGCUCACUAGAGCGAUAUUGUGACCACGAUCUAUUGAAUCUAUAGAGUGACAUUGUGACGGCGGCUAUCGGCAGGUCCUUCGGGGUGACACCAUGAGAACAAUUUGUAGGUCUUUCAAGGUGACACCUUGGAAGAGGUUUAUUGAUUCUUCGGAAUCGGGAGUCUGCUAGGAAAUUAGAGAUGGGGUAUACUGUAUAAGACCAUAGCUCGGCUAUGGCAACAGGCCAAAUCUGCCAAGUUAAACAUGGGGUAUAUUGUGUAAGACCAUAGCCCGGUUAUGGCAACAUGUGAAGUCUGUCAGGACAUUAAAUAAGGCUAUACUGUGUAAGACCAUAGUUGGGCUAUGGUUUCAGAUAAAUUUUGUCAAGAUGAUGAAUUGAGAAACUAAUAAAGUAAAGAAAUAGGGAUAAUUGUAUGUCUCGUGCAGAAAGUAGUAUAGGUGGAUGAUCACGACGCGUUUGAGAAUGAGGUUAAAUAAGAAGGUAAGAGAAUCCACCAAACAAUAAAGAGGAAAAUAAUUGGUAGAAGUAUCCAAGAAUAUGGAUAAGCUUGCUCUGCCAAAUUUGGUAGAAAGUGGAAUCAGACAAGUUUGUGGUCAUCAAGACCAAAGAAAUAGAAGGGUACCCAUUCCAGUUAAGGGGUACCCAUUAUUAUAAAUCCGCUAGUGGUUAGCGAGUAAUAAAACAUGAAGUAUAAUAAGCAAGUCAACAAGGCAAACUCUAAGCUAAACGAUUGGAGCGGUAAGUCCUCCAAUGAUCUACUGAAAGGGGGAUGAUAGAGUAAGACUAUAUGGGGCUACCGAAGGUUGAGAUUGCCAGGAUUACUUAGGCAGGAAUAGUUCCUUAGGGACAAUCAAUAAAUUGGAGCAUGUAAGAAGGUUGGGCUUAGGAGAAUAAGCACUCUGGGGGUUACAUUCAGGGUAUGAGUCUGCCUAGAAAAAGGGGUGCCAACUCAUUCAACCAACUAACUUAUUGAGUCCAUGGAGAAGAAUGAUAGAAAGAGACCUUAUCUAGAAAAAGGGGGAUUAGGCAUAGGUCAAGUCAAAAGAAGAUUUCUAUUGGAGUAAUGGGAUAAAAUUUUAUGAAGAUCAAGGUCGAUCAAAGGGAUCAAGGAAGAGAUUCACAACUAUAGUGAAAUCUUGAUUAAAAUGCCAGUAAGUUGUCAAACCCGUGAUGGGAUCUACGAGAAUUCCAAGUUGAGGCAUACCUGUAUGAGUUCAAGGGAAGCUUUAAAUAACGACAAACAGGGUUAAGACCCAUAAAAAAAGAAUUUUCGAAGAUUUUUUUGGUGGGUGGAAUGCCCUUUGAUAGUUCAUUUGGAAAGAAUCUAGAAAAUGGCUAUGACAGAGAAAUUGCGGGUCUUCCUACAAGUUUAGGGAGUUUCUCAUCUGUGCUUUAAAUUUUAUAUUCCCUAAUUUCCAAGAAAUCUUGAAUGAAAAAUAAUGUAUAGGAUCUCACUAAGUUCUCCUGAGCUUAAAACAUUUUUUGCUUCCAUGCAAGGUAGGUGGUGUCUUAAAAUUUUAGUGGAGGGACCUAGCCAAACACCACCAGUUUCAAGAGAUGGGUGAGAUAGUUGAUUCAUAUACAUAUAGGGCAUGCCUUAAGGAUUAAAUUGGUUAUAUUCAUAUUGGAGUUUUAAAUUUAAAAUUUAUAAAUAGUUGUUGGAAUCAAAGUUGUAAGAAUUUAACUUUGGUUCUGUACGAUUGUUAAUAUCUUUUGAUCCUUAAUUUAUGUGUUUAAUAAUGUAAUUAGAGUAGAAUCAAAAACAUCGCUAAGAUAUUUAGGUCUUUCUAUCAUCCAGUACCUGGACCUAGCAAACAAAUUGGGUCUAAGGUGUUACAUGAAGUUAUUCCACUAUAGUUUCGUGACUGAGCUCUCCCCAACGACAUACCAUUAUGAAUGCAACUUGAUUAAUGCUUGUCCAAUGACCUUGUCAUAAGUGUGUUACCCUCAUAUGAUAUCCUUAAUCUUAUUUGGAUAAUAUUCAUUCUCCAAAUAUGAUCCUAUUUUAUCUCAUGGUAACAAUUACAUCUUCCUUCAUGAAAAGUCAAUUACUAUCAAAUAGUAGUCAAGUCUUCACCUAAUGUAAUAACAUGUUUAAUUUCCAUCUUCCAUCACGAACAACCUGUGACCAUGUUUAAUUUCCAUCAACCAAGUAAUAACAAUGAGAGGAUAUCAUUUACCCAUUCCUCGAGCUAUGAAUUCCACUAUUGUGAAUGAUGCUACAAACUACAGAAGUCGUACACUCAAUGCACCUGCUUUUGGUUCCUUAUCUAUUCGAACUCAUGCUUUCACUUACAUCAAAGUGUACGAGUCACGCAUACAUAGCCUGUCAUCCACUCAAGAUUUAGGUAUGAAAAUUGCAAUUGAAUAAAGAAUUAAGUGUGGUGUCUACAAGUGUACAUGUCAACUUGUAAUAUAGUUUAUAGUUACAACGUUACACUUUGGACGUAUUUCGAGGAUCUACACAGGGGAGGUUUGUUUAAACUAAAUUAAUAGAAAAAGUCACACAUUAACUAAGUCAAAAUAGCUACUCACGUACUUGUCAUAUUACGUUUAAAAAAAUGAAUCAUUAAACAAAACUAAAUUAUAUAAAAGCUAAACACCAAAAUCACAUUCAAAUUAAGCAGACAGUAGGGUGAAUUACUUCCAUGUUCAUGAUUAACCAAGGUCUAGGGUUUUUACCAAUUAGCUAACAAUCAACCUAAUUUAAUACCUUUUAACUUAUAACUAGAUUAAUUGAUCGAAUUAACUUUCUUAUCUUUCUACCUAAUAAAUUAAACUAGGUUAGAUUAAGUUGGUGCUGAGUAGACUAUCCUUUCGGCCUCAUCUACCUAAGUGACUUCCUAAAGUCGUCAAUUCUAGGGUUUAAUUCACUUAAGGUAAUCCAUCUAACUAGUGUCAAAAUCCUAACCCAAUCCACUCACUCCCACUUUAGCUUGUCAACCUUCCUAGGGUUUGAGUUCAUGGCCAUUCUAGAAGCAACCUCUCCUAACCGAUUAUCAAACAUCCAAACAAAUGUAAAAAUAAAUAAAAAGGGAAAAGAAUGUUAAGAAUCCAAAAAUCUUGAAACAAAACUUCUAUUGUUGAACCCACAAUCGAUGUUGAUAUUUUAUUUGAUGAAGAAGAAAAUAACCAAAAAAUAAUGAAAAGAAAACAAAAAUGAAAUUGCUAUUAAAAUUAACUUAGUGUUUAACAACUAAAAAAUGAAAUUGUAAUCUAUCUAAAACCCUAAUUAAUCCCAUAAAACUAAAUUUAAAAAUAAAAAUCGGCUCUCUAAUCAAGUCUUAUGAGCUAAUAUUUAUAGUGUUUAUGUUAUAUGACCAAAUUAUUUCAAUCACAAGUUGUGUAACAAGUUAAUUAAGAUUAUACGGAUAAAAACACCCAUUACAGUCAUAUUGGCCUCAUUAAACCGGUGUCGGGACAAACUAUAGCUGGUGUUGUGAUUUCGUUGGAAGAAUACUUGGUCUUCAAAACUUGGUGGAAUGUCACGACAUUAGUUUCUUGGGGUCACGAAAUCAUUGGCAGUAUGCUCCCUUUUGGAAUCUGGAUUGAAUGUCGCGACAUCGCCUCGAGUAGCUCACCUCUUGAAAUUGUGUUGGAAUUUCGACUAAGUGUUGAGGCUUGCUUUAAUGUCGCAUAUUCUUUUUGAAUGUUACGACAUCCAGGGUAGUCCAUUGACUUCUUGACCAAAAACAUUGUCCAGCACACUUACUCAACCUGUUAGUUCUUUCUUAGGUCCUAAUUGGCCUAAAAGGUCAUAAAACACCACUAAAAGCUCAAUCAAUUAAACUUAACCUCAAAAUAACUAAUCCUAAAAACAUAAUUAAAAUAUGAAAAAUCACUUGAAUACAAGCUCAUUAAGUGGUGAAAAGAGCCUAAUUUGUGACAGUGAAUUGUGGCAUAUCAUUAACCCUAAGCCCAUUUUAGGCAUGUCUGUAACCACCCAAACCUGACUUAGACGUUAUGGUCAAAUCCUGAAGAUUACAUUGGCCAUUGGAAUGGCAUGGAAAAAUGUUCCUAUUUUAAAUCACUCUUUAAAACAAAUUUCCUUUUUAUUUAAGACUAGUGAUCUCAAUUAUUUGUUUUAUUUCAAGAAAAUCAUAUUAAUUACAAAAUCAUCAAGCAUCUUUAGAGUGUCGCUUGUAAAGAUUAAUCAUUUCGGAAAAAAAACUAAGUUAUAUUUUGUUAAAAACAAACCUUUAAGUAUGGUAGUGAAAAAUUCAAUUAAAAUCAUAUUUCUGUUAAAAAUCGAUUUUUCAUGCAUAGUCAAUAAAACAUUCAGUGAGCAAUUUAAAACUUCAAAUCAUGCAAAAAUAAAGUAGAAAUCCCAAAAUAUAAAGUUCCAUGCCACAAUCUAUAAGAAAAUUAUUACAGUCCCAAAAAUAACCAUAUAAUAAAGUUUAAAGUAUUUAAAAUAAAAACCAUCCGAGAACACCUUCGAUAGCCGUGUCCAAGUCCUAACCUCGGGGAUUAUCUGAAAUCAGAUCAGAAACUAAUGUGUGAACUAAUAAACUUAGUGUGAGUCUUAUUUCAAAUAUACAGUAAUAAUAGUAAAUAUAACACUCAAGUCAAAAAAAUAUAAAGAGUACAAUAAAUAGCGCAAAGCUCACAAUUUGUGUCAUGCAUGAUCAUGUUAAUGUAGAAUUUUUAGAAUAUUCCUACCCAACUCCACUACACAUCAAUAUACGAUUUCUCUAAAACUCAUUCAACCAAUAAGACACCAAUUUGUGGACAAGCCACCAGGAUUGCAGAGAAAUUGUCAAAUUUGUAGACAAGCUACUAGGAAUAUGACCAUGCCACCAAAAUUGCAGGUAAACUACCAGAAUUAUGUGGUUGAACCACCAAAAUUGCAGAUAAACUAUCAAAUCUUCCUUCUUACAUAUUUGUCCCAACUCAAUGCAAAAUUACAUGUUACAACUAAAACAGAGUGCAAAUAAUAGGCAUGAUCAAAAGAGCAUGCAAACAAUGGAAAAAAUAGUAGGCAAGAUUUAAACAUGCAAUCAUAGUAAGAACAGUGGCAUAAAUUCCAUGCAAUGAGUAAAACAGUAUAGUAAACGCAUUUAAUGACACUUUUAGAAUUAUUAGUAUCAAAAUUCACAUUUUUAAUAUGUGACUAAAUUUUAGUUAUAGUGUGCAAGGUUUAUCAUGACAUCAAUCUCAAUAAUAGAUUUGCAACAUGCAUCAAUAGCACAUAUUAUAUGAAUAUCAUCAAGUCAUAAUACAACAGCCAUACAUAUUUAUGACAUCACGGAUUUAACAUAUCAGAGUCACUUACUUGGAAACAAUCCUAUUAAAGGAUUUAUCAAUCACCGUGAAUACUUAGUGUAUUCAAAUAACCAUGUUUCAGAGAAAAUAAUAAAUAUUAAUCAUAAGUAUAUAAUAGUUACUAAAUAAUCAUAUAUAUUUUUAUUUGAUUAAACCCACACCUAAAAAUAUGCCUUGUCACUAAAUCUACACCCACACUCCAAUGAUAACUAAUCUAGACAGUUCUCGCUUGAUCUGAUCAAAUAAUAACGGUAUGAUCCCAAUAGGAAUUCAUUAGUUUCAACCAUAAACCAAAAUAUAAUUCUCUUAUGCAGUCAGAUAAGAAACUUCCUCAAUACCUUUUUUGAAAGGAGAUCCAAACAUUUUUCUUAUGCUCGAGUAAAUUCGAAUGAUCCAGAUUAGAUCCUUCAAGAAACAUGUUACACAAAUAUUGGAACAUAUAUUCAACUCACAUAAGAAAAGAAAUGAUUGUGGUUAGAUUUACUAAUCAUUACUUACGCUAAACCGAUUGGAUUGUGAAGAUUAAUGAUUCACCGAAAGUUUUGAUUUGAUAGAGGAGUAGUGGCUAAGAAAAAACAAAAUAAGGAAUAAAGUGACUAUGUACAUUGUUUAAUAAUUAAAGAAAAAAAGAAGAAGAAUAAGAGAUGUUAAAAUUCAGUUAUGGCCAAGUAGAUGAAAGGAUGAUGAAGAAAGAAGACAAUCAGUGGAAGCUGGCGGUGGUGGUGCAAUGGCGCUACAGCGGCGAUGGCAUAGGAGGUUUGAUAGUGGCAUGAAGAGAGUGGGAGAGGAGGGACAGUGGUGAAGUGGUGGUGUUUAGGUGGUACGAUGGUGGCUAAAGUUGGUGGAGUGGUGGCAAAAUAAAUUUAAAGUAUCGGCUCAAGGUGAUGCAAGAGGAGGAGGAGAGAAAAAGAAAGGGAAGAAAGGAAACAAAGAGAUGAAAUAAAAUGAUUUUGUUUCUCUAGUUGCAAGGGACGGCUAAAGGGUUCAAAGGGGAUGAAAAUAGGAAGGGAGUGAAAAGAGGGGAAGAAAAGGAAAGAAGAGGGAACAUGUAGAGUGGAAAAAGAAGAAAGAAUGGAAAGUAGAGCAAAAUAUGACAGGAAAGAAUGAGAAGGGAAUCAAACUUGGGUUAGUUGGAAAGUUUAGCUUGAUCUUAACCACUAGGCUAGAACUCUCACUUGUUUAAGAAUUAAUGAUAACUUGGGUUACUUGGAAUGUUUAGCUUGCUCUUAACCACUAGGCUAGAACUCUUACUUGUUCAAGAAUUAACGAUAACUAAAUAUAGAUGGGCUUUGACAACUCUACUCUCAUUAAAAAAAUGAAUUCCGUCUUUAAAAUUUACCUGAUUAGAACAUAUUGGGAUAUUGUUCACAAAUCGAGUCCUCUAGCUCCAAAGUAGUUUCCUUAGUUCCAUGAUUUCGCCAUAACAUUUUUACCAGUGGAAUCUAAUUUUUCCUUAACACCUUAACCUCACGAUCCAAGAUCUAAACUGGAUCCUCCUUAGAAGAUAAAUCUAGUCUCAUCUCAAUCUCCUCAACUAGAACCACAUGAGAUGGGUCAAAUCAGUAUCGCCUCAACAUAGAGAUGCGGAACACAUCAUGGAUCCAGUCCAGUUUCGGAGGUAACUCCAACUUAUAAGCCAUUGGUCCAAUACUCUUAAGGAUCCUAUAAGGUCCAAUAAACCUUGGGCUCAGCCUGCCCUUCCGACCAACUCUUAGAACCUUCUUCCAUGACGAUACCUUAAGGAAUACCUGACCCUUGACAUUGAACUCUAUAUCCUUCCUCUUCAAAUCUACAUAGGAUUUUUGUUGAUUGGAUGCCACUCUCAAUCUGUCCUAAAUGAGAUUAACAAUACCCUCAGUCAACUAAAUUCGGGCCCAAUACUUUUUUUUCACCUAACUCGAUCCAUCACAAAGGUGUCUGACACUUUCAACCAUACAGUGCCUCAUAGGGUUCCAUCUGAAUACUUAACUGGAAGCUGUUAUUAUAUGAAAAAUCUACUAUUAGCAAGUGCUCCUCCCAACUACCUCGGAAAUCAAUUACACAAACCCUUAGAUAUCUUCAAGGAUCUAUAUAACCCGCUCAAACUAUGGAUGUAAAGCCAUGCUAAAUGAGAUGUAAAACGAGGAUCUUGAUCAUAAAUAAUCAAUACUGGUACCCCAUACAGUGUCACUAUCUCAGAGAUGUACAACUUCGCCAACUUCUACAGUGAAUAAUCUAUACAGACUGGGAGGAAGUGAGCUGACUUAGUCAAUCUAUCCAUAAUCACCCACACUAAGUCCUUUAUAGUAAGUGUGAAUGGAACCCACAAAAAAAAUCCAUAGUCACUCGCUCCCACUUCCAUUGAGGAAUCUAAAUAGGCUGUAACAAGCCAGAAGGGAAUUGAUGCUUAGCUUUCACUUGCUGGCAUGUUAGACACUUAGCCACAAACUUAGUUACCUCAUGCUUAACACCCGACCAUCAAUACAGUUCUCCAAAAUCCUAGUACAUCUUAUUCCCUUCAAGAUUGAUAGCAUAAGGGCUACUAUGCGCUUCCCAAAGGAUAGACUAUCUCAAAUCUUUGUUGUCUAGUACACAAUAUCUCCCACGAUAACACAAGAUUCCAUCAGAAUUAAACCCAAAGUAUGUAGUCUUACCUUCCUCAAUCUAUUUAAUUAGAGGCACAAGAGACACAUAUAAAGGUUUCUUCAUCUUAAUCUUGUCAACCACAGUAGGCUUUACUUGAAAUUCCGUGAGUAAGCCACCAUCCUCACACAAAUUCGGCUUAGCAAACAUUGGUCUCAAAUCAGUCAUCAACCUCCUACUCAAUGCAUUUGCCAUGAUGUUAGCUUUCUUAGGUGGUACUCAAUGGUACAAUCAUACUAGCAUAGCUCUUUAAGUACCAUGCAGUAAGGAGCAAUGGACACCGGAGUAGUCCUAGGCAGCAAAUCUAUCCCAAAUUCAACCUCUCGCUCUGGAAGUAAUCUAAGUAGCUCUUCCAGAAAGAUGUCGGGAAACUCUCUCAUAGUACGACUACCUUCCACAUUUGAUCCACUAACACUCAUGUCCAGAAUAUAAGUCAGGUAAGCUUCACAUCCCUUAUGAACCAACUUUUCAGCUACUAAAGCUGAGAUCACAUUAGACAAGUAAUCUCUAUGCUCACCAACUAUCAUAAUUUCCUUACCUAUCGAUGUCUUCAAAGUAACCCUCUUCAAAGCGCAAUCCAAACUGACUUGGUGUUCCACCAACCAGUUUAUACCCAAAAUUAGAUCAAAUUCCCCAAAGGGUAGCUUCAUUAAAUUUGCCAAAAAUACCUCUCCCUAAACUCAACGGGCAUCUUCUAUAAAUCUUAUUCAUAGUAACAGAUUGUCCUCUCUGCAUCUAGCCACAUAGACAAGAACAAUUUUCCUGGCAACAGUUCAUUUUGCACCCUAAACUCGUGCUCACUGUCCCUGUCCAACAUUACCUCCUUUGUAUUGACCCUGACCCCUCUAAGGCUAAUGCCCAGCCCUCUGAUUCUGAACCUCAUUCUGUACUAGAUCUUGCAUGUGGUCAUUACGGCAUGGAAAGUCCUUAAUCUUAUGGUCCAUAGACCCACAUCUCAAACAAGUACUCAUCUCUCUCCAACAUUCACCUAGAUGUCGCUUACCAUAGUAAGCACAGUUCUGAGUCUUGCCUCUAGUACCAACUACCACUGUAUUCUGUCGAGGCUUAUCAUCUCUUCUUCGCUUAAUGGGUUGUGAAGCCGUGAUAGUGGGAUAGAAAUCCCACUCAACAGAAGCCUCAUCCUUCUCUUUUCUCUUAUGCUUCACACACUUAUCUUCCUCAACUAUCUUGGUUUUCUCCACCAUAAUUUCGUAAAACCUCUCAUGGUGUAGAGCGACCUGGAUAAUCAAAUCUGACACACUUAUCUUUCUCGACCGCAACCAUCCCUUGAACAUAUCAGCUAAGCCUCAAGAAUCCAACCUCAUACCCAGCCAUCGACAUGUCUCCUUACUUCAACUCAAUAGAUUCUAGCCUUUGGUCCACAACAUAUCUAGUGCCCAUGCAUUUCUUCUAGAAAGCUUGUUGGAAAUAAUCCCAAGUUAAUCUUUCCACCUGCGUAUGUAACAACCUAUUUUUAGUAGUGUUAGAAAUAGUGGUUUUGGGACCACAAUUCUGAUGAGAGAGUCCAUAGAUAUAUUUAAUUAAUAUUUAUGAGUUAAAUAUAAUAUAAUAGUGAAUUUUGAUUUAAUAGAUUUUAUUAAUUGGUUAGUUAGUUAAAGUACAAAUGGUGCGUACCGAAAGUCAAGUGGUUUUGGAAAAUGAGGGAUCGGGACCUCGUUACUGUAAACCAAGCCCAUGAAUAUUUUUAUUAAAUAUUUACGGAGCUUUUAUAUAGGUGAAUUGAAUUUUGGUCCAAAAAUUUUAGUGGUUGGAUGGCUAAUUAAGGUAUAAGGACUAAAUCAUAAAAAACUAUAAAAGUUAAUCACUAUUAAUUUUUAUUAGUUAAAUUUCUUAUCUAGUAAUUUUUUAAGGUUUAAUAUAACAAUUAGGCCAUAUUUAAUUAUAGUGGGAUGUCUUGUAGUUAGUUUUGUUAUAUUUUAUAUGUUAAUUUAAAUUUAAAUUAAUAAUAAUAAAGUUAAAACAUAAAAAUAAUGGUCAUCUUCUUCAUUUUGAGUUUCAUCACCAAAAAGAGAAUCAAAGCUUGAGAAGCUAUCAUUAAAAUUUCCAAGGCUCAGCCAAGUGCAUGUGAGUCUAUUUUUAAACCGUUUUUCAUAAAUUUUAUGUUUUUGAGAUCGUUCCAACUAGGUCCAAAUAACCUGUACCUCUGUUUUCAAAAUUUUCAAAGAUUUAAAAUGUUUCCAAUGAUAUUAUUUGAUUAUUUUGAAUGUUUAUGGUAGAUUUUGAAGCAUAUAAAUGAAAUAGGAUUAAUUUGUUAAGUAAAUUUUGUUAGUUUUGAGUUAGGGACUAAAUUGUGAAUAUAUUAAAAUUGGUAUGAAAUUUUUAUAUAUUUUGAUAAUAUGGGACUGUAUAUGGACAUAAUUAAAGUGGGUUUAAAAUUUGGAGUUCAAAUUUGGAAGAUAUAAUAAGUUCUGUUUUAGGGACUAAAUUGAAUAAAAUGUAAAAGUUUAGGGGCAUUCAAAUAAUAAAAUUAAAAUUAUAUAUACUUAUAAUAGGAUGACAUAAGAUGUUUGGAACUGAUAAAUUGAAUUGACUUAUUGAAUAGAUUAGAAAUUAGACCAAAUUAAAAAAAAGUAGAGGAAAUGACAAAAAAAUUGUUGAUUAGUCCUUAGAGAGUUGUUUAGUUGUUUCCUUAACUAGGUAAGUUCAUAUAUUAUGUUUGUGCUAAAUUUUUAUGCAUUUGGAAUUAUAAUUUUAAUGAUGUUUAAAUGAAAUUUUAAUUGUUUAUGAUUUAGCACAAAAAUGUGAGAUAAAUAAUUAAAUUGAAAUAAUUAUGGAAUUGAACUUAAAUUGGACUGAAAUAGGAUAUGUCAUGUGAUGAGGUAAUGAACUAAGCUGACUUGAUUUGAUUUAGACUAGUUGAUAGUGAUAAGGAAAAAAUUGAAUAUAUAUGAAAAAUGUGUAUGUAUAUAUAUGUGUGUGUAAUUGAAUGCAUAUAGAUAUGAUUGAUGCUGUCAUGAUUAUGGAUGAAUGAUACGUGAAUUGAGAUGUUGAUUGAUAAUAAAUUGAGUAAUGAAUACCUUAUUAACUAUUUGGGUAGAGUCGGUUAUAGUUGACAUACCAUGGGAUAGGAAGAGCUCAGAGUUACUUCGACUACGAGUCGAUGAGGCACUGGGUGCCAAUUUGCUUCUGUUAUAUCGAUGAAACACUGGGUUUCAAACUUAUUGGUAGCAUUGGGCGCAACUAUUUUCUUCGGAUUUAUCUCAUGAGGCACUAGGUGCCAAACUGGUGUGUUGGUUCUAUCUGUGUAUCUGUUCGAGUUCAAGUUGUGUUAAUAAGUAAAUAAAUGAUUGAAAAAAGAAAUAUCACAUAUUUGAAAUGGCAAAUGAUGUGAAAUGGAAUAUGAAAUUGUGAAAUGAGUUGGGAACAAUGAUUAAUUAUGUUCAAUAAAUCCCUGAAUUUGGAAAUUGAGAUGGAAUGUGAUUUGUAAUUCGUAUUAUGAAAUGAAAUAGUAAUUGACAUUAGAUUGGAAAUUGAUAUAUAUAUUUGGUAUAAAGAUGAAUUGAUAUGAAAUAGGAAUGAAGUUUAUACGAUUUAAUAUGAAUUUGAUUGAGAAUUCGAAUUAUGAAAUGAAAAAUAAUGUUUGGCAUUAAUUUGAAAUGGGAUGCAUUAAGGGCAUACUAGAUUGUUUUGAAUAUGGUAUUAUGUUUGAAUUUGAAUUGUUGGAUUGAGGUGUCAAUUGUGGCAUAUUGGUUGUAUGUAUUUAAUGGAUUGAAUGAGUUCUAUAUAGGCUAUUUGUGUACCUAUAUGUAUCUAUGAGCUAAGAUAUAGAUUUGGGCAUGAAAUAAACUUCUAAAUUUGUGAUUUUGACCAUCUAGGUAAAAGUAUCGACACCAAGGACCAAGGUUAAUAUAAGGUAUUAAUACUUGACCAAAUGAACAGUGUUUUGAAAAUGGCAGAAUGUCAAAAUGGUAUCGACACUGAAGUUUGGCAUCGAUAAUUUUGUUAAAAAUAUCAAUACUUGUUCCUUUUGUAUCGAUACCUAGUUCCAAGUUUUGAAAAUUUUCAGAUUGGUCCUUAAUCAUGCUCGAAUCUAUUAAACUAUGUUCUCUGUUUGGUUCAUAACUUUUAUUAUACAUGUAUUUAGAAAAACUUGAUUAUUUAAAUUAAAUUCAAUGUUAUGAUUUGCAUAUGAAUGUUUCGAUAACUAUAGUAGUAGGAUCAACAUGCAAUUUACAUAUUAACAUUUGAUAUCAUAACUUAAAAUCAAUUAACCAUAUCUUUCCUAAUUUCAAAGACCAUGCACAACCAUUAACAAAAGAUAUUAGGGCAUACAAAAGCUUGGCACAACCAAAAGCAUACCAAUUUAACAUACAACCCUAUACAUGUCAUGUAUAACCAUUUCAAUAUAUAUUCAAAGGUUACCAUAAUGGAUCUGGAUAGUGUGACCAUGCUCUGACGUUGGUUCUAACCGUUCGAGCUUCUCGAUGAUCUAUAAAACAAAGAAAACACAUACGUAAGCAAUUAAUGCUUAGUAAGCUUGUAUUAGGAACUUAAAAUUACCGUAUAUAUUAAAUAAAAUAAUUAAAGAUAAUUACAUUUCAUUAUAGGCCAAACAUCCUUUCCUAUACACAAAAAUUCAUAAGGUUAGUUUGUGAAAUAAUGCACUUUUAUGAUCAACCAAGGCGUGACAUAAAACAUAUCAACAUUUUAAUUUCACCAUCCAGCACUGCUACAUAUAUCAUGUAACUUCAUUCUCUUUACAUUAUGCAUAUCAUUAUAAUGUAUUUCAUUAUCUAAAAUCAUGAUUCAUUUCAUAUUUUCAUAUACCCAUUUAAGCUUUAUUUACUCGUUCAUAUCAUGGAAACAAUUUCACUAUAUAAGUCAUUCAUUCACAUAAUUCAAAUGUUACCUUUUCAAUCCAAAUACUUACAUUACAUUUUUCAUUUUGUAUUUUCAAUAACAUAGUUCAUUUAUAUACAUACCUUUUCAUUUUAAUCUUAGUUGUUCAUUGAACCAAAUAGAAUAACAUCGGAUAUUGGAAAUAAUAAUUUUAGUACAAAUUACCUGAUACAAUACAUCGACACGAAGCCUGCUAGGCACAAAGCCUAGUAUAAUACACCUGCACGAAGCCUGAUAAAAUACACCAGCACGAAGCCUGCUAGGCACAAAGCCUGAUAUAAAACAUCGAUAUGAAGCCUGCUAGGCACAAAGCUUGAUAUAAAACAUUGGCAAGAAGCCUGCUAGGCACAAAGCCUAAUAUAAUACACCAGCAUGAAGCCUACUGGACUCAGGGCCCAAUACACUAUCUCCAAUACAACUCAAUUUGAUUAUUAAUUUUCAUCAACCAACAUUAAAUAAUUACAAACAUCACAAUUAUUAGAAUAAAAAAAUAUCAAGGAGUUUAAUUCACAUUACAUAUAAUAAGAACUUACUUGAACUCAUGUAACAGCCCGAUUUUGGGCCUAGUCGGAAUAGUGGUUUCGGGACCACAAAUCCGACGAGGGAAAAUAUGGUUAUUAUUAUAUUUUUAUGGUCUACAAUUUCACGGAAAAUUUUCGUAAAAAUUUCGUUCGAAAAUUUCGACGUUUGGGCACUCAAUUUAGUCAAAAGGACUAAAUUGUAAAUAGUGCAAAAGUUGAGUUCUAUAUGUAGAAGUAUCUAAUUGAUAUGAAAUUUUAAAUUGGAGGUCUUUAUGUGGUAAUUAGACCAUUAGUUAGUUGAUGGACAAAAAUAGACAUAAGAAAUGAGAGAAAUAGAUUUUUUUUAAGUGGGGGCAUAUUAGUCAUUUGGUAAUAAAAAAAAAUAAAAUGGGAAAAAGAUGACAAAAAUCAUCAUCUUCCUCAUUAGUUGCUGCCGAAAUUUGAAGGAAGCCAUAGCUAAGGUUUCUUUGCUUUCUCAAGCUCAUAGUAAGUGCAUCCUAGCCCCAUUUUUAAUGUUCUUCGCAUUUUUGGAAUCCUCGUAACUCGGUUUAGCUUAUUCUAGCAAUAAUUCGUGUUAGGGCUCAUAUUUGGAAAAAUACCCAUAGGUGAAAUGUGUUUAUUUUGCUGUUUUAUGGUGGAAUAUGAAGCUAUAAAUUAUGUUAAACAACUUUUGCUAAGCGAUUUUAAGCGAAAACGGGUAAAUAGGCAUAAUCGGUAAAAAUAAUUAUUGUUCAUAAGUGUAUGUUAGAGUGAGAAUUUGAUGUUGCCAUAGAAGGGAAAAAUGUUCAGCAUGUCAUAAAACCUAAGAAUAAGUGAUGAAGUUUAAUUUCCGAGCUUGGGGACAAAAGUGUAAUUAUGCAAAAGUUUGGGGGCAAAAUUGUAAUUUUCAAAAAGUUGGGUGGUGGAUUAUUUUAAUGAAUGUGAACAUUAAAUGAGUUAAAUUUGCUAUUAUAGAUCAAGAAAGACAUGAAGAUUAUCUCAAACGAGGAAAAGAAAAGAUAGUGGAGUGAAGUGCAAAAUUACGAUAUUUUGCACCGAGUGACUUCCGACAACUCGGAAAUUUGGAACGAAGUCAGACAAUCAUCCACACUAUCCUUCACACUUGGGGUAUUUUGCUACUAUCGUUCCGGAAAAUUAUGGCAUGUAAAGACGACCUAUGAAAUAUGGAAUCAUCAUGUAAAUAUAUGUUAUGGUUUGAUUUAAAAUGUGGUGUUCAUUAAUAGUUAAAUUGUGAGUAUUAUUAUAAAUGAGUUUGGUUGAUAUAUAUAUAUUGGAUUGUGAUUUAAAUUUGCAGGAGGUUUAAGCAAAAUUAAGCAGAAAUGCUGUCGAAAUUUUUUUUAAAAAACUUAGUAAUACCUCAUACUCUGUUCCGAGCCGGAAUACGAGUAAGGGGUGUUACAUUUUAGUGGUAUCAGAGCUACGGUUUAGUCGGUUCUCGGACCAAUAAAAUAUGUGUGAAAGUCAGUCUAUACAUGCCAUCAAUAUAUUGUGAUAGUGUGAUGAUUUCUGACAAUUUAAAAUUUUGUUUUAUAUAGUAAAUGGAUCCUAAUCGAAGUAUGGCAGAUGAUGUUGAAAGUAACACGCCGGUUCCCGCACAAGGGACCGCGCAUGAAGAGAGUAGACAUGAGACACAUGGACAGGAUGAGGCUCGAGAAGCCUUCCUCCGAAUGAUGAGUGAUUGGUAUACAGAAUAUGUCCGUGUAAAUCCGAAUGUUCCACCUCCUCCACCCCCUCCUAUUCCUCCGCCGGUCCCCGUAGCUCCACGAAGUGCUGAAUUGGUGAGAUCAAGUAAACCACCCGUUGAUAGAAUUCGAAAGCAUGGGGCUGAAGAUUUCAGGGCCAAUGUUGAUGAUGAUCCGGAAAAAGCCGAGUUUUGGCUUGAAAAUACUAUCCAGGUAUUUGAUGAAUUAUCUUGUACUCCUGAGGAAUGUUUGAAAUGUGCUGUGUCUUUAUUGAAGGAUUCGGCAUACCGUUGGUGGAAAACAUUAAUAACGGUGGUUCCAAAAGAAAGAGUUACUUGGGACUUCUUUCAGGAAGAAUUCAGAAAGAAAUAUGUAAGCCAACGGUUUAUUGAUCAGAAGCGCAAAGAGUUUCUCGGAUUGAAACAGGGCCGAAUGUCAGUAGCAGAAUAUGAACGGGAGUUUGUCCGGCUUAGUAAAUAUGCCCAGGAAUGUGUGCCUACGGAGGCUAUUAUGUGUAAAAGAUUUGAAGAGGGGCUAAAUGAAGACAUCAGAUUACAUGUUGGAAUUUUAGAGUUAAAAGAAUUUGUGGUACUAGUUGAUCGUGCUUGCAAAGCUGAAGAGCUGAGUAGAGAAAAGAGAAGGGCAGAGAUGGAAGCUCGAGAUGUAAGGAAGAGGUCAAUGGGCAGAACAUUUCAAUCUCACCCGAAGAAGUUUAAAGGGAUGGAUCCACGACCAACCGGUUCAGUUGGGUAUUCACGCAGAGACCGAGGGAGGUCAUAUUCCGGAACUACAACUCGAGCUACCUCAGUGGCAAGUGUGGGUAAUGUAGGAAACACCAGACCUGAAUGUCAACAGUGUGGCAGGCGACAUACUGGUGAGUGUUGGGGAUUUAAACGAGCUUGUUUCAGAUGUGGUUCCCAAGAGCAUUAUGUAAAAGACUGCCCUGAGAGAAUAGAAGAAGAAAGAUUACAAAGAGCUGGAUCGGGUGAUGUUGUCAGUAGAGGCAGACCACCGAGAAAUGUGGGAAGCAAAGCCAGUGGUAAGAGUGUGAUAAAAGAUACAGCUGGAGGAUCAGAAACUAGAGCGCCUGCCAGGACUUAUGCUAUACGCGCUCGAGAGGAUGCCUCAUCUCCCGAUGUGAUUACUGGUACAUUUUCUCUUCAUGAUAUUAAUGUUAUUGCUUUGAUUGAUCCCGGCUCUACUCAUUCAUAUAUAUGCAUGAAUUUGGUGUCUAGUAAGAAAUUGCCUGUUGAAAACACUGAAUUUGUAGUUAAAGUAUCAAAUCCUUUAGGCAAAUAUGUCUUAGUCGAUAAUGUUUGCAAGAAUUGUCCCCUGAUGAUUCAAGGUCACUGUUUCCCGGCUAAUUUGAUGUUGUUACCAUUUGAUGAGUUUGAUGUUAUUUUGGGGAUGGAUUGGUUGAUAUUGCAUGAUGCCAAGGUAAAUUGUAGACAGAAAAUUCUUGAAUUAAAUUGUGAAAACGGUGAAAUUCUCCGGGUUGAAACAAAGGAGCCGAAUAAGUUGCCUAUGGUGAUUUCGCACAUUUCUGCUCAGAAAUACUUGAGAAAGGGAUGUGAAGUUUAUCUUGCUUAUGUGCUGAACACGGAUAUUACCUGGUCAAAGCUUGAAUCAGUGCCGGUAGUUUGUGAAUUUCCAGAUGUAUUUCCAGAGGAAUUGCCUGGGUUACCUCCGAUUAGAGAAGUUGAGUUUUCUAUUGAUCUGUUACCUGGUACUGUACCGAUUUCUAUUGCACCGUAUCGAAUGGCUCCGACUGAGUUGAAGGAAUUAAAAGCUCAGUUACAAGAGUUGACAGAUAAAGGAUUUGUGAGACCGAGUUUUUCUCCUUGGGGUGCUCCUGUGUUAUUUGUGAAAAAAAGGACGGCUCUAUGAGACUUUGUAUUGACUAUCGUCAGCUCAACAAGGUGACUAUAAAGAACAAGUAUCCUUUGCCGAGAAUUGAUGAUUUAUUUGAUCAAUUAAAAGGGGCAACAGUGUUUUCUAAGAUUGAUUUGAGGUCUGGUUACUAUCAGUUAAGAGUUAAAGAGUCUGAUGUGCCGAAAACCGCCUUUAGAACAAGGUAUGGACACUAUGAAUUUCUGGUAAUGCCUUUUGGGUUAACAAAUGCUCCAGCUAUUUUUAUGGACUUGAUGAACCGAAUUUUUCGGCCGUACUUGGAUAAGUUCGUGGUGGUGUUCAUAGAUGAUAUUUUAAUCUAUUCUCGGGAUGAAUCUGAGCAUACAGAAUAUUUAAGAACUGUGUUGCAGAUUCUGAGAGAAAAGAAAUUGUAUGCUAAAUUCAACAAAAGUGAGUUUUGGCUUCGUGAGGUUGGAUUCUUGGGACAUAUAGUUUCAAGUGAAGGUAUUCGUGUUGAUCCAAGCAAAAUUUCAGCAAUUGUUGAUUGGGAGCCACCAAAGAAUGUGACAGAAGUUAGAAGCUUUCUGGGCUUAGCUGGGUAUUACAGACGCUUUGUCAAGGGAUUUUCGAUGAUUGCUUCUCCUAUGACUAAGUUACUGCAGAAGAAUGUCAAGUUUGAAUGGACCAAUAAAUGUCAACAGAGUUUUGAAAAGUUGAAGGCAUUAUUGACUGAGGCGCCAGUGUUGGUGCAACCUGAGUCCGGGAAGGAGUUUGUAAUUUACAGUGAUGCAUCGUUGAAUGGCCUUGGGUGUGUGUUAAUGCAAGAGGGCAAAGUAAUAGCUUAUGCUUCGAGACAAUUGAAACCGCAUGAGAAAAAUUAUCCGACGCAUGAUUUAGAAUUGGCUGCCAUUGUUUUUGCUUUAAAAAUUUGGCGUCAUUAUUUGUAUGGUGAAAAGUGCCGAAUCUUCACUGAUCAUAAGAGUUUGAAGUAUUUGAUGAGCCAAAAAGAUUUGAAUUUGCGGCAACGAAGAUGGCUCGAGCUAAUCAAAGACUAUGAGCUAGUGAUUGAUUAUCACCCCGGGAAAGCUAAUGUGGUUGCUGAUGCCUUGAGCAGAAAAUCUUUAUUUGCUUUGAGAGCUAUGGGUACGAUGUUAACUUUAUCUGAUGAUGGCUCAAUGUUGGUUGAAUUGAGAGCUAGACCAUUAUUUCUUCAGCAAAUUCGGGAAUCUCAAAAGAAUGACAGUAAAUUGCAAGCCAAGAGAGCUCAGUGUGAAGCAGGUGUUGACUCAGAUUUUCAAAUUGGUUCAGAUGAUUGCUUGAUGUUCCGGGAUAGAGUAUGUGUACCAAGAAAUGAUGAGUUAAUUCAGACCAUUUUAUGUGAGGCACAUAGUGGUGACUUGUCAGUUCAUCCGGGUAGUGUGAAAAUGUAUAAUGAUUUGAAGAAGUUGUAUUGGUGGCCAGGCAUGAAAAAGGAUAUCUCGGAAUUUGUAUCAAAGUGUUUAAUCUGUCAACAAGUGAAGGCUGAGCAUCAAGUACCAUCGGGUUUACUUCAACCGAUAACGAUUCCAGAGUGGAAGUGGGAUAGUAUUACGAUGGAUUUUGUGACAGGAUUGCCUUUAACUCCAAAGAAGAAAGAUGCUAUUUGGGUAAUUGUUGAUAGAUUGACAAAGUCGGCUCAUUUUAUUCCGAUACGCAUUGAUUACUCACUUGACAGGUUGGCAGAAUUAUAUGUUGCUGAAAUAGUGAGAUUACAUGGGGUGCCUAAAUCUAUUAUAUCGGAUAGAGAUCCGAGAUUUACUUCGAGGUUUUGGAUAAAGUUGCAGGAAGCCUUGGGUACAAAAUUGAAUUUCAGUACUGCGUUUCAUCCGCAAACUGACGGGCAAUCGGAAAGAGUGAUUCAAAUUCUUGAAGAUAUGCUCCGGUGUUGUAUUUUAGAAUUGAAAGGCAGUUGGGAGAAAUAUCUACCAUUGGUUGAAUUUGCUUAUAACAAUAGCUAUCAGUCAAGUAUACGAAUGGCACCGUAUGAAGCAUUAUAUGGGCGUAAGUGUAGAACUCCUUUAUAUUGGACUGAGCUCGGUGAGAACCGGAUUCAUGGAGUCGACUUGGUGAAAGAAACUGAAGAAAAGGUGAAAAUAAUUCGUGACUGUUUAAAGGCUGCCUCAGAUCGGCAAAAGUCGUAUGCGGAUUUAAAGAGAAAAGAAAUUGAGUUUCAAGUAGGUGAUAAGGUGUUCUUGAAGGUGUCUCCAUGGAAGAAGAUUCUGAGAUUUGGUCGUAAAGGCAAACUAAGUCCACGAUUUAUUGGACCAUAUGAAGUUACCGAGAGAGUUGGCCCUGUAGCAUAUCGGUUAGCUUUACCACCGGAGUUGGAAAAGAUACAUAAUGUGUUUCAUGUGUCGAUGUUGCGACGUUACCGUUCGGAUCCUUCACAUAUAGUUUCCCCUACAGAGAUUGAGGUCAGACCAGAUAUGACUUAUGAGGAAGAACCAAUAAAGAUUUUGGCUCGGGAAGUCAAGCAGUUAAGGAAUAAAAGUGUAUCCUUAGUAAAAGUACUGUGGCAAAAACAUGGGAUGGAGGAAGCUACGUGGGAACCGGAGGAAAUUAUGAGGAAACAGUACCCAAAUCUCUUUUCCGGUAAGAUUUUCGGGGACGAAAAUCCUUAAGGGGGGAGAGUUGUAACAGCCCGAUUUUGGGCCUAGUCGGAAUAGUGGUUUCGGGACCACAAAUCCGACGAGGGAAAAUAUGAUUAUUAUUAUAUUUUUAUGGUCUACAAUUUCACGGAAAAUUUUCGUAAAAAUUUCGUUCGAAAAUUUCGACGUUUGGGCACUCAAUUUAGUCAAAAGGACUAAAUUGUAAAUAGUGCAAAAGUUGAGUUCUAUAUGUAGAAGUAUCUAAUUGAUAUGAAAUUUUAAAUUGGAGGUCUUUAUGUGGUAAUUAGACCAUUAGUUAGUUGAUGGACAAAAAUAGACAUAAGAAAUGAGAGAAAUAGAUUUUUUUUAAGUGGGGGCAUAUUAGUCAUUUGGUAAUAAAAAAAAAUAAAAUGGGAAAAAGAUGACAAAAAUCAUCAUCUUCCUCAUUAGUUGCUGCCGAAAUUUGAAGGAAGCCAUAGCUAAGGUUUCUUUGCUUUCUCAAGCUCAUAGUAAGUGCAUCCUAGCCCCGUUUUUAAUGUUCUUCGCAUUUUUGGAAUCCUCGUAACUCGGUUUAGCUUAUUCUAGCAAUAAUUCGUGUUAGGGCUCAUAUUUGGAAAAAUACCCAUAGGUGAAAUGUGUUUAUUUUGCUGUUUUAUGGUGGAAUAUGAAGCUAUAAAUUAUGUUAAACAACUUUUGCUAAGCGAUUUUAAGCGAAAACGGGUAAAUAGGCAUAAUCGGUAAAAAUAAUUAUUGUUCAUAAGUGUAUGUUAGAGUGAGAAUUUGAUGUUGCCAUAGAAGGGAAAAAUGUUCAGCAUGUCAUAAAACCUAAGAAUAAGUGAUGAAGUUUAAUUUCCGAGCUUGGGGACAAAAGUAUAAUUAUGCAAAAGUUUGGGGGCAAAAUUGUAAUUUUCAAAAAGUUGGGUGGUGGAUUAUUUUAAUGAAUGUGAACAUUAAAUGAGUUAAAUUUGCUAUUAUAGAUCAAGAAAGACAUGAGGAUUAUCUCAAACGAGGAAAAGAAAAGAUAGUGGAGUGAAGUGCAAAAUUACGAUAUUUUGCACCGAGUGACUUCCGACAACUCGGAAAUUUGGAACGAAGUCAGACAAUCAUCCACACUAUCCUUCACACUUGGGGUAUUUUGCUACUAUCGUUCCGGAAAAUUAUGGCAUGUAAAGACGACCUAUGAAAUAUGGAAUCAUCAUGUAAAUAUAUGUUAUGGUUUGAUUUAAAAUGUGGUGUUCAUUAAUAGUUAAAUUGUGAGUAUUAUUAUAAAUGAGUUUGGUUGAUAUAUAUAUAUUGGAUUGUGAUUUAAAUUUGCAGGAGGUUUAAGCAAAAUUAAGCAGAAAUGCUGUCGAAAUUUUUUUUAAAAAACUUAGUAAUACCUCAUACUCUGUUCCGAGCCGGAAUACGAGUAAGGGGUGUUACAACUCAUAAACGACUUCUAACACGAAUCGACCACUAUUCCGCUACUUUGACUUUUCUGCGAUUUGUGUCCAUUCAAGUUGUUUCUUGAUCUAAAUAAAUAUUUUUAUUCAAUUAAUCUCAUUCCAAAAUUUCAAAUAAUUAAUUUAAACCUAUAACCCUUAUUCAUGUUAAUUUAUUAAAAUUACCCCCAAUGGUUUUUUUUAUACAAUUUAGUCCCUAAACCCGAAACUUACAAAUCUAACACUUUUAGCUAAAAUUCAUGCUAGCAAAAUUUUACCUAAUCUUAUGACAUCCCAUAUUUAUCAUCAAUUUAUAGUAUUUUUCUUGAAUUUUACCGUUUUCAUAAAUAAGUCCUUAAACCUUAAAAUCAUCAAAAAAUACUUAACAAAAUAUGUCUAUGUAACAACCAAGCUUAACAAUCUAUCAUAAAAAUUAAAAAAUAUAUCAAUUUCAUCCAUGGCAUAAUCUAUAACAUUUAACAAUUUUACAAAUUGACCCCCGAGUUAGCUAGAUUAAGCUAAUACGAGCUCGAAACCAUAAAAAUUACUAAAAAAGGGAUAAAAUUACACACCAUGCAUGAAGAAUUGAGCAUGGUCGAAUGCUUUGGUUUCUUUUUCAUGGAGAAUUAGGCUACUCAUUCCUUUUGGGGAAGAUGACAUUGUUUUCAUCAUUGUUUAAACUUAAUUUAUUAUUUAAUUACCAUUUUACCCUUAUAAUAUUAACUUAUAAAAUGACUAAAGCAUGCCCAUAUUUUUCCACUAUCCAUAUACAUGAUAUAAUUACCCACUAAGUCCUUUAAUGUAAGAUUUCAUAGCAAUUUGACCCCUUUAGCAUAUAAAAUUCAACUUUUGCAUGUUUUACAGUGUAGCCCUUUUCACUUAAUUAACUAUUUAAACGUUAAAACUUCUUAGCCAAAUUUUAAUAUAACCCUAAUAACACUCUGUAAAUAUUUAUGGUCUCAUUUUAUAGAAAUGAUGUCCCAAAACCUUAUUUUCCAAAACCACUUAAUUUUAACGAUUUACCACUUGAACUUAAUUAUUUGUUCAAAUAACAUAAAUUAUCAAAUCAAAAUUUAUUAAUAUACUAUAUUUGACUCGUAAAUAUUAAAUAAUAAUAUUUAAGAAUUCUGUUGUAGUUUUUGGGGCCCCGAAACUACUGUUUCUGAAACCACUAAGUAACGAUAUGUUACAAGUAAGCUCGUCUUUCAACAAUGAUACUAUACCUUGAACUCCUACUCGAUGGUACAAUCCAUGCCAUCUAGAAUUCUUUUCGUAGCCUCCAUCCAAUAUUCAGGUAUGGUAGGGGUAGCCCAAACAACACCCUUAAACAGCUUAGCUCUAUUGGGUCAAAGCCUCUCAACUAUGGUCCCUCGACUAUCGGUUCUAGUUUGGGCUCUAGCUACCCACUAUAACACUUUAAACAUGGCCUGUGAUACAACACCAUCAGCAGGCUCCUGAUGACUACCCUCAACGGCAGGUGUAUUCUCAAUGUGCUCGGCCACAGGCUCAAGAGUACGCACUUGAGAUGCAAAAGAUUCAAUUUGGGCAUUGUGGCCUUGUGCUCCUCGGGCUCGCAUGCCACGAUUUCGUACACCUCAAGUGUUCAUUUCGUUAUCAAGAGUCUAAGUUUUAUGAAAUUAUCUACAGUUCAAAAAUAAGUUCUUAUUAUUAACCUGAAGUGUUUUCAAUCUAAUAGUUUAACUAAAGUUCACAAUCUAUAGUUUUUCUAUAGUUUUAGUAAUAAAAGUACUUAUCUAGGAUUGACUUCAGAGUCUCAUAUUUUUGUUUUGAAAAACAUACUUCAUAAAAUUUAUCUAUGGCAUGGUUCCUACAAUACCCUUUUAAAAUAUGCAUACAAAUUUUGAGUUUUGAAUCGGGCUCUGAUACUACUAAAUGUAACCUCCCAAACUCGGCCUCAACAUUAUGGUUGAAUCCUGAAAAUUACAUUGUUCAUUGGAAUGGCAUGGAAAAACGUUCAUAUUUUAAAUUACUCUUUAAAACCAAUUGUCUUUUUAUUUAAGACUAGUGAUCUUGAUUAUUUCUCUUGUUUCAAGAAAAUCAUAUUAAUUUUAAAAUCAUCAAACAUCUUUAAAGUUUCAAUUGUAAAGAUUAAUUAUUUAGGAAAAACUAAGUUAUAUUUUGUUAAAAAAAAACCUUUAAGUAUUGUAGUGGAAAAUUGUAUAAAAAUCAUAUUUUUGUUAAAAAUCAAAUUUUCAUGCAUAUUUAAUAAAACAUCAGAGACUUAAAACUUCAAAUCAUGCAAAAAUGAAGUAAAAAUCCUCAAAUGUAAAGCCCCAUGCCACAGUCCAUAAGAAAAUUAUUACAAUCCCAAAAAUAAUCAUAUAAUAAAGUUUAAAGUAUUUAAAAUAAAAACCAUUCAAGAACUCUUCCGACAGCCUCAUCCAAGUCCUAACCUCGUGGAUCAUCUAAAAUCAUAUUAGAAACUAAGGGGUGAGGUAAUAAGCUCAGUGUGAGUCUUAUUUCAAAUAUAUAGUAAUAAUAAAUAUGACAGUCAAGCCAAAAAAUAUACAGAGUACUAUAAACAGUGCAAAUUUCACAAUGUGUACCAUGAAUAAUCAUGUCAAUGCAGAAUUUUCAGAAUUUUCCUACCCAGCUCAGCUACACACCAAUAUAAGAUUUCCCCAAAACUCAUCCAACCAACCAAAUUAUGGACAAGCCAUUAGAAUUACAGAUAAACUACCAGAUUUGCAGAUAAGCUACUAGAAAUAUGGUUAUGCCACCAGAAUUGUAGGUAAACUACCAAAAUUAUGUGGUUGAACCACCAUAAUUGCAAAUAAACUAUCAGAUCUUCCUCCUUACAUAUUUGUAACAUCCUUAACCCGUAUCCAUCACUAGAAUAGGGUUAUAGAGUAUUACCGUAAAAUCGUAACAUAAAAACAUACAUUUCCAAAUGUUAAUAUAAACAUAACAUAAUCCCUACAUAUACAUGCAUAUCAUCCCUUAAUCGAGCCAUCGAGGCCUUAAAAAUACUUUAGAAAUGAUUUGUAACUAAAUCGAGAUUGAGAAAAUAGUUAGAAAAAUUGAACUGUAGGGGUCACACGGUCGUGUGACUACAUAGGUUAGACACACACUCGUGUCUCAAGCCCUGUAACAAUCGAAAUAGGGACACACGGUCGUGUCCCUGCCCGUGUCCAUGCCCGUGUAACUCUUUGAGUUGGGUCACAUGGCCAAGCCACACGUCUGUGUGCUAGGUCAUGUAACACUUGAAAUAGCCUCACAGGCCUGUGUGCCAGGCCGUGUGCUAGGCCGUGUAAUUGCCUGACUUGUAACCUUUAAAACCUACAGGGGGCACACAGCUGUGUCGCAUGGUUUUGUGUCACACAUGGUUGAGACACACGCCCGUGUCUUAGGCCGUAUGAACAAGAAAUUAGCCAAAAUCAAGCCAUUUCUUUCACCCAUUCCAACAAGUACCUACAAGCCAUAUACACAUAUGAUCAAGGCACCAAAAAUCCUACCAAAACAUGCUUAAUUUAACCAAUUCAAAUUAUCUAAAAUCCAUUUAACCAAUAUGGCUUACAAGGCACGCCAAUCAAAAUCAAACAAACUUACCAAAACAUAUGCAUAAUUAACCUUACUUCCAACAUACAUUUCUAGUUCCAUAUCAUCUUAAAACAUACGAUAAUUAAGACCAUUUCUAGCAUAGCAACUUAAUUCACCAACAAGCCAAAACAAACCACAAGUGUAUACUUUUAUAUCUUUCUAAUUGUACCAAAAAGAUACCUAUUUACAAUCUUAGUAAAAUACUUAACAACUUAGUUUAGUAUUUUGUCAAAAAUGUACCAUAACAACCUCUAUAGCCAUAUAUACAUGCCACAACCCUAAGGAGCACAAGAACUACCAACAUCGGUGGAUAGUGUGAGCCGAAGAUUCGAUCUAUACAAAAGUCAACAAUAACAAUUUACAAAAAAAUACACGAAAACGUAUAAGCUUAUAGAGCUUAAUAAGAACAUAGUAAAUCUUUUAACUUUAACAAAAAUUGAAUGCAACUCAUAUUUUACUUGAUUUGAAGUUAUCAAAAUGUAAGCAAGGGCACGUAUGUGAAAUUUAAGGGUAUCAAAGUACAAACAGGGGGCACGCAUGUGCAAUUUAUGGGCACCGAUGUAACACCCCAAACCCAGCCUGGACAUGGUAGUGUGUUUGAAAACCGAAGCUCGUGUUGAAAACAAACUAUAACUUUGCUUAAAAAAUUUUCCAUUUAGAGCUCGUUGUUAUCUUUUGUUAAUCCUAAAAAAGUGUUUUUUAUUCAAUCGUUAGUUUGCAAAUCAUUAUACGUUGCGGAAGCUUUUUAAAAUAGUUUGUGUCAUUGUGGGUAUUUUGCUAAAACACAUGCAUUUCUUUUUAAAAACCCGUGUUUUAUCUACCUCUAGCAGAUGUAAAACAUAAAGCUGUGUUAAAUCCAAAUUUAAAACAAAAAUCUAUAGCAGCCAUUAUUACAGAUAAAAAAACCCCAAAUAAAUCUUUAAAAAUAAAUAUAAUUAGGUACGAAAUAGUAAAAAGGAGUCGUGUGGCCACCGCUGAGUCCUCCACCGCACCGAUCUACUUAUGACUGGGGAUUACCUGUACAGAUUAACAGAAGGGGGUGAGUUUUCAAAACUCAAUGUGUAACCCCUCUAUAAACAAGCAGACAGAAAGCAAUCAUAAUAUAGGCCUAAGCCCAUUUCAACAACAGUUUCAGUUUCAGUUAGGGCCUUAGCCCAUUACAAUACAGUAGCAGUCAUGUGUUUGGGCCUCGGCCCAUUACAAUAUCCAUAUUCAAUACAGUAAUAGAUAUGCAAUAUCAAAUCCUACCCAAUCAGCCUCUAUAUUCCAACUUCGUCCAACCCUACACUCCAUGUGGGGAUAUAAUCAACUCACCCAUCCCUACACUCCAAAAAGUAUCGAAUGUGGCACUAGACAGUGGUUUGCAGCUGAACUGCCAGUAAAUUAAGCUUGAGGCCUUUCAGUGCACUUCCUUCGAACAAUAUAAACUCCCACCCCAAUGCAAUGCAAUAUAUAUGACAUGCUAAAACAUAAUAUCAUGCAUAAAGUCGUGGCAUACAGUACCAAACCAGUGGGACAUCAUCAUGCUUAUUAACAUGCAUAAUCGUAUCUGUCAUACAGUCAUUUCAAUCAAUUAGGGGUCUAGGUAAGCUUACUAACCCUACGGUAGGUCCACAGUUGACUCGGGCGACCCAUGCAACCUUAGCCAUCAAACAGUGAAAAUAGGCCCACAAGCCCAUGACAUUUGCCCGUGUGGGCCCACACACCCAUGUGGCCCACACAACCCAAAAAAGGCCUUGGCCGUGUGGAUCACACAGCCUAGCCCAAUAAUCUCACACGCCCAUGUGGUUCACCCGUGUGGGCCUACACGCUUGUGUGGCCCACACAGCCCAAUUCGGUCCAACUCGUGUAUCGCACACGACCAACCUCGUCGAUCACAUGCCUGUGUUUAGUCACACGGCCUAUCGCAUGGGCGACCACACGCCCGUGUGGUGUCGACAGUCCCACUUUUUGGCUUUUCGCCAAUUACUGAUUUUCAAUGUUGUGUUUACACACCUUUUUUCAUUUGAAGUUAACCCGCACUCCGAGUACUCCAAAACCUAGAUUCAAUCAAAACAUCAUUCAAUCAACUACUUAACUCGUUAUUCAAUCAAGGCCUAACGAAGUUAAAAAUCGAUCAACAAUCGAAACCCCCUUACCGAAGUCAACCAGAAUUGCACCCUCAAUUCCUUAAAGAUACACCAACCAACCCUUGGUCUCCACCUAAAACGAGAGUCACAAACCUUCUCGUUAAGCCUUUAAUCGAAUUACACUACAAAAUUCAAUUACAUUAUACUUACCGAUCAUACACAACCCUUCAUUCAGUAUCUUAUAAAACGAGACAAUAAAACACCUAAAUCACUUACCCAACUGACGAAAGAACAUAGUGCAAUUUGGCAACGCAAGAGAGAACGAAUCGAAAAGGGGAAUCCAAGACUGAAAAGAGGAAAAAUAGAGGGGGUGACAGUAAGAGGAGGAAAAGGAAAACGAUGAGAAGGGGAGUGCAAAGCCGAAAGGGGACAGAAGGCAAAGCAGAACUCACCUAGCAAUAUUCGGCCAAGAAGAGGAGCAAGAUGACGCACGGUCGGCUUGAGGGGAAGGGAAACUAGGUCAAAAAUUUGGGAACAGAAAAGGGGAACCGAAUUUUUUUAAAAAAAAGGGCAGCAAGUGGGGAUAUUUCGGCUAAAAACAAAAAAUAGGUAGAAAAGAUGGAGAGUAGAAAAUCGACAGAACACAAAAAGAAAGGAGGAAGAAAACUGUUCAGCCAAAAAUUUUAUUCUGGCCGAAAUUCCUCAAGAUAAUGCCCAUAUCCCCCAAAACAAAAUCCCUAAAAUCUCCCCCCCCCAAACCGUCCGCCACUUCCCUACUACACCUCAAAUUCUCAGCAUUUGACUACAAUCCAAACUCCUUCACGACACAAAUAACAAAAAUAAUACUCAUGCCCAGACUUGAACACAAGACCUUUAGCACACUAACUCACCACUUAACCCCCAAACCAGCAGACCCAUUCUGUCAUAUUUUACCAACAUUUAUUUAUAAGCCAACUAGUUAGAGAUAAAGGUUUAUUCAUUUAAAAACCAAAAAUUUGCCCAAGCUAAAGCUUGAACUUAAGACCUCACACACACACCCAGAACACUUAACCACUGAAGUAGACAGAUAUUUGUAUCACAAACAUACAAAAAUAAAUAUACAAGGGAUUGUUGGGGUGUUACAACCAAAGUACAAAUAAGGGAACGUAUGUGUAAUUCAGGGGUACCAAAGUACAAACAGGGGCACGUAUGUGUAAUUUUGGGGUACCGAAGUACAAAUAGGGGAACAUAUGUGCAAUUCAGGGGUACCGAAGUACAAAGGGGCAUGUAUGUGAAAUUCAGGAAAUAAUUAAGUAUAAGCAAUUAAUUACAUAACUAUAUUGAAAACAUACAAGUAGAAAUUCAAGUACGUAUACAAAUACUAUGGCCUUCCAUUGACAACUAGAGCGUAAAAGUACGGUCAAGCUAAUUCGUGAUUUUUAUCUUUCCUCGGUUUAGAUCCUGUUGAGAUUUAUCUUGAUCUAAAUAAAUAAUUAUAUUCAAUUAAGUGUUUCAAUCAAUCUCAAACAUUCAAUUCAAUCCAUAAUCCAUAUUCAUAAAUAAUUACAAUUUUGCCCCUAACAUUUUAACUUUUUUACAAUUUAGUCCUUAAACUCAUAAAUUGAAAUCUAAGUAUUCUCAUCCCUAACUCAUGCUAAAAGAAUUUAUUAUGAACCCAUAUCAACUCAUACAAAUCAUCAUUUCACAAUUUAACCAUGAUAUUUUACUACUUUUACAAAUAAGUCUCUAAAUGAUUUUUUUUUAUCAAAAAUCACUUUACCAAACUUGUUUAUUUAUCUACAAGGACUCAUAAUAUUUUUUUAAACUUUAAGAAUCAUACAAAAAAUUCAUGGAAAACCCUAAAUCUUUAACAAUUUUGUAAAUUAGUCCUCGGGCUAACUAGAUUAAGCUACAACGAUCCCAAAAACAUAAAAACCAUUAAAAACGGGGCUUGAACACUCACCACGCACACAACCCUAGCUCAACCGAAAGUUCCCUCUUCUCCAAUUGCCAAAAUCAGUUUUGGUUCAUCAAAUAAAGAAGAUGGACAUUUUGUUUUAAUUAAUUUAACCUUUAUUUACUAAUUUACCUUUUUACCCUUUAAAAACUUUAAUAAUUUCAAUAAAACCAUGUUAUGGAUGUCCAACAUUUAAACCCACUCACAUUUAAAUUUCGUAGCAAUUAAACUCCUUUAACUUAUAGAACUCUAUUUUUGUACCUUUUACGAUUUAGUCCUUUUUACUAAAUUAAGCAUGCAAAUGUCCAAAUUUCUUAACGAAUUUUUUAUACAACACUACUAACAUACUGUAGACAUUAAAAUAAUAAUAAGAUAAAAAUUCUCUCAUCAAAUUUGUGGUUCUAAAACCACUAUUUUUAUUUUACUAAAAACGGGUUGUUACAAUAUUCAUCCCAACCCAAUGCAAAAUGACAUGUUAUAAUUAAAAAAUAGCAGAAACAAGGCAUGAUCAGAGCAUGAAAACAGUGGCAAAAAUAGUAGGCAUGAUUUAAACAUGCGAUCAGAGUAAGAACAAUGGCAUAAAUUCCACGCAAUCGGUAAAAUAGUAUAGCAAGCGUAUUUGAUGACACUUUUAGAAUUAUCAGUAUUAGAAUUCACAUUUUUAAUAUGACUAAAUUUUAGUUAUAGUGUGCAAGGUUUAUCAUGACAUCAAUCUCAAUAAUAUAUUUGCAACAUGGUUCAAACACAUAUUAUACGAAUAUCAUCAAAUCAUAAUACAACACCCAUACAUAUUUAUGACAUCAUGGAUUUAACAGGUUAGAGUCAUUUACUUAAAAACAAUCCUAUUGAAGGAUUUUAUCAAUCACCAUGAAUACUUAGCGUAUUCAAAUAACCACGUUUUGAAGUAGAUAAUAAAUAUUAAUCAUAAUUAAACAAUGAUUAAGAAAUAAUCAUAUAUAUUUUUAUUUUAUUAAAUCCACGCCUAAAAAUAAGCCUUGUCACUAAAUCUACACCUCAAACUCCAACGAUAACGAAUCUAAACAGAUCUCGUUUGAUCUGAUCAAGUAAUAAUAGUAUGAUACCAAUAGGACAUUCGUUAGUUUUAGCCAUAAACCAAAAUAUAAUUCUCUUAUGAAUUCAAAUAAGAAACUCACCCCAAUAUCUUUUUGAAAAGAGAUCCAAACGUUUUUCAGAUCCAAACGUUUUUCUUACGCUAAAGUAAAUCUAAAUGAUCUGGAUUAGACUUGUGAAGAAACGUGUAACACAAAUAUUAGACCAUAUAUUCAGAUCACAUAAGAAAAGAAAGGAUUUAGAUUAGAUUUACUAAUCGUUAAGCUAAACUGAUCAAAUUGAGAAGAUUAACGAUUCACUAGAAUUUUUGGUUUGAUAGAGGAGUAGUGGCUAAGGAAAAACAAAAAAAUGAAUAAAGUGAGUAUGCAUAUUAUUUAAUAAUUUAAGAAAAAGAAGAAGAAGAGAUGCUAAAAUUCAGUUAUGACCAAAUAGAUGAAAAGAGAAUAAAUAAGAAGAAAAUUGGUGGGCGUCGGUGGCGCGUUAGCAAAGACAGUGGAAUAGGUCCGACGGUGGCAAGAAGAGAGUGGGAGAAGAGGGAUGAUGGUGCAGUGGUGGUGUUUAGGUUGUGUGAUGUUGGCUAAAGGUGGUGAGUGGUGGCAAAAUCAAAUGUAAGUGGCGACUCAAUGUUGUGCAAGAGAAGGAGGAUGAGAGAAAAAGAAAGGGUAGAAAGGAAACAAAGAAAUGAAACAAAAUUAUUUUGUUUCUCUAGUUGCAAAGGACGAAUAAAGGGUUUGAAGGGGAGAAAAAUAGGAAGAAGGUGAAAAGAGGGGAAGAAAAAGAAAGAAGAAGGAACAUGUGGAGUGCAAAAGGAGAAAGAAGAGAAAUAAGAGUAAAAUAUGGGAGGAAAGAAUCCCGCUUGCAAAGAAACUAGAACGAAGGACAAUAGGGAGGUUUGAACAAAAAUUUAAAUGCAAAUUUUUUUUUAAAAAAAUAAGAAGAAGGAGAGGGAAAUUGAACUUAGAUCACCUGAAAAAUUUAGCUUGCUCUUAACCACUAGGCUAGAACUCUCACUUGUUUAAGAAUUAACGAUAACUUAAUUUAGAUGAGGUGUGACAUAACCUUUUUUAAUAUUUAUAUUAUAGAAAUAUUAUAUUACUAUAGAUUUAAUUUUUUUGUGCUACAAAUUACAUAAUAUAUAAAAAAAUAACAUAACAUAAAAUAUUACGAACUUAAAAGCGAGUCAGACUGGGCUGAUUCGAGCCUUGAAUGUUCAAGCCCAAGCCCGACCAAUAUUUUAAACAGGCCUAAUUUUUUUGUCAAAACCCAUUUUUCGGGCUUACUAUUUUUGUUCAAAUCCUCUCAAAUUUUAAGCCAGCCUUCAGGCUUGGGCAGAUAGCCUGUCCCAUUAACAAAUCUAGAGCUUUGAAAUUUAAGCAUACUUAGGGCUCGUGCAUUUACGUGUGGUUAGUAUCAAAACAGUACUGACGAUGAGAUUAGAUUCUAUAAUGAUGCUAUAACGUGAGACAAGACAGAAAAAACUAAACGUAUCGCACGAGAACUAAACGUCCAUCCAAAGGGAAAACUGAGUGUGGGUUUGGAUGGACGGUGCGGUGCGUUUAGCUUACUAUUUUUCUCACGCUAUAAUAUCUAAUUUCACCACCAAUGCUAUUUUUACACUAAGCGCAAAGUAAAUGCACCGUCCAUCCUAAUUAUCCCCUAAUUAAAAUUCCCUCCUGAUUUUCACCUAAAAACAAUUUUUGAAAUUGCGAUUCUCUUCCCUUUGGCAUCCCAAAAUCUAAACUCUAACCUUUUCCAACAUCCUCCAUCAGUACUUCCUUGAUGCUCUCCAGUUUUCGCUUCUCAAAUCCUUCAAAACCCACCAAGAAACCUAGCACCUCCAUGCAUUUUCCCUCAAAAUUGGCAUUUUCUCUCACCCCUACCCUCUUCUUGUCUCCUUUCUCUCUAUGCCGACCACAACAUUAGCAACCUCCACUAUGCUUGCUCCGCUUUCGAUCGAAUCCAAUACCCCUUGUUGAUUCUCUAGAAUAUCAUCCUCAAAUGCUACAUACAAAGGGUUAACAAGGGUUAUAAUGUAGGGGUGUAAGGUAGGCUGAAACAAAAGUAAAGAUCAGUUUAAAUGUGGCAUUUUAAGGAUGGGUAAAUAGGAAUAGUAUGAAACUCACUUGAUCGAGACUUACAAAGAAAGAGUAACAAGUAUUUCAACACUUCACUUUUUUUUAUACUCGAUUUUUUUUUUACUUCAUAUACUUUUUUUAAUUCAAAUACAAUUGAACAAUACAAAAGAACUUUGAAUACAACUUAUUUUUUUUAAUUCGAAAUUUUUUUUACAAACCUAUUUCGAGAUGAAUACGAACGUCGGUGCUCCUCAUUUUAAUAGCUCUGAUACCAAAUGAUAUGAACUGACUCAAUAAUGUUGAUUUGAAUCACUUUAAUUGCCUGACCAUCUACGAGAAGAGUCGUUUGUUUUGUAAAAUGAUGGAUUUUGGUUAACUUAUAAACGAAAGUUGGCAAAGGGGUUCAAAUGAUAGGCUAGGUUUGAUAUUUGAUAGGCUCGGUUUAACAAAGAAAUAAAGUAAAUAGUUGAUAGAUAUGAUGGAAUGGAUAAGUGAACUCAAGCUUCAAGAUCGAUUUAAUACUAUAAUGAGUAUUGCCCCGGAACUUAUAUCGCUUAAGGUGGGUUAAUGAAAGAUAGAAGAUGGACCUUGAACCGUUACCUAAAGAGGUAGGAACCAAAGGUAUAAUUUGAUGCAUGAGCACCACACCAAGGUUGGUGAUAAGUUCAAAGAGUUCGGGUUGACGCCACUAGCAAGCUAGAUAAGUCCAUUCGAGACUCAAACGAAAUAGAGAGGAAGAAACCUCACAGGAACAAAUGUUAAUUCAAUAAUUUGGCAAAAAGUUCCUUCAAAUGUUUACAAGAAAGCUAUUUAUAGACACAAAGAUAACUACUCAAAUUCAGAAUCUAUGUGUUCACACAAUAAUAAAAAUGUUCACACUAAAGCAUUAAAAUUCGAUUCAUGCUUGAAGAGGGUGCAUGAAUUGGCCGAACCAUCAUGUUGCUUCACUUGAUGCAUUCAUGCAUACUUAGCCUUGAAGAAUAGAAAUAAUUCGAUGAAUAUGCAGCCCUUUAAUGCUUCUACAUCUCCCAUGGCUGAGUGAAGCUUUAAUGUGCCUUGAAUACUUGAUGAUCAUCUUAAAUAUGCAUGAAACAUGCAUGAAAACUUCCCAAUGCAUGUUCCUCCAUAAAUAUGGUCCAUGAAUCUUCAAAUGGAUGAACAUUCAGCAGCUCCCUUGUAACACCCCCGAACCCGAGACCGUCGCCGGAGUCGAACAUGAGGUGUUAACAGACUUCAAACCACUUAUUAAAAUUUUUCCAGACAAGCUGCCAAUCUGCGUACUAGUCACUUUAAAAAUCAUAUCUUGAGCUCUGGAACUCGAAAUCCAGUUCCGUGAAUUUUCCCUGAAACUAGACUCAUAUGCCCUUCUACAUAUUAUUUUUCUAGAAUUUUUGGUCGGGCAAAUUAGUACAGUUUAUUAGUAAAAGUCUCCCAUGUUACUGGGGUCGACUACACUGACCUUUGCGCAUUACGACCUGGAUAUCUCCCUGUACAGAGCUUCAAUACUGAUGCCGUUUGUUUCUAUAGAAACUAGACUCAGAGAGGAAUCCAUAUAUAUAUGGAUUGACUCCUAAUUGUCUCUGGUUAAUUUGUAAUGAAUUUCCAAAAUCGGAACAGGAAAUCCAGAAACCGUUCUGGCCCUGUCUCACGAGAACCUGAAUAUCUCUUAAUAUACUGUUCAUAUGAUUGUUUCGUUACUUUCAUAUGAAAAUAGAUUCAUCAAGGUUCGAUUACAUAAUUUAUUCACUAUUUAAUUCCAUUCCUACAAAUUUUUGUGAUUUUUCAAAUCCACACCACUGCUGCUAUCAGCAUCUGUUUUCAAGGUAAACUUUACCUAUUUCGUGGUUACCACGGACCAACUAGGGUUUUGUCAUACAUAGGUCCGCAUAUGAUCAUAUUUAGCCAUUCCAAUGGCUGAUCAUUUGCUCAACACUUCCAUUCCAAACCAUAGUCACAUCAUGAAACCAUAUAUACAUACAUAAACACAAAUGGUCUAAUGCCAUACUCCACUUCUACAAGCCAUUUUCGCAUGGCUGUACACACAUACAUCACAAAAAGUACUUGAACAACAACAAUGGGUAGUCCUAUACAUGCCAUAUCCAGAGUUCAACUAAAAGAGUACCAAAAGGGCUUUGAUAGUGUGGAUGACUUCGACUUCGAUGAUCCCGAAUCCGAUAUCUAACGAACAAAAUCUAUAAAACAGAGAGCCAAAGCAACGGGGUAAGCAUUUUAAAGCUUAGUAAGUUUCAAGUAAUGAAAUCAGCUUUGACUAAAGUAUUACAUUCACAUAGCUAAAUGAACCACUUUAUUAAUACACAUUCUCAUAAUCAUGCUUACUUCACACUUCAUCAACAUAUAUACACACACAAGGUAUCAACCCAUCUAAAAGCCCAAAAGUUCGUUAGUCGAUUGAAUGAAUACUAUUUAAAACGAAUCGACUUUCCGAAGCACAUGCAAACAUACCUUAUCGUUUGGGUUUGUCGAGCGUAUUAAUUGAAUUUAUUACAGCACAAAACGCUCACAUUCAUACCCAAGUUUCUUCGGAAUUUAGCCGGGUAUUACCACAAGCACAAUUGCCUUCGGGUCUUAACCCGGGCAUAGCAACUCGCACGAAUGCCUUCGUGUCUUAGCCCGGAUAUAUCAACUCGCACAAAUGCCUUCGGGUCUUAGCCCGGAUCAAAUCACUAGCACAAAUGCCUUCGGGACUUAGCCCGGAUCAAAUCACUAGCACAAAUGCCUUCGGGACUUAGCCCGGAUCUCAUUCAAAUGCUCAUGCACACAUAAAUCAACAGUCUUGGCACAUCCAUAUUUCAUUUUCGUUACUAAGGCUCAAACACAAAACAUUUAUUAAACCUUUCCAAUUUCGGCUCAAUAGCCACACACAAAGAGCAUGAUUUCAAUUGGCUUUAUAACAUAGUCUCUAUGCACAUUCGGCUAUCCGUCAUAGUAUGACUAAUCAUUUCAAUAUAAUUCAAGUAGGGUCAUUACUCGAAGACUUACCUCGGAUAUUUUAAAUAGUUGUGGAUAGACUACUCGAUCGCUUUUUCUUUUCCUUUAUCAGAUUUUGACCCUCUUGGCUCUUGAGCUUGAUUCAAUAAAUAGAUUUUAUUAAAUAACUUAUCAAUUUAGCGAUUCGAUUUAAUACAUGUAUACCAUACAAUUAAGUACAAAUGAUGUUAUUAACUAGAUAUUAAACAUCAUACAUAUGCUCUACUCAAGUACUAAAGAACAUAAUACUAGCUUAAUACCAUGCAUAAUCGAAUUUAUUUAGCAUCAUUUAGUUUUAUAAAAAUACACAUAUCAUCCCAACUCGACACAAGAGUCAAAUUCAUCACUCAAACAUUCACACCAAUUUAUUUUAAUAUUUUGGCCGAAACCCUCAAUUGGCUAACAUAGCCUUAAUAUUUCAAUAUAAACACGUAUACAUCAAAGGCAAUUUAAAACACUUAACCCUUAUACUCAAUAAUGAAACCAAACCGUAUACCUAAUUUUUAAACACAUCACCUCCAAAUGCAUGUAUUAACUAACAUAUAUCCAAUCCACAUGCCAAGUUACCAUGAAUAAAUUAAACUUAUAUAUAUAUAACAUAGCUAAAUAUUCCUUAACAUAAAGGCAUUUAGUGACAUUUAAAAAAAAUAUAAUAACCAUUUCCAUAAGUAUAUUUUCAUGCAAAGACCGUACCUAAAUCACCAACAUUUUAACUCCCAACUACUUAGACUUAACCUUUCAUACCCUUAUAUCUAAUGUCAUAAGAAUAGCCGAAUGUCCAAAUUAACCAAGCUUAAAGAUUUAACCUUCAACACUUUAAUAUUCCACAACCUAUUCUUCAAGGCUUCAAAUAUAAAGUAAUUAACAUUUAUACUCUUAUGCCGAAUUAGCUAACACUUAUAAUCCAUAGCCGAAUGUCAUUAAACCUAAACCACCAUGAAAAUUUUACUUAUCACCUCAUACCUUAUUAUCAAAUUGAACUAAUUAUGCUUAUAAAAAUAAUAUCAAAACCGAAACCUUUUAAUAAUUAAGCCUCUAAUUAUUUAUUUCAAUUACCCAAACGAAAUUUUCUCACAUUUAACACUUAUAUACCCAUCAAUUGUUGAAGACAAACAAAAUCUCAUUUCCUCCCUUGACAACCACAACCGAAAGCUCAAACCAACAUCUAAAAUUCCAAGUUUUCAAAUGGGCUAAUAUGGAACUAGCUAAUUGACUUAAACUAAGCUUAAAAUUUCAAAAAACUAGCAAAAUUUUUACUAACCUUCUCAAGCUUCAAGUGACCGAAUGUUUUUGCCCCAAUUCUUUCUUUCAAUUCGGCCAAGAAGACAAAGAUGAAGCUUUGUCUUCAUUACUUUUCUUUUUAUUCUUUCUUUAAUUUAUUUCCUUUCUUUUGCAUAAAAUAAUGGCCAUUUAAUUAAGAUUUAGUACAUAUUAUAUAUAUAUGACCAUCAUGGCCGGCCGCCACUUAAAAUAAAAGGGGUAUUUGACAUGCAAGUACAAUUAUUUGCAACAUGCAUAAAUGGGCCAUUUUACAUUAGCCUAGCACAUUUCUAAAUUUUCUCACAUAAGUCCUAUUUAAUAAAAUUCACUUACAAUUUACAAAAUUCAACCAUGAAAUUUUCACACAUGCAUAUAUACAUAUAAUAAACAUCAAAUAUGACGGUCAAUUAUUUUUGUGACUCGGUUUAGUGGUCCCGAAACCACUUUCCGACUAGGGUCAAUUUAGGGCUGUCACAUCCCUCUUGCAUGAAUGUCCCAAAUACAUGUGCUCUUUUAAAUGUCAUCCAUUGAACCUCAAUUAUGCAUGCACCCUUCCAUACUUUGCACUAGGCCCUACAUGAAUCUUGUAUUAAAUACAUCUUCACAUUCGGCUGAACCUAGUUCAUAUCAAGACAAAUUAAUUAAAAUACUAAGAUAAAUUAAAAAUAAUUAAUUAUGGACUAGCUAGUAUAUUAAGUUCGGCUAGCUCAAACAUGUGAAAAUAAUUAAUGAACUCAUUUGAGCUAGGGAAUUCAGUCAUGAGCUGUAUCAAAUUAAAUAAAAUAAAACUAAUACUUCGCUUAUAAAAGAAAAGAGCUGAAACUAAGCUAGGUUGAGCUCAAAUGAGCUUAAAUGAGCUCAAGUGAACUGAUUCAAGCUGAAUGGAGCUUGGGGAGCUGAAGAUGAGCUAACAUCAGCUUGCACUAUGGUGCAAGGAGUCUUUAAGGUGCUAGCCCGACCUUCUCCAUUGACAUCGAGCUUGUUCUCUUCCCAAAAUUGAGUGAUUAAAGCUGAAACAGCUUCUUGGAAUUGCCUAGCUCGAGCUCGAGUCAUUGGGCCUUUAGGGACCUCAAUAGGUGCUUGGCUCAAAGUCCUCGAGCUCCCAACCGUGCUUACAUCAUCAUGCAUAACUUAUACCUUGUCAUUAGAACUUAUCAUUUGAACCAUAAUUUUCAUGCAUCCCAAAUAUACAUAUAUCUAACUUAUACAUACUUGACUAUAACUUAUCCAUAUAUAUAAUUUAAUUUCAUACCAAGUUAUACCACAAUUGACCACAUGCCAAAAUCACAUUCAAACAUACCAAUUUGGUUAUUCAAAACACAACUUCAAAUGACCAUUUCCACUCCAACCAUCAAGGACAUCUAAAUGACACAAAUCUAACCAUAUUUAGAUGGUUCCAACAAUCAACAUGUAUACAAACCAUAUUUCAAUCAUGCACAUCUAUUCAAAAAGCCUUACCAAAGCAUACUAUAUCUUGGCCAUGUUGAGGUUAAUUCAUCAUAUAUCACUUUGGUCAUUCAAACAUGCUUUAACACAUAUCAAUAAGGCACCAAAUGUACCAAGGCUUCAUCACCCAAAAUGACCUAUACAUGCCAAACUCAUCAACUAACAUUCGACUAAUCAUCAACCACAAGUUCACCUAUACAUGCCAUUAUAACCUUAACCAAGACAUCAAAAUCUACCGAUAUAAUCGAUGGAUAGUGUGAUGGAUCUCCGACUAGUUUCCAACCCGAUCGAGCUUUUGAUAAUUUGAAAAGUAAAGGAAAAACAACUACAUAAGCAAUGAAUGCUUAGUACGCUCGUAUAACUUUAAUCAUAUCAAUCCAUUUCAAAUAUGAAAUUUAUACAUAUCAAGAAUAAUCCUAUACCAAUACCACAAGAUUUAUGAAACCAUAAUCAACAACUCACACAGUGAAUAAAACCACAACAUCACAUAUACAUAUCAUCCCUAGCAUAGUAGGAUUUUUUAAAACUUUAAACCCUUUCAAAUUUUAUUAUUUUCAUUUACAUUUCAUUACUUUCCAUUACAUUUACUUUCUUUAGCUUAAACAACAACAUUAGUUUAACUCAUCAAUCCAUUUUUCAUCAUUUUACACUUCAAGUAUGAACUUACUUUUUCAUUACCUUUCCACACCCGUUUCAUAUGCAUAGCACACAAGACAUAAGCAUAUCAUCAACCAUAGCCACAAGCUAGUGCAUUUAAACAUAGCUCUUUUGGAAUUAACCACAUGAUAAACCAUUUCAUAAGAAAUUACAUAAUUUAAACCUUACCACUCUUUCAUGAACACAAGCAUAUUUCUAUUUGGGCACUUACAAUUUCAAUGCAUAACUUCUAAGUAAACAUAAUAAAAUCCAACCAAUAGCUUGACACAUGCCUAAGCAUCAAACAACAACACAUGUUAGCAUACUUGAACAUAUUUCACAUAAAUUCAACAUGGAUAACCAUUAUACUUGAAUACGAUUCAAUUUGGAUAUAACAUCCUUCAAAACAUAACAUGUUUUCCAUAUAUCUCAUCAUUUCAAUGUAUUUCAUGUAUACCUGUAUUUUCUCAUAUUGAACAUUUACAGUUCCCUGUCCAAUUCGUGUCCGUUGAACCGAAUAGAAUAUCAUUGGAUACUCGGGAUAGCUUACACAAAGUGGGCUAACUCAUAUAAUCGUAAUGCGUCAAUUCAUGUACAUAUAUGCUCACAUGAGCUGUGAAUAAGUAUGCUCACAUGAGCUAAGAAAAUAGGCCUACUCACACGAGCUGUGGGUCGGAACGUAGCUAUACGAUGCUACUCAUACGAGCUGUGGAGUAUGCGCAACACAUGCCAGACCUGAACCAACAGUAGGACAUUCAAGACCAGCACCUGAAUCAUGUAAACCCUAAUGACAUGUCAUUUGUAUCCUACGAAUUCCUAAGGUUUAAAUGGGGCUCAGUAGUCGUCGUACGCCGUUGAAUUUCUAUCGUUUCAUGACAUAAUAAUUUGCAUAAUAUCAUCUAUAUAUAUUAAUUCAUGUACAAUACAUUAAACAGUUAAUUUAACUCACAUUUAAGUGUUUAUAUUUCAUACGAACUUACCUGGCUAAAUUGCAGAAAUGUCAAAGUAUAAGGGCAUUUUGGUAAUUUUUUAUUCUCCUCUUAAUUUUCCACUUGAUCUUGAUCCAAAUUAAUAAUUUCAUUCAAUCUAUCAAUUUAGAUAGUAAAACAAUGUAUUUUAUGCACUUUAUUCAUUUUUUACAUUUUUACAAAAUUACCCCUAAAGUUUUACUUUUAUUCAAUUUAGUCCCUGAGCCUAAAACAUGCAAAUUAACCAUUUUUACCCAAAAUUUAGCCUAUCAAAAUUCUUAUGGCAUCCAAACAGCUCAUUCAUGCAACAAUUUCACAUCAAAUCCUUGUACUUCUACUAUUUUAACAAUUUAGUCCCUAAUAAAAAAAUUCAUCAAAAAUCACUUAAUAAAAUACUUUUAAAUAACAACUAAUAUUUCAAAUUCAUCAUUUAACGUCUAAAAUCACUAGGUUCAUCAAUGGAAACAUUCAAAAUCUUUAACAAUUUCAAAAUCGAAGGUACGGGCUAGCUGGACCUAGUUGCAAUGAUUUCAAAAACAUAAAAAUUAAAAGAAAUGGGGCUAAAACGGACUUACAUGCAUCAUCCAAAGCAAGACCGAAGCUUGAAGCUUCUCCCAUUCUUUUUCCAUGGAAACCUUCGGUGGUGAAAAACAAAUGGGGAAGAAAACAUUUUGUUUUCUUUAUUUUAGUAACAUUUAAUUUUAUUCUAUUAAAUAAAUAACAUAUAAAACAUUAUAAUUAAAAGAAAUUAAGCAUCCAAACUCCCUACCAUAUUUAGGAUGGCUAUUUUACUCAAUAAGGCCUUCCAAUUAUAAUUCUUUCAGCAAUUAACACCUUUAAACUAAUAGCAAUUGACUUUUUCAACUUUUACAAUUUAGCCCUUUUUGUUUAAUUAACUAUCGAAACGUUAAAAUUUUUUAACGAAACCUUAAUAGCACCUUAAUGACACUCUGUAAAUAUUUAUAAAAAUAUUUAUGACUCGGUUUAUAGAAACAAGGUCCCGAUACAUUAUUUUCUAAAACCAUUUGACCCUAAGGUCUUACCACUUGAACUUAAUAAAUCGCUUAAAUAACAUAAAUUAUCAAAUCAAAAACCUUUUUAAAAAUCACAUUUGACUCGUAAAUAUUAAAAAAUAACAUUUACGAACUUACUCGCCAGAUUUGGUGGCCCCGAAACCACUGUUUCUGACACCACUGAAAAACGGGUUGUUAUAGUACCCUAUAGGCGACACCGACCUGUUGUUUCUGCCCUCCUCUACUUCUCCGUGCACAAUGGGAUGAGACCUUUAAGGGUCUUGUGAAAAAUAUUUUUCAGGGACCUUAUAAUGGUCCCCUAAUGUGAAAAAAAAACAAAAUAGAAGAAGAAGAAGAUUUAGAGAAGAGAAUGGGAAGGGAAAAAAUAAAGAAAAAUGAGAGUAGAAGAAUAGAUAAGAGAAGAGAAUAAGAAGGGGAAAAAAGAAUAAAAGAGAAGGAAAGAAGAGAAUGAGAAGGGAAAAAAAAGAGAAAAGGAGAAAAGGAAGGAAGAAAGGGAAAGACAUUUGGGCUUUAAGGAGUUAAGUUUAGGGUUUGAAAAAAAAAGACUAGUGGGUUUUGUUUAAAGUUUGGAAAAAAGGAUUAAAGGGUUUUGUUUGGGGUUAUAUGGGUUUAUGAUUAAAAAGAAUUCAAAAGAGGUAUUUUUUUUAGUAUCUAUACAUUAUUUGUUAGUUUAGUAAUUUUUUUUUAUUUAUAGGUUAUAAAUGUUAAAUUUUUUUUGUUUAACCAUGUUAUUUUAGAAAUGUUUUUGAUUAAUUUAGAUUCUGAUUAAUUUUUUUAUUUUUGUAAGGUAUUAUUUCGGUAAGAAAUAAAGGUUUUUUAUAGGUAUUAUUUUGGUAAGGUAUGUUUCUAUUUUAUUUUUUGAUUUGUAUGGUUUUUUUAUGCUUUGUAUUAGAUUCAAAUAACAACAUUAAUCCCAUUAGGUUUAUUAUGUUGAGAUCAUUUCUACUGUUUCAACAUAAAUUUUUUGUUGUUUUAUAUAGGUAAAAGAUGAUACCAUUGAGUUGAAAUUUAUGAGAUAUUUUUUCUGUUCUUUAUUAACUUAAGUAGUAUAAAAAUGUUUAUUAUAUACUGAAAUAAUAUGGCAAAAAAUGUGAUGUGCACCAAACUCUUUAGCAUUUUUGUAAUUAUAUUAUUAGUGUACUAUAUUUAUUGUAUAAUAUUAAUGUGUUUUGAUAAUUAUUUAAGAUGUGAUAAUUAUUUUUUGUUAGGGUGUCUUAUUUCUGUAUUUUAAUAUUUCUUCUCCUAUUAUUGGGAUAAAAAGGCUCAAAUAGAAACUAAUUACCUACCGAAAUGUGUUUUUAACAAAAAACUAAUUACACUCUUUUUUUUAGGUUGCAAAUAUCAAAAUGGGUUCUUUGAUUAAAGAUGAUAAUCGCAUUUCAAAAAUGGUUAAUAUGAUGGUAAUAAAAUUGUUUUUUCUUACCUUAUAAAAUGUUCCACGUCAUUUACGAAUUUAAACUAGGUUAUAUUAACUAUUUCUGUAAUUUAAUAGUGUUAGGGCCUAUACCGCACAUUGAGGGGUCGUACGAAUGAUUUAGGAUAUCUGCUGGAUGAACGUGUAAUUCCAUACUUGGAGUUAGCCAGAUUCGGAUCAACAACAUUGAUCCGAACAUUUGAUUUACGGUACAACUUAAUAUCCGCUUUGGUCGAGCGAUGGCGUCUAGGGACCCACACUUUUCAUUUGCUGUGUGGGGAGUGCGCCAUCACUUUAGAGGAUAUUACACUGCAACUCGAGUUCCCAAACGAUGGGAAAGCGGUAACGGGCAUAAGUGCGAUCCUAGAGCCGUCCACCCUUUGCUAUAACCUACUGGGAGUCUCGCCCGGUGAUGUUAGGUCGAAAUUUUUGGGUUUGAGGUUUUCAUGGCUGAAGGCCAAUUUUGAGAAUAUACCGAUUAAUUCCACUGAUCGGGAGGUAAUGUGCGUCACUUGAGCGUACAUUAUGCACAUUAUAGGGGGUGUACUCAUGCCGGAUGCAGAUAGCAAUAAGGUCCAUUUGAUGUACUUGCCCCUGUUAAUUGGUUUGCAUAACGUCACUUCAGAUGGAUCUUUCUUUCGAUUUGCAGCCCUUGUUACAAUACAUACAGUGGUACUCCGAGAAGGGGAAAUCGUAUUUAUUUGGUGGGAAAUCAAUUCUAGUUCUUCUACACAUACCAUAACUUGGGCAACCCGCCCAUCCCCUUUCACAUCCGACUCCUGCACUCGAGCUAGAGCCCUAGUCUAAACCUGAGCCUACGCCCAAACCCGAGCGGUCUCAUACAUAGCCUGGAGAUAGUUCUUUUCAUUCGGACCUAGGGUUCGAUGACUAUUCCUCGGGCUCAUCAGGCCACGAUAUCAUUCAGGGUUUCUCGGAUCCAAUUCUGAUAUACCUAAUUCGAUAUCAUCAAUGACGUUUGAUAUCUUCAACCCUUACCACCGUAAUACCCUGCUCCUCCCAGAUAAACAUUUGGGGCAUACGCCCCUAGGUUUCAGUGAGGACCACAUUGAUAACCGCGAGCACCCUCAAUGUGAACACCAACCACCACAACAAUUUACCCCUAGGACCACACCAUCAAACCAUCAAUUUUUGGGGUUUCUAUCAUUUCAAUGAUCAUGUUUGUAUGUAUAUAAUUGUUGUAAAAUUUGUAGUAAAAUUUAGGCAUUUAAACUCAAUUUUUACUUAACCUUUAAGUUUUUGGUACUAAAUUUAAAUGAGAUGGUGCCUAAGGUAUAAACUAUCGAUUUAUAUACAUGCAAAAAUAUAAAUGCAAAAAUAUAUAUUUGGUAAUAUAAAUGAAAAAUACAAACUUUAUAAUAUAAAUGCAAAAUUACAAACUUUGUAAUAUAAAUUAGAUGCAUUGGAGUACAUUUGUAACACCCUUUAGCCGUAUUCGACACCAGAAUAGGGUACGAGGCAUUACCAGAACACAUACACUUGUAAAUGUAUUUAACCGAGUUAUAAAACUUCAUCUAAAUUAAAACUUUCAAAUUUUAUAAUUCUUCAUAAUAUAUCCUCAAAAUAUUAUAUUCAUAAUAAAUAGGACCUAUGAGACCCGAUACAUAUUCAUGCAAUUCACAAGUCUUAAUAAUUCAAUGCUUCAUUUCCAUUUCAUUCAAUUCUCAAAUUUCUCAUGUUGACAAUUCAAAUCAUUAAUUUCAAUACUAAUACGUAUUUAUCAUUUAACUCAACGUUCAUUGAUUAUACCAUUCAUUAACACAUUUAUGAAAUUCUAAAUUUUUGCAAUGAAAAUAUCACUUAUCUUAUAAAAAACAUCAAUUCAACUCAUCAUCCUAGUAUAAAUUCACUACCACUUAUCCAUUUACUAUAAUUCUUUUGGGUUCAUUUGUCACUUACCAUUCUGAAUCAAAUUAGGGAACGGUUACGGAAAAUUGAGUACUUCACUUCCACCUUGCCAUAGUAUAACUAUGAUCUUACGUAUGAUCACUUAUCACUUGUCCCUGAUCAGAUAAGUGUAGCUAAGCUACCACUUAUCACUUGCCACUUGUCACUGAUCAGAUAGGUGUAGCUAAAGCUACCACUUAUCACUUGUCACUUGUCACUGAUCAGAUAAGUGUAGCUAAAGCUAACACUUAUCACUUGUCACUUGUCACUGAUCAGAUAAGUGUAGCUGAAGCUAUCACUUAUCACUUGCCACUUGUCACUGAUCAGAUAAGUGUAGCUGAAGCUACUACUUAUCACUUGUCACUGAUCAGAAGUACUCAAAUCCGACGUUCCGCUCAAUUUGAUCAUUUAUUCAGUUUUCGUAUUGUUAUUUUAUUCUCAAUUCAUUAAAAAAUAUAUCUCAUCAUACAUUAUAUAAUUCAUGAAAUUAACAUGUAAUCAUUAAAUUUCAGCCAUAUGAACUUACUAUUUCAUUAACUUUCCACACUCGUUUCCUAUGCACAUCACACAAGGUAUAAGCAUAUCAUUCAACCAUAGUUGCAAGCAAGUGUAUUUAAACAUAACUCUUUUUGGAACUAACCACAUGAUAAACCAUUUCACUAGAGAUUACAUGAUCACAACUAAAUAUGUUACCAUUUCGACCACUACUUGGCCAAAGCCUAAGCAUGUACGCCAAAUAUGUUAGUCAAAUACACAUAUAGCAUAAACAUUAUAAGCAUGGAUGAGCACAACAUUUAUUCAUGUAUCACACUUACCAACAUGUGUUAAUUCAUAAAUCAUUCAUGACAUUACUUCAUGUCAAAUCAUAUACCGAAUAUACCAUACACACAUUCUAUGAAACUUUAUUUUCACACAUGAGCUUAGACCAUGACCAAUAAUGUACAAAUAUAAGCAUCAUUUCUAUUUCAUCGUUUAUCAAUUAUAAUCAAGCAUAUGACCAAUUAUACACAAAUCAUUCAUAUAUUUCCCAAUUUUCCUCCUCCUCCUCUCCAUUCCACAUCCUUAAUGUGUAUAACAAAUUUAAACAACAUUAUCCAUACUAUCACUAUUUUUCCUGUAUGUAAAUUCAAGUUAUCUGUCUAAGUUAGAGUCACUAAUUUAUUUAUAUCUCGAGAUAAAGAGCUCCAAAUUAAGAUCAGUUAAUUUUCCAUAAAACUAGACUCAUAUAUCUUCAAAGCAUAAAAUUUUAAAAAUUUUUGGUUCAGCCAAUAAGUACAGUUUAUUCUUUAAAGUUUUCCCUGUUUCACUAUUUGAUAGUUCUGACCCCUCUUCACUAAAAAUUAAUUAUCUCUUUAUAUAGAAUUUAGACGAUGUCCUCGUUUGUUUCUAUUGAAAAUAGACUCAUUAAGGAUUUUAAAUAUAUAAAUUAUAACCCAUAAUUAUUUUUAUACAAUUUUUAAUGAUUUUUCCAAAUCAGAAUAGGGGAACCAAAUUCAUUCUGACCUUAUCUAACAAAAUUCAUUAUAUCUCAUGAUUUAGAAUUCCAUUACUUACACCGUUUCUUCUAUGAGAAACUAUACUAAAUAAGAUUUAAUUUCAUAUUUUUUUCAUCCUCUAAUUCAAUUUCCAUGAUUUAUGAUGAUUUUUCAAAGUUAACCUACUGCUGCUAUCCAAAACUAUUUUAGUGCAAGAUGUUGAUAAUCAAAUUUAUAACACCAUCCUUUCCUUUCUCUACAAUAUUUUUAUCAAUUCCUCUUGUUUCCCUUCACUAACAUAUCAAGAACAUAGAACCUUAUAUAAUAAAGAACCUUAUAUAAUAAAACCCUACAUUAACAUCAAUUUCAUACUUUUUCAAUAAUAUCAAACUUAAAAAUAUAUUGAAACCUUGAUGUUCUUACCUUGCUCUAUUGAUUUCAAUCUUUAACUUGAUUUUCUCUCUCCUCCAGCUUCUAUUUCUCGAAUCUAACUUGAUAUUAUAGCUUCCCAUAGUCUCUUUAACAUUUUUCUCUCUUGGUAGCUAUGGAAAUUCUUUUAAUUUCUAGGUGAAAAUGGUAAAUUUUUGGUGAAAUGACCAAUUUGUAAAGAAAGCAAAACUUUCUUUCUUCCCUUCUCUUAUAACGUGAAAUGCAUGGGAAAGGAAGAUGAUUCUUCAUCUUUUCUUCCACAUAUAUAUAUACUAAAUAAAAUAAUAAUAAAAUGAUAAAAUGUCAUUUAAAAAUCAAAUUAAAAUAUUAAUAAACUAAUAUUUAUUUAUUUAUUUAUUUAAUCUAAAAUAUCUCUAACAUCAUCAUUAUUUUCUAGAUUUCUCUUUCUUCUAAUUGACCAUUUUGCCCUUUAGAUCUUUUAAAAUCCCAUCCUUAAGUCAUCACUUAAUUUGGUAAAAUUAUGAUUUAGCCCCUCAUAAUUCUUCAUCUAUUCAAUUUGGUCCCAAUUUAUCCAUUUUCCUUAGUUUCUAGAUUAUUCCACCCUUAAAAUAUUUACACUAUUGGUCCUUCAACUUUUUCAUAUUUACACUUUAACCCUUCAAAUUUUGAGUAUUUACUCUUGGAUAACAAAACUUUUCUCACUUUUGCAAUUUAAUCAUUUCUUUAAUUAAUAUGUCAGAAUAUACUUCCCAAUGUUGUCAUAACUUAAAAUUUUCCUUUUUGUCACUUUACUUCCUUACUAUAUCAAAGAUAAUAUCUUACUGUAAAAAUUUUCGGGGUAUUACAACAUUGGCUCAAUUUCCACUUGAUUGCGAUGAUUGACCAAUAUGGUAGGUUCGUUGCAGGCAUGUACUCCGAUUAUGCCCAGCUAAUCUACACACACCAAAAAGCUUCCUAUCAGUUUUCUCCCUAAUGUCCAUUUCAUUAUGAAUUCUAGUUGAUUGCGGACGACCUUUUGGAUUCCUACGUAACCUCUUGUCCAAGACAAGCUCAAAAGUCCUCGUAGGCACCUCAUAUAUAGACAGAUCAGGCAAGAUGGGGAGCUCAUUUUCCUAAACACACAACAUGUUCUUAAGAGUAUACACCUCAGUGAUAAACUGUUCAACAUUGAGCGAGGUGCGAGCACAUACUGUCACGACAUGCACAUAGGGAUAAUAUAGUGUUUGGAACCUUCCGUAAUCACACUGUCAGCUUCAGAGAUCAACUUCGUAGGACCUGGAUGGGAUAUCGGGCUGACGACCGAUGCUUUCUGUAACUCAAAAUGUUUCAAACUGUUGUGAAUAUAUUUCCACAUUCAUCGACCUCGCCUUACAACGGUUCACAUCCAUUGCAUCCCUGGCAUCUUCGACAAACACGUGUCCCGCAUUAAUCUGGUUGACUUGUUUUAGCCCCAUUCUUGGCAUCAAGGUGGCCAACCUAUAGAACGUACUCGAGAACACAGAUAAAAUCAAAAGAUGUCGUGUGUUCUUCAAUAUGGAGUUAACUGCCUCUGCCAGGUUGGUGGUCAAAUGACCAUAUCGAAACCCGUCAUUGAAACUUUGAGCCCAUUGCUACGGCUUCAUGGUACCCAACCACUAUCGGAAAAGAGUGUUCGUUUCACCUUGCAUGUCACCCUCAAGUGUCACCAUCCUUUACCGAAAAAGGUGUGGUUCUGGAUCGUACGCUGUGUAUGUAUUAAGAAAAGACAAGUUACAGUCUCGAAUUGUUCUAGUAUUGAUAAUAUUAAAACAUAUAUUGAAACUAUAUUUUACCUAUUUUCACAACUUGUCUCCGCAAGUUUGCAUUCUUGUACUACUGGUGAAAGUUAGCUGCUAUGUGCUGCAUACAAUAAACUGAUCUCCAUGGUACUCCAGAACACCUAAUGGCGACAAUUAUUCCCUUCCCUCUAUGAAAAAUUAUGCAAAUAUUAUUGUCACUAAUAACAUACCUUAGUAGGUUCGUAAGGAAGAAUUCUCAUGAUUCCAUGUUCUCUUUGUCUACAAUGGAAAAUGCUAUCAAGUGCACAUUUUUGUUCCCAUCUUAAGCAAUCGCAAUAAGUAGGAUCUGCGUAUAUUUACCAUAUGGUUAGGCCUUAUCUACCUGCACAAGCAGUUUGCAGUAGGGAAAUGAUCGCACGCAUGGAUCAAACAUCCAAAACAUCCGAUGGAAAAUUCUUCUUCUCGGUUGUAGUUGGUCAUUUGGAUCAUAAUAAGGUCAUGUCUCCAACUCAAUGACAGUCCCCGGACGUACUCUCGUAUAGCGGCUACCCACCCCCGUAGCUCAUUUUACGACGCAUCCCAGUCUCCGUACAACUACUCUAUUUCCAUUUGUUUAGCUAUCCAUGCUUUCCAAUAUGAUACUCGAUACUGGAAUCGUGCUUGCAUUUUUCCAAUCAAUACCGAAACUUUAAUGGUUGGCAUGUCCUUCACCAUUGGCAUGAUGCGUGUGCAAAUAGUUUUGGAAUCAAGUUUUCGAUGGUCUUUUGUCAUACAUGUUGAAAGGCAUGUGUGAUGCCAAACAAAUUUUAAUAUUUCUUCUCCUAUUAUUGGGAUAAAAACUCCCAAAUAGAAAUUAAUUACUUAUCGACACGUGUUUUUUGCAACAAACUAAUUGAACUCAAUUUUUUUUAGGUUAUUUGAUUAAAAAUGAUAAUCACAUAUCAAAAACGGUUAAUAUGAUGAUAAUAAAAUUGUUAUUUCUUACCUUAUAAAAAGUUACACAUCAUUUACGGAUUUAAACUAGGUUAUAUUAACCAUUUUUGUAAUUUAAUAUUGCCAGGGCCCAUACUGUGCAUUGAGGGGUCGUGUGAAUGGUUUAGGAUAUCCGCUGGAUGAACGACUAAUUCCAUACUUUGAGUUAGCCAGAUUCAGAUUAGCGGUAUUAAUCCAAAGUUUGAUUUUUCGUACGACUUAAUAUUCGCUUUGGUCAAGAAAUGGCGCCCGGAAACCCACAUUUUACAUUUGCUGUGUGAGGAGUGCACCAUCACUCUGGAGGAUGUUGUACUACAACUCGGGCUCUCAUUCAAUGGGAGUGCAAUAACGAGCAUAAGUGCGAUCUCUGAGCCGGUCACCCUUUGUUGUAACCUACUGGGAGUCUCGCUCGAUGACGUUGAGUUGAAAUUUUUGGGUUUGAAGUUUUCAUCGCUAAAGGCCAAUUUUAAACAUUUACCGAUUAAUGCCACUGAGCGGGAGGUGAUGUGUGCCGCUUAAGCGUACAUUAAGCACAUUAUAGGGGGUGUACUCCUGCCAGAUGCAAACAACAACAGGGUCCAUUUGAUGUACUUGCCUUGUUAAUUGAUUUGCAUAACGCCUAUUCGUAUAGUUGGGGUUUCACGGUACUAGCUAUGUUAUAUCGCGAGCUUUCUUGAACGAAAAAUCCUUUUGAUGUGGACAUAAAUGGAUGCCUCAUAUUUCUGCAGUCUUAGGCCCUUUACCGGCUGUCAUUCUUGGCAUCGGUUAGUCAUGAAUCAUAUGUCUUUCCACGUGUGAAUAGGUGACAAAAAUUUGACCCAUUAUAGCAAUUAUUUGACAUUUCAUUUUUAAUGAUAUUAUUCUAACAAGUUUUUGUUUUCGUAGAUGGAGUACUAAUUAAGGUAUCGAGAGGUUAUGUACGGUUCUGAUAAACCAUCUGAUGAUUGAAACACAUGCUGGGGAAGGGUUAAGCUAUUCCAAUAUUUAAGACAUGUAAUUACUUUAUCUGUCUUAUUCGAACCGUGUUAAUAUAGCCAUGUUAUUAAUUAUGCAGUUCAUCUAGAUGCACUAUUCCUUCCAUCAAAUUGCGACUAUGAUUCCCUUGUCUACCCACAUCCACUCACACCUGUGGUGCAUUAACGCACCCAUUAUCAAUGUCCAGACAGUGGAGUCGUAUAACAAGGAUUGAGUACUCUGAUAGUUUGGAUGCAUACAAUAUAUCCCGGCACCACUAGUGCAAUUGGAGAAGAUCCACGGGAGUAACAGGAGGGGAAAACAAGGAAAUAAUUGGACAAUAGUGCAUAAACAAUAUAUUGCAAUGUGGAACAACCGGAUGGGGUGGAGACCUCAGAUGGAUCUUUCUUUCGAUUUGCAGCCCUCGUUAUAGUACAAACAGUGGUACUCCGAGAAGGGGAAACUAUAUUUUUUUGUGGGCAAUCGAUUGUAGUCCCCUCGUACAUGCCAUGACUUGGGUAACCCGCCCAUCCCCUUCCAUAUCCGCCUCCUGCACUCGAGCCAGAGCCCUUACUCAAACCUGAGCUGACGCCCGAACCCGAGUAGUCUCAUACACAGUUUGGGGAUAGUUCUUAUCAUCCGAACUUGGGGUCAAUGACUAUUUCUCAGGCUCGUUAGGCCACAGAUAUCAUUCAGAGUUUCCUAGAUCUAGUUUUGAUAUACUUGAUUCGAUAUCAUCGAUGAUGUUUGAUAUCUUCAGCCCAUUACCACCGCAGUACUCUACUCCUCUCAGGCAAACAUUUGGGGCAUACAAUUUUUCCACUAUGUUUAGCACACCACCAGGUUCGAGUGAGGACCACGUUGAUCACUGUAAGCACCCGCAAUGUAAACGCUAACCACUACAACAAUUUACCCCUAGGACCACACCAUCAAACCAUCAAUUUUAGGGGUUUUUUUCAUUUCAAUGGUCAAGUUUGUAUGUAUUUAAUUGUAGUAAAAUUUGAGCAUUUAAACUCAUUUUUUACUUAACUUUCAGGUUUUCUGGUACUAAAUUUAAAUGAAAUGGUGUUUAAGGUAUUAAUUAUCGACUUAUAAACAUGAAAAAAAUACAAACUUUGUAAUAUAAAUGCAAUUGAAAUAUAAAUGCAAAAAUAAAAAUGUUGUAAUAUAAAUUAGAUUCAUUAUAGUACAUUGGCUCAAUUUCCACAUGAUCGCGACGAUUGACCAAUAUGGUAGGUUCGUUACGGGCAUUACUCUGAUUAUGCCCAACUAAUCUGCACACGCCACAAAGCUUCCCAUCGGUUUUCUCCCUAAUGUCCAUUUCAUUAUGGAUUCUAGUUGAUUACGAAGUCAUACGCAACUUUUUAUUUGGGACAAGCUCAAAAGUCGUCGUAGACACCUCCCAUGUAAACAGAUCAGGUAGGACGAGGAACUCAUUUUCCCAAACACGCAACAUGUAAUAACCCAAAAUUCAUGGGCAUCGGAAAAGCAUAAUAUUGGGCCUCCGUCUUAGUAAAUUGAGUUUGAAAAUAAUUAUUAGAAAUAUUUACGAGGCUAGUUGUGUGUUUAAUUAGAUUUUUAUUUAGUGAAUAUAGCUUAAUUAGGAGUAAUUAGCAAAAAGGAUUAAAUUGCAAUAGAAGUGAAAGUUUAAUUAUAGAUUAAAAGAAAAUAAUAGGGACUAAAUAGGAAAUUAUGCCAAUUGCCAAAUUUGAGGCGGCAUAAGCAUAAUAUCUAAUAUUUUUAUGUGUUAAAAUAUGUUAUUAAAUUAUUUUUAUUAUAUUAUAAAACAAAUAAGAUAGUGACAAAUGUAUGGUAAUAAUUUACACAUGUGUCAUGAUAAUGAUUGUAUAAAUACACUUGUAUUAAAAUUUUGUAAUUACUUAUUAUAUAAGAAAAUAUUAUUAUAUUAUAUUAUUAAAAUAUUACAUUUAUUAAAUAAUAAACAAAAAAUAAAACAAAAUAAAGUAAAAGAAAGAAACAGAAUAGCAUUCGAAAAUAGAACAGAGAAAGAAGAAAAAGAAAGAAAAAGGGAAAAUAGGGUUUUUAAAGCUUGGAAUUUAAUUUGGUAAGUCAAAUAAGCCAUGUUACUUAAUUUUGAUGUUUUAGAAGUUUUAAAACAAGGUUUGAUGGAAUUAAGUUGAUAUUUUGUAAGUUCAUAGGUUUUCAAGUACAGUUUAUGUUGAACAAAAGAGAUGAAUUAGGGAUUUAAUUGAAUGAAUUUCAAGUUAGAAUUGAUAAAAGGAUUAAAUUGUGAAAGAAAUUAUAAUUUUUAUGUUGUAGGGAUUAAAUUGAGAGAAAUUCAAAAUUAGGGAAAUAUGCUAAAAUUUUAAUAGUUAAAUUUGAGUUAGGAUGGAAUUUGAAUAAAAAUAAAGUGUGAAUUGAAUUAGAAAAGUAAGAAAACUUAGUUAGGAUUAAAUUGAGAACAAGGUAGGAAUUGAUUAGAAAUUUAAUUAAUUAUUAUAAUUAGUGCUGUAAUUAAUAGUAUAAAUUAUUAUUAUUUUCGUAGCUAACAAAGAACCCGAGCCAUCAGCAUCAAAAGGAAAGGAGAAAGCUAUCGAGGACUAAAACGUGAGAUUUACGGUUUGUAUUACUAUAAUUCAAGUUAUUUGUUAUUAAUUGUUAAAUUUAAAUUUAUGUGUUUGGUAAAUGAAAUGUGAGGUAAGUAUUAUUAUUAUUAUUAUUAUUAUUGUUAUUAUUAUUAUUAUUAUUAAGAUGAGUGGGAAUUAAAUUGAAUAGUUGAUAUGAAUUAAUAUUUGAAUUGUUUGUUGAUUGAAAGCGAGAAGUGAAUUUGAAUCGAAUUGUGACUGAUAUUAAAUUGAAUGAAAAUGUAUUGAGUUGUGAAAAUGUGUGAAUUUUUGGAUUAAUUAUUGAUUGAAAGGUGGAAAAAUGAUUGAACUGAAAAUGUGAGAAAUUGUGAUUGAAUUGGGGUUAUAUGUGAUUUAAAUACCCUAUUAACUAGUCGGGCUGAGUCAGAUAUAGUUGGCAUGCCAUAGGAUUGGAAGAGUUCAGGGAUACUUCGACCUCGAGUCGAUGAGACACUUGGUGUCACUAUAUUUCUUUGGAUAGAUUCGAUGAGGUACUGGGUACCAACUUUCUUCGGCUUUGCCGAUGAGACACUGGGUGUCAACUAUUGCUUCGAACUAUCCGAUGAGGCACUGGGUGCCAUAAUGGAGUGUUUGGUUGGAUCCGUGUAUCCGCCAAAGUCCGAGUUUUGUUAAUAGGGUAAAUAAUGAAAAGAUAAACUGAAUGAGUGGAUCAAUCGAGCUAUUGAAAUGAAAUGAAAAGUUGAAUGGUGAAUUGAAAUGUGAUAUGAGAUUUAAAAAUGAACCUAAGGUUCAUGAUAUGUCCAAAUUCAAAUUGUGGAUAUAUGAUAUUGAUUGAUGGAUUGCUAUUGUUGAGAUAAUGAAUUAAAAUUUGUAUAUACGAUUUAUGUAUUAUAUGUUUAUUAUUGUUAUAAUUUGAAUUAUGGUAAUAUCACUGAGUAUGAAAUACUCAGCGUACGGUUGCUUCCAUGCACAGGUUGAUAGAAGUAAAAAAAUUUCGGUUCAGCAUCUAGAUCAAUCCCGACUUCAGCAUAACUUUGGUGAUGUAUACUUUCUUUUAGUAAUGUGGCAUGUUGGAUAUGUAUAAAGGUUAUUAUGUUUUAAUAUAAAUGGUUAAAAAUAUUAGUAUUAAAAGUUUAUGAAUUAUAAUGAAAGAAGUUUAUCUAUUUUUAUUUAAUUAGUACAUUGUUAAAUUUAAAUUGAUAUUAUAUUAAUUGAGUUUGAUUAGAAGGAAUUUAGAAUAGAAAAUGAGAAUGUGACAUGAAUUGGUUGAUUUGAUUAUAUUUGAAAAUGAUAUGAUUUUAAAUUGCAGGGGGUUUUAUGUAAAAAUAAGUAGAAAUGCUGCCGAAAUUUAUAAAAAAAUGAUGUCAAUUGGUAAACAAACAUAUAAAUUUAUGAUUUAUUUUAAUAUGUUGGUUAAUUAUUUAAGAACUAUUUGUAAAUCGUUUGAAAUGUCCGGUAAUGCCUCGUAACCCUGUUUCGGCGACGGUUUGGGGUUAGGGGGUGUUACACAACAUGUGCUCAAGAGUAUACACAUCAGUGAUAAAUAGUUCAACAUUGAGCGAGGCGUGAGCACAGACUGUCACGACAUGCACACAGGGAUAAUGAAGUGUUUGGAACCUUUCGCAAUUGCAUUGUCUGUUUCAGAUAUCAACUCCGUAGGACCUAGAUGGGAUACCAGGUCCAUGACCGAUGGUCUCUGUAACUCAAAGUGUUUCAAACUGUUAUGAAUAUAUUUCUACAUUCAUCGACCUCGCCCUCCAAUUGUUCGCAUCCAUUUCAUCCCUGACAUCUUCGACAAACACGUGUCCCGCAUUAAUCUGGUUGACUUGUUUUAGCCCCAUUCUUGGCAUCAAGGUAGUCAACCUGUAGAACGUAGCCAAGAACAUAGAUAAAAUCGGAAGAUGUUGUGUGUUCUUUAACACAGAGUUAACCGCCUCUACCAGGUUGGUGUUCAUAUGACUAUAUUGAAAUCCGUCAUUGAAAAUUUAAGCUCAUUGCCACAGUUUCAUGGUACUCAACCACUAUCGGAAAGGAGUGUUUGUUUCACUUUACAUGUCACCCUCAAGUCUGGCCAUCCUUUAUAAAAAAAUGUGUGGUUCUAACUCGUACGUUGUGUAUGUAUUAAGAAAAGACAAGUUACAGUCUCGAAUUAAUUUUUUCUAGUAUUGAUAAUAUUAAAACAUAUAUUGAAACUAAAUUUAUCCAUUUUCACAACUUGUCUCCGCAAGUUUGCAUUCUUGUACUCUUGGUGAAAGUUAGCCGCAAUGUGCCGUAUACAAUAAACUGAUCUCCAUAGUACACCAGAAUGCUUAAUGGUGACAAUUAUUCCCUUCCCUCUAUCAGAAAUGAUACAAAUGUUAUUGUCACUAAUAACAUACCUUAGCAGGUUUGUGAGGAAGGAUUAUCAUGAUUCCAUGUUCUCUUUGUCCACAAUGACAAAUGUUAUCGGGUGUACGUUCUUGUUCCCGUCUUGAGCAAUUGCAAUAAGUAGGAUUUGCGUAUAUUUCUCGUAUGGUUAGGUCCCAUCUACCUACACAAGCAGUUUGCAGUGGGGAAACGACCGCACGUAUGGAUCAAACGUCCAAAACAUCCGAUGGAAAAUUCUUCUUUCCGGUUGUAGUUGGUCAUCCAGGCUGUAAUAAGGUCAUGUCUCCAACUCCCCGGCACAUACUCCUACAUAGCGGCUACCCACCCCUAUUACUCAUUGUACGACGCAUCACAAUCUCUAUACAACUGCUCCAUUGCCAUUUAUUUAGCUAUUCAUGCUUUCCAGUAUGAUACUCGAUACUAAAAUCAUGCUUGUAUUUUGCCAAUCAGUACCGAAACUUUAAUGGUUAGCAUGUCCUUCACCAUUGGCAUGAUGCAUAUGCAAAUAGUUUUGGAAUAAAUUUUUCAAUGGUCUUUUGUCAUAAAUGUUGAAAUACGUGUGUGAGGCCCAACAAAUUUUAGCAUCUCCCACAUCUGCGAGUUCUUGGUAAAUGUGGCUCAUACCCACUAAUUGCAGCCUUCUGUCGACCUCCAAUAGUUUCAAUAUACAAUGUCGGUUUAGACAUGACGACUUUGUAGUCUAUUCAUAUAUUCAUGCUAUACCGCUUAAUGGCAAAUACGCACUCUUCCUUGGUUUCAAAUUUUUGACCCAUGAAAAAUCCUUAGGUUCGGAAUCUACGACCAACCGAUGAGCAGGUAGUAUAUCAGGAUACUCCAAAAACUUGACUAGAUGCGUAGCAUCGAGGUCUAUUAGCGACAUGUGUGCCCCAGGAUCAUUGCAUAUCACAAUGUGUCGAACCAGGUUUUUGACUGAAGACUCAUUAACAUUUCCAUCAUCAUUCGCGCCUUCGUCGUGGAUAUCAUCUGAGACCUCGUACACAUCGAGAUCACUAUCACCAUCGACCUCAUGAUCAGAAGGAUCACUACUAUUAGUUCCAUCAUCAGCAUCAGUCUCAAGUGCAACAUUAAGAUCGAUGUCGAACCCGCGUACAAUCGAUUGACAAUCAACAUAGGAUAUCGAAACCACCAUACACAGAUCUUGAACUCUAUGUUCGUCACAUAAUGGAGUGGGAUCUUCAGCUUGCUCCACAUCAGCUAACUCAGCAAAUAACUGAAUCAGUGCAUUUUGGUGGCUCUAAUUCCCACAAUAAAGAGGGACCAUUGCCUCCACGUCUUCAUCGUUUACAAGUUCCAUCUCGGUGAAUUUGAUGGGAUCUGUCAAAACUAGAAACUUUUAGAGAAGUUUCGAAAUCUUUCUCCCAUAACGUCUAACAAUUUUUGCACUAAUCAUUUCAUUCAUAUCAUAAACCAAGACAUUUCUAUUAAAUCUCAUUGCUAUUUGUUAGUGACAUUCAAAUAUACGUCCAACUGUUGUUGUCAAAAUUACUCCAUCAAAAUAAACACAUACAAAAAAUUGAUUAUCUAUCUUCAAUAUUAGAUCUGUUAAAAAAGAAAUAAAAAUUCUCAAUACAAUUUCAAGCAAAAUAAUUACUGUAAUAUAAAAUAUGAAUUUCAUAUCUACUAACCUAGUGAAUUCUUCUUUGUUUGUUUACUAUUCUUCUACAAAUUUUUUAUUGCUGUUAUUUGAAUUCUCAAAACUUUUUUCCCAAACACUGCUUAAAUAAUGGUUGAGAACAGGUGAUACCCACAAGAUUGGCACCACUGGUGCCACCUAUAACAUUGGAACCAAUAUUUUGGUGUCACCUUUCCCAUGGGCACCACCACCAAAACUUGUCCCAAGCCCGUAGUUAACAAUGUAUUGGAACCGUAUGGGAAAAAUACUUUGGUGUCGUCUAUCAACAAGGCUACACCAUUAAAAAUUUAUUUUUUUUAGCUGAAAGUGAUGGGUGUCAAAAUAUAGGGGUGGUGCUGCCUAUGCACCACCCUCCAGCACCCCUGGUAUACCAUUUCCGUAAAUAAUUUAGAUGGUAUACCAUUUUGGAACUUUUAAUUUUUUUUAUAUUAUUUAAGAAAAAAACCCAUUUUUGAGCAUAAUCAAUGCAAUAUCUUUCUAUGGUCGCCUAGAAGUACACAACCCUCAUGAUUUGUCUAGCCAUCAUAUGUUCAUUUGCGGGUGCAUCAUAUACCCUAUCAUGUACUUCUUCUAAUAUUCUUUAAGCUUCCUUAAAAUCUACACAUCUCAAUAGGAUAUGAUCUCGAUUUUUUUUUAUAUAACACCUCACCAUCUAAGAAGAAACUGAUAGAUAGUCUUUUGAUAAUUUGCUUAUCAUUUUCAUAAGCAUGUUUAGGGAAUUUCUGAAAUUUCAAGUAUUUCACAAUAUAAUAAUACUAUGGUCGUUCAUCUACUUCUUCUUCAAUGUCAAGGCAAUGAUCAAACAUUCUUUUAAUUUCCAAUUUGGAUGGUCACAGCUUUACUUCAUAGUUCAAUUUAUGUGCUCUUUCUUACUUAUCUCAUUUUGCUGUCGUGCACCGCAUCGCAUUAAUCUCCCGAACACCAAUAAUUAUAAGAUCAAGACCUUCCUCACUUAGAAAGGAUUAAAAUUGGUGGCUUAGAUAAGUAUUUGUUAACUUUCUUCGGCCCACUCACCACUAUCAUCCUUUCCAAGUAAUUUAAAUAAUGGAUCACAUUUCAACGUUAAGUGUGGAUGAAAUGAGAGAUAUAAUUUAAAAGUUAAAAAAAAAAAAAAAACCCUGCUCAUUAACAAAAUAAAAUUUUAAAAUCUUACUGUAGUACUAUGGGGUACCUAUUUAAGCAUAUUUAGUUGAACCCUCCGCCAGCCAAAAUUCCCUCCAAAAUUUCACCUAGAAUGAAUUUGUGAAAUUGCGAUUCUCUUCCCUUGGCAUCCCAGAAUGCAAACUCUAACCCUUUCCAAUAUCCUCCACCAGCACUUCCCUGAUGCUCUCCAUUUUUCGCUUCUCAAAUCCUCCAAAACCCACCAAGAAACCCAACAGCUCCACGCAUUUUCCCUCAAAACCGGCGUUUUCUCUCACCCCUCACUCUCUUCUCGUCUCCUUUCUCUCUAUGCCGACCCCAACAUCAACAACCUCCGCUACGCUCGCUCCGUUUUCGAUCGAAUCCAACACCCCUCGUUGGUUCUCUGGAAUAUCAUCCUCAAAUGCUACAUACAAAACCAACAAUCCCAUGAAGCUAUCUCCCUGUUCGUCCUUUGCUUGGUCAUUUUCCGCCUGAUGAAUUCACGUUUCCUUGCGUGAUUAAGGCAUGUGCUAAGUUAACUGCUUUGAAAGAAGGCAAACAAAUACAUGGGUUGGUUUUGAAGCUUGGCUUCGGAUUAGAUAAAUUUGUGCAGGCUAGUUUGGUUUAUUUGUAUUCCAAGUGCGGCAAGAUUGGUUCUGGUUACGCAGUGUUUGAUCAAAUGGAUGAGAAAGAUUUGGUUUCAUGGAAUUCUUUGCUUGAUGGGUAUGCAAGGUGUGGAGAAGUUAAGGCUGCCAUGAAGGUGUUUGAUGAAAUGCCUGAAAAGGAUUGUUUUUCAUGGACGGUUUUGAUUUAUGGGUUGGCGAAAUGUGGGGAGGUUGAGACUGCUAGAAAGAUAUUCGAGAACAUGCCAAAUAGGAAUUAGUUUCGUGGAAUACUAUGAUUAAUGGGUAUAUGAAAGCUGGAGAUACUAAUUCCGCUUGUAAAUUGUUUGAUCAAAUGCCCACAAGAAAUUUGAUCACGUGGAAUUCAAUGAUAGGGGGAUUCAAAUUGAACUUGCGCUUUUUGGAAGCUUUGGAAAUGUUUGAGAGAAUGUUGGAGGAGGAAUUUAGGCCCACUCACGCUACGUUAGUUAGUGUGAUUUCUGCUGUCUCUGGAUUAGCUAGUCUUGGCACGGGAAGAUUGAUACAUUCGUAUAUUGUUAAAAAUGGAAUCGAAUUAGAUGGGGUGGUUGGGACAGUGAUGAUCGAAAUGUAUUCCAAGUGCGGAGGCAUUGAUAGUGCGGUAACUGUUUUUCGGACAAUAAGCCACAAAAAGUUGGGGCAUUGGACUGCUAUAAUUGUAGGCUUGAGUAUUCAUGGCAUGGCUGACCAUGCUCUGAAGCUAUUUCUUGAAAUGCGAAGAAUUGGUGUGAAGCCUAAUGCUAUAACUUUUGUUGGUGUGCUUAAUGCUUGUAGUCAUGUUGGAUUGAUUAACGAUGGUCACAAAUAUUUUAAUAUGAUGAUAAAUGAAUAUGGAAUUAAACCUGCUAUAGAACAUUAUGGUUGUUUGGUGGACAUAUUAUGCUGAGCUGGUUGUCUUGAAGAAGCAAAAGAUAUCAUUGAAGAAAUGCCCAUGAGACCAAACAAAGUAAUCUGGAUGACAUUGCUUAGUGGUGCUAGGAACCAUAGAAACACAAAAAUAGGUGAAUAUGCUGCUCAACAUUUGAUUGAAUUGGCUCCAGAGACUACUGGUGGUUAUGUUGUCCUUUCCAAUAUGUAUGCUGUAGCAGGUGAGUGGGAGAAAGUUUCUGAGGUAAGAGAAAUGAUGAAGAAGAGAGGAUUAAGAAAAGAUUCCGGCUGCAGUUCAAUAGAGCAUAAAGGUGUGGUUCAUAACUUUAUUGUGGGAGAUAAAUCACAUCCGCAAACAAAAGAAAUUUAUUCCAAAUUGGCUGAGAUGAGAGAGAAAUUGAAAUUGGCAGGACAUGUUCCUGACACAAGCCAAGUGUUGUUGUAUAUCGAAGAGGAGGAAGAGAAAGAAGCAGAAUUGGAAAACCAUAGUGAGAGGUUGGCUAUUGCCUUUGGUCUCAUCAAUACUGAAGCUGGAUGUCCCAUUCGCAUCAUGAAGAACCUUCGUGUUUGUAGUGAUUGCCAUUCUGUCACUAAACUGCUUUCUAAAAUCUACAGACGUGAGAUUAUUGUGAGAGAUAAUAGCCGGUUUCAUCAUUUUAAAGAUGGAUUGUGUUCUUGCAAAGAUUUUUGGUGAUUACCUCAGAUGUUGGCUGGUAUUAUUGCCAUCUUUCAACAGGACUGAAAGGGAAGAUCCGCAUAAUAACUUUAAGGUCUUCAGGUUGUGUUUUGUCAUCACUUUUGAGGGUUUAUAGAAAUGGCUAGAUAUAUUUCUUGCGCUUUAUUUAUAUCAACUAACUGAACCAGCCACUUACUACAAAAUAAAACAUUUGCUUUAUGAUCUCAUCUCAUUUCAAGAAAGGUGCUAUUUCAGGGAAAAAGGAUAUGGAUUUAAUGAUACAACAGCUCAAAAGACUAGCAGUGAAUUACAUCAGUACACAGCAACAGAUGCUACAUAGCAAUUAAUGUUACAGCUUUCAGAGACAUAUCUAUAAUCUAAGUUCAUUUUCCGGGGACAAAGUUAGUGGCAUAAGCCCAUGCGUUGUUGGCCACCGGAUCGGCAAGGUGGUCAAAGAGGUUCUCAAUGGGACCCUUUCCUGUGACAAUAGCCUGGACAAAGAAUCCAAACAUGGAGAACAUUGCAAGGCGGCCAUUCUUGAUCUCCUUAACCUUCAAUUCUGCGAACGCGUCAGGAUCAUCAGCCAGUCCAAGUGGGUCGAAAGCACCACCUGGGUAAAUUGGGUCCAGUCCUUCACCGAGUGGUCCCCCACCAACUCUGUAUCCUUCAACAAAUCCCAUGAGCACAACUUGGCAAGCCCAGAUUGCAAGAAUGCUCUGAGCAUGGAUAAGGUUUGGGUUGCCAAGAUAGUCAAGGCCGCCCUCGGAGAAUAUUUGAGAUCCAGCUUUGAACCAAACUGCCUCUCCGAACUUAACUCCAUUCUUUGAAAGAAUUUCAGGGAAGACACAACCAAGGGCACCAAGCAUUGCCCAUCUGCAGUGGAUCACUUCAAGCUCACGGUUCUUAGCAAAUGUCUCUGGGUCAGCUGAUAACCCAGCAGUGUCCCACCCAUAGUCACCAGGGAAUUCACCUGUCAGGUAUGAUGGGAUUUGGUCUGAGAAUGGACCCAAGUACUUUGGGCGGUCAGGGCCGUACCUGUUUUUAAAACCAAACCGUAGGUAAUCAGAUCAAGAAGCAGAAAUAUAGUUCCGUUGCAUGAUUUCGCUUGUACAUGUUAUUUCUCUUUAAAUGUAUGGCUUAAAAUAAGGCAGAUUGCUGCUAGAUUGUACUGUACAAAUUGAAAUUUUUAGUCUGUUGUUUCACAAUAUUUGGGUUAACCAUCAAUGAUUAGACUAAAAAGAUCCUUAUAACAAAAUGCUACUAGUUAGUACUAGGAAGUAGUAACAAAAGUAUACCAGAUGCUGGUAGGGGCACUUUUCACAGUUCUGCGCAUGGUAACACGACCACCAUCGAAAGCUCCGACUUUGCGUAAGAGCUCAUUGGACUGCUUCAAAGCGGUCUGGCCAACGAAAGCAGAUUGUUGGAUAGCAGAGGUUGCCAUGGUGCCUAAGGCUUUAGGUUGACUUGGUUUGUUUGCCGAUGGUUA
rnacentral:lncRNA from 1 species